rnacentral:lncRNA from 1 species
UUUUUUCCUCACACUUUUUUUUCUUUCUCUUUUUUUCUGACUUUUUUUUCUCUCUCUUUUUUUUCUCUGUCUUUUUUUUCUCUCCCCCUUUCCAAGACAAACUAGAUAAGAUGCAGAUUGGAUCAAGCGAAGAUGUGAACGACCUCAACUAUGAUUGUGACAAUGAACUAUGGGUAGCACAUGGUGGAAUUUGAUGGAUGGUGUGGUGGACAGCCGAAGGGAUAACGAUGCAGCGGCGACGUGACUAAUGUGAACAGAACUCGAAACUCUAAACGAACUAGACCCUAAGACCAGCAACUCGACACGACGAUGCAACCGAUAAUUCAGUAAUGCAAACAAUGAAUAGAAAAUUGCAAAGGCUCAGACUGGCUUGGACAAAAGGUAAGAAAAUAAAUCUAAUCUAGGGGAAACUGGAAAUUCUCACCGAGCAACCUGAAAACUGAUACCACUUGAUAGAGGCGAGGGUGUCCCGAUCUUUCGAUGAGAUGAUAACUAUCGAUUUGGUGGAGACGACUUUGACGUCCGACUACAAACGUGCACGACGUUGCGCCUUAUCAAUCGCUAAACCAAUCUCCUGAGGUUACUGACGAUGCCGGAAGCACGAUCAGCCUGACCACGAAGGUCUAUUCCUGCAAGCAAUCGAAGAACGAGCAAGAAUAUGAUAAUGCAAUCUGAAUAUUGCGAAUAUAUAUGAAGUAUUGAUAGUGGUGGGAAUCCGUAAGCGGUCUUGGUCUGGUCGUUGGACACAAACGAAGUACACGAAGUUGCAAUGGCUAACUUUUAACUAAACAAAUUCCAAGGAAAAAGCUACUAGAUGGAUCUACUUAUAUAGGAGCAAGGGGUGGCGGCCAAGGAGGUGGGAGGACGUCCCAAGGCAGCCUAAAACCAACCCUAGGUCCUACAAGGCUCAUGGGCCCAAGUGGAGGUGAUGCAACACCUUUGGACUUGUAGUUUGACUCGGAUUCUGGUACAACGUCAGAUUGUUUCGACCAUAACUCAAUGCUCCGGACGAAUUUAAAGGUGAAUCCAAUUGGGUUGGAAAGAGCACGAAAUCUAGUUUCCAACAAAAAAAGAAUCACCCAAUUCGGAGUCCGUAUGAAAAAGUUGUUGGCGUUUUGAGUCAGGUAUGUCUGUGCAGUCCGAAUCUGAAUCCAGAACGUGAGAGACUUGGACUCUAUCUUCUCUUGGCCCAAAAGUGACGUGAGAGGACUUUUUGAACAGAACCUAAACUUCUCCUUUUGCCUUAUCUUCAUAUGUGGAUUGUACAAAUGUCCCAUACACCUGCAAUUAGACAAAACACAAAAGUGUGUGAAGUAUUUUUGUUCUGGAUAACAUAAAUAGAUUAUUGAAUAGUUUGCACUAUAAAUCACCUGACAAAUAUGCAUGUAUGCAAUAUUUUUGGUCGUAUGCAAGGUAGUCAUGUCCUCAUCAGUUUGACCUGGGAAGAGUUUUGAGACACUCGCCAUUAUAGUGAUUUUUCACAAAAAAAAGAGCGCAAAAAAAAAAGAGCACGAAAAAAAAGAGCAAAAAAAAUUCCAGGGUGUGCUUUUCCCUUGUUUACGUGCAGCGCCGUGAUUUUGUUAGUGUUCUAGGCUCGCGUCUCUAGCACGGUCUAGCCUAGGACCAGCACAGUACCGUCGUUGAGCGUUUAUUCAACUUUGCAUCUCUGAAUUGAUUAUUGCUGACCAUUUUUGCUACCAUAUUAUAAGCCUUCCCAGCUCCACAUACAUCUACAUCGUGCGUUUGACUCUCCCUGGUAAUCGCUCUAUCCAAGCUUUGAGAGUUUUGACUACAACGGUUGCCGAUCACCACCUGCUGCUGGGUAAGAACUGGUAAGAAUUUGAGAUUCGCUUGAAGGAUUUGUGACACACCACCAUCACCACCACUUCCUAGUAGUCCGUAGGAUCAUAUUCUUUUGUGUUUCUAUUGCUGCUAACCAUGGCAGGAUCACAAGCCGAUGAGACUGAUUGGGAGAACAUGACGAACAAGGAGUUGCAUGAUAAAUUUCAGCAAAUGAUGAGUGGCCAGGUGGGAGAUGUGCUAAACAGAUUUGAAGAGGCUAUGGAGAAGAUAGAUGCCGUGGAGAAGUCGUUCGAGACAAAGCUGGAUAACAAGUUUACUGAAUUACUCAAGCGUCUUCCCCAACCACCACCGGCUGCAUAUGUCGCACCUCUACAACAACAACAACCACAUCUCCAACGCUGCCUUCCAAAUCAAGUGGGACGAGCACAGCGCGUUCCAAUUGAGACUGGUCAAAAUUCGGGUGCCGCUGCACCUACUGUUGAUGCUUCUUUGGCUCCUGCUACUGCGGCGGCUGAGGAGGAUGACGAUUAUGCGGGCGAUUAUGAGGAUGAGGUUGAUCAAAAUCAGAACUACGUGCAGCCACCAGCACCACCACCAGCAGGUCGACCUCAGGUAUAUAUUCGCAACGGUAGGCCAGCACCACCACCUCAGGUACGAGAUCAUGACCAUCUCCCUAAACUGAAAUUGAAUAUUCCACCAUUUGAGGGUAGAUAUGUUCCUGAUAUAUAUCUUACUUGGGAGUUAGAAACUGAACAACGAUUUACAUGUUUACAAUAUCCUGAGGAGAGACGUGUUCCUGCUGCUGUUUGUGCUUUUACUAGCUUUGCAUGUGUUUGGUGGUCUGAACAUUGUAGAUUAUAUCCUGUUCCAGCUACUUGGGCUGGUUUGAAAACUGCUAUGCGUACUCGUUGGGUUCCACCAUAUUAUCAACGUGAAUUACUUCAAAAAUGCAGCGCUUAAGACAAGGGAAAAUUAUGUAGAAGAAUAUUAUCAGGAAUUACAAACUGGCAUGAUUAGAUGUGGUAUUGUUGAGGAGAAUGAAGCUAUGCUUGCACGUUUUAUGGGUGGAUUAAAUAAAGAGAUUCAGACCAUUCUAGAGUAUAAGGAUUAUAAUAAUAUCACUCGUUUAUUCCAUCUUGCUUGUAAAGCUGAACGUGAAGUGUAGGAUCGACAGGCAUUGGCGCGAACUAACUUUUCUGCAGGUCGACCUUCAUCAUGGACACCACGUGCAUCCUCUACUUCCACUUCACCAUCACCUCCAUCAGCUGCCACCUCCAGCCGUGAUACAAGAAAGCAGGCACAACCACCACUCUCUGCCAAGAGCACACCUGCCGGGCCUGCGCAGAGCUCUUCUUCUUCCAUGGCGUCAACAGGGCACACAAGUGAUAUUAUUUGUCGUCGUUGUAAGGGAAGAGGACAUUAUGCGAGAGAAUGCAAAUCUCAGCGUGUGAUGAUUGCUACUGAGGAUGGUGGGUAUGAGUCCGCUAGUGACUAUGAUGAGGAGACUUUGGCUCUUAUUACACGUGAAGAACAUGGUGGAGAUGAUUCUGAAAAUGAGACGCAAUACAUGGCUCCUGAAGACACUGACAGGUAUGAAUGUUUAGUUGCUCAACGUGUUUUGAGUGUGCAGGUCACACAAGCAGAGCAAAAUCAGAGGCAUAAUUUGUUCCAUACAAAGGGAGUUGUGAAGGAACGUUCUGUUCGCGUCAUCAUAGAUGGAGGGAGCUGUAACAACUUGGCUAGCAUGGAGAUGGUGGAGAAACUAUCUCUCACCACAAGACCACAUCCACAUCCUUACUACAUCCAUAAUUCUAUAGAAGAAUAUUAUCAGGAAUUACAAACUGGCAUGAUUAGAUGUGGUAUUGUUGAGGAGAACGAAGCUAUUCUUGCACGUUUUAUGGGUGGUUUAAAUAGAGAGAUUCAGACCAUUCUAGAGUAUAAGGAGUAUACUAAUAUCACUCGUUUAUUCCAUCUUGCUUGUAAAGUUGAACGUGAAGUGCAGGAUCGACAAGCAUUGGCGCGAACUAACUUUUCUGCAGGUCGACCUUCAUCAUGGACACCGCGUGCAUCUUCUACUUCCACUGCACCAGCACCUCCAUCAGGUUCCACCUCCAGCCGUGAUACAAGAAAGCAGGCACAACCACCACGAUCUGCCAAGAGCACAGCUGCCGGGCCUGCACAGAGCUCUUCUUCUUCCAUGGCAUCAACAGGGCACACAAGUGAUAUUAUUUGUCGUCGUUGUAAAGGAAGAGGACAUUAUGCGCGAGAGUGCAAAUCUCAGCGUGUAAUGAUUGCUACUGAGGAUGGUGGGUAUGAGUCCGCUAGUGACUAUGAUGAGGAGACUUUGGCUCUUAUUACACGUGAAGAACAUGGUGGAGAUGAUUCUGAAAAUGAGACGCAAUACAUGGCUCCUGAAGACGCUGACAGGUAUGAAUGUUUAGUUUCUCAACGUGUUUUGAGUGUGCAGGUCACACAAGCAGAGCAAAAUCAGAGGCAUAAUUUGUUCCAUACAAAGGGAGUUGUGAAGGAACGUUCUGUUCGCGUCAUCAUAGAUGGAGGGAGCUAUAACAACUUGGCUAGCAUGGAGAUGGUGGAGAAACUAUCUUUCACCACAAGACCACAUCCACAUCAUUACUACAUCCAAUGGUUCAACAACAGCGGCAAGGUUAAGGUAACACGUACUGUUCGUGUGCAUUUUAGUAUCUCUACAUAUGCUGAUUAUGUUGAUUGUGAUGUGGUACCCAUGCAAGCAUGUUCCUUAUUACUUGGUAGACCAUGGCAAUUUGAUAAAAACUCUGUACACCAUGGUAGAAACAAUCGGUAUACUCUUGUUCAUAAGAAUAAAAAUAUUACUUUGCUUCCUAUGACUCCUGAUUCCAUUUUGAAAGAUGACAUUAAUAGAGCUAAUAAAGCAAAACAGGAGAAAAAUAAGAGUGAAAAUCAGAUUGUGGCAAAAGAAUUUGAGCAACAAAUGAAACCUAAUAAUAAACCGUCUAGUGUUGUUUCUGAAAUUAAAUUGAAAAGUGCAUGUUUACUUGCCACAAAAUCUGAUAUUGAUGAGCUAGAUUUCAACAAAUCUGUUUGCUAUGCUUUUGUGUGCCAAUAGGCAUUAUUUUCAUUCAAGGACGUGCCUUCCGCUUUGCCCCCUGCUGUCACUAACAUUUUGCCUAUUCCUUAUCGUCAUCCUAUUCCUAGGCUAGAUGAUAUGCUUGAUGAAUUGAGUGGCUCUACAAUCUUCUCCAAAGUUGUUUUGCGUAGUGGAUACCAUCAAAUUCGUAUGAAAUUGGGAGAUGAAUGGAAAACAGCAUUUAAAACUAAGUUUGGUUUAUAUGAGUGGUUAGUCAUGCCUUUUGGGUUAACUAAUGCACCUAGUACUCUCAUGAGACUAAUGAACGAAGUUUUACGUGCUUUCAUUGGACGAUUUGUGGUAGUCUAUUUUGAUGAUAUACUGAUUUAUAGCAAAUCUUUGGAAGAACAUUUGGAACAUUUACGUGCUGUUUUUAUUGCUCUACGUGAUGCACGUUUGUUUGGUAACCUUGGGAAGUGCACCUUUUGCACCGACCGAGUAUCUUUUCUUGGCUAUGUUGUUACUCCACAGGGAAUUGAAGUUGAUAAAGCCAAGAUUGAAGCUAUUGAGAGUUGGCUGCAGCCCAAAACGGUCACACAAAUGCGGAGUUUUCUUUGACUCGCUGGUUUCUAUAGGCGUUUUGUGAGAGAUUUUAGCACCAUUGCUGCACCUCUCAACGAGCUUACAAAGAAGGAUGUGCCUUUUGUUUGGGGUACCGCACAGGAAGAAGCCUUCACGGUAUUGAAAGAUAAGUUGACACAUGCUCCUUUACUCCAACUUCCUGAUUUUAAUAAGACUUUUGAGCUUGAAUGUGAUGCUAGUGGAAUUGGAUUAGGAGGUGUGUUAUUACAAGAUGGUAAACCUGUUGCAUACUUUUCUGAAAAAUUGAGUGGGCCUAGUCUGAAUUAUUCUACUUAUGAUAAAGAACUAUAUGCUCUUGUUCGGACUUUAGAAACAUGGCAACAUUAUUUAUGGCCCAAAGAAUUUGUUAUACAUUCUGAUCAUGAAUCUUUAAAACAUAUUAAAAGUCAAGCUAAACUGAAUCGUAGACAUGCUAAAUGGGUUGAAUUCAUUAGAACUUUCCCUUAUGUCAUUAAACACAAGAAGGGUAAAGAAAAUGUUAUUGCUGAUGCAUUGUCUCGUCGCUAUACUAUGCUGUCACAACUUGACUUCAAAAUAUUUGGUUUGGAGACCAUCAAAGAUCAAUAUGUGCAUGAUGCUGAUUUUAAAGAUGUUUUGCAGAAUUGUAAAGAAGGAAGAACCUGGAACAAGUUUGUCAUUAAUGAUGGAUUUGUGUUCCGUGCUAACAAGCUAUGCAUUCCAGCUAGCUCUCUUCUUCUUUUGUUGUUGCAGGAGGCGCAUGGAGGAGGAUUAAUGGGACACUUUGGCGUGAAGAAGACGAAGGACGUACUUGCUACACAUUUCUUUUGGCCAAAGAUGAGACGGGAUGUUGAGUGUUUUGUUGCUCGCUGCACUACAUGUCAAAAAGCUAAGUCACGACUCAAUCCUCAUGGUUUAUAUAUGCCUUUGCCUGUACCUAGUGUUCCUUGGGAGGAUAUAUCUAUGGACUUUGUUUUAGGUUUACCUCGAACAAAGAAGGGGAGGGAUAGCAUAUUUGUUGUCGUGGAUAGAUUCUCAAAAAUGGCACACUUUAUAUCAUGUCAUAAAAGCGAUGAUGCUGUUAAUGUUGCUGAUUUGUUCUUCCGUGAAAUUAUUCGUUUGCAUGGUGUGCCAAAUACUAUUGUUUCAGAUCGUGAUACUAAAUUUCUUAGCCACUUUUGGAGAUGUUUAUGGGUUAAGUUGGGGACUAAACUGCUUUUUAGUACUACUUGUCACCCCCAAACUGAUGGACAAACUGAAGUAGUCAAUAGAACAUUGUCUACUAUGCUUAGGGCUGUGUUGAAGAAUAAUAAGAAAAUGUGGGAAGAAUGCUUGCCUCAUAUUGAGUUUGCUUAUAAUCGUUCAUUGCAUUCUACUACUAAGAUGUGCCCUUUUGAAAUUGUGUAUGGUUUCCUACCUCGUGCACCUAUUGAUUUGUUGCCUCUUCCAUCUUCGGAGAAGGUUAAUUUUGAUGCUAAACAACGUGCUGAAUUGAUCUUAAAAAUGCAUGAGUUAACUAAGGAAAACAUUGAGCGUAUGAAUGCUAAAUAUAAACUUGCUGGAGAUAAGGGUAGAAAACAUGUUGUGUUUGCACCUGGAGAUCUUGUUUGGUUACAUUUGCGUAAGGAUAGAUUUCCUGAUUUGUGCAAAUCAAAGCUAAUGCCACGUGCUGAUGGUCCUUUUAAGGUGUUAGAGAAAAUAAAUGAUAAUGCAUAUAAACUUGAGCUGCCUGCAGAUUUUGGGGUUAGUCCCACUUUUAACAUUGCAGAUUUGAAGCCUUAUUUGGGUGAGGGAGAUGAGCUUCCGUCGAGGACGACUUCAUUUCAAGAAGGGGAGGAUGAUGAGGACAUUAAUACCAUUGUUACACCCACAGCCCCUGCUGCUAUACAUACUGGACCAAUUACUAGAGCUCGCGCAGGCCAAUUAAAUUACCAGGUACUUUCGUUUCUUGGUAAUGAUUCUAAUGUUCAUGAGAAUAUGAUGCUGCCUAAAUUGGAUACAUUUGUUUUGCUUACAAAUGAAGGGCCUAGCUUUGAGAAGGAUGAACAUUGGAGCAAGAACAAGCAUGGAGAUGAUGGCAUGCGCAUGGGGAACAAGAACGGAGUUACAAGUGAUGAUUUCAGGACGUUGACGCCACCAUAAUGCGUGCAUGAAGCCUUGGACGAAAUAUACAAGAUGCUACUUCAUAACUUUCGUCCAGAGGCUAUUCUAGGUGCUGCGUCACCUUAUUAUUGGGCCAGGCCCAUGUAAUUUCGAAAUACUUGAGUAUAGGCUGUUUUUAGAGUCCGUAUGUGUGGGGAAACAAGAGAUAGGGUUGGUUUCGGACCCCUUCCCCAAGGGCCACGAAAUUCCCCCUCUUCCUCCAUAUAUACAGCCCUUAGGGCGUCGUUUAGACUUUGGGUUUUGUUUAGAUUAAAAGUUCUCCAUAGCUGCAACUUCGCGUACUUCGUUUGUGUUCAACGACCAGACAAAGGCGUCACAGAACCCCACCUUGAUCAAUAAAGCUUUCAUCUUAUAUUCGCAAUAUCCAGAUUGCAAUCUCAGUUUCUUGCUUGUUCUUCGUUUGCUCGCAGGAAACAGACCCUCGUGGUCAGGUUGAUCGUGCUCCGGCGUGGUCAAUAACCUCUCGGAGUUGGUUUAGCGAUUGCUAAGGCGCGACGUCAUCGCACGUUCGUAGUCGGAUCGUCAAAGCCGACUUCCACCAAAGCGAUAUCAAUCAUCUCAUCGAAAGACGGGACACCUUUGCCUCUAUUAAUGUAUGAUUUUUCUCCCAUGAACGCUUUGCAUCUCAUUCCAUAUCAUCUUGCUAAGCUUCAUGUGCUUUGUCAUGAACAAUCUUGCCUCACGGACUCAUUCUUACAUGAUGGACACUUUGUGUGCGCUAACCAUUGUAUUUCCAAGUGUUGUUUGUGUUUGCUCUUUUUGCAUGUGUACCACUCCGGACACACCUUGGAGUACUUGGAUUGCGCCAUGUUUUCCACUUCGUCCAACUACAAGUCCGUCCACGACAACCGUUUCCAUGGUGAUGAAGUUUUCGAUCCGAGGUCGGAUCUUUCCCAAGGGAGGUGAGAUGAUGCGGAGCAUCCUACGGUCAUCCCCAUGUACACUCGAACCUACGCCUUUGGACCUAAGGUGAACCCGCUCCUAAAUGCUUCUCCUUUCCAUUCAUGUGAGACAUGGUUGCUACCUAAUGCAAGGACACUACAUAUGCCUAGGUACCAAGGAGACCCUCUCGGAGAUGCUCGGAAUGAUGGACAAGUCCCCAAGUACAAGGAUGAAGGAGCACGACGAGAGCAACCGGAGAAAGGCUACAGGACCCGGACAUCCGGCCAGGCCCCAGACAUCCGGCCCCUCCCGCAAGCCCGGACAUCCGGCACCAGCCCAGAAAUCCGGCGCCCAUCGCAGAAGACACCCGAAGCUGAACCACGUCAGCUCGGACAUCCGGCUCUUCCCGAGCCGCCGGACAUCCGGCACCCCAGCCCGGACAUCCGACCCCGCCUAUCCAGAGACUACAGAAGUUUGCACCGCCAGCCCGGACAUCCGGCCCCCAGCCCGGACAUCCGGCCACUCCUGAAGCCCCGGACAUCCGGCCCGUCGCCCGGAGAUCCGGCUCCGUCUGUCUGCGCACAGUAAAGGGCCGAGGCCCGUGUACCCCUUCGACCCCCUAGACUAUAUAUACUCCUUGUCCUCCAUCUUUCUAGGGUUAGCAAAGGAUUAGCUCAUUUAGAGAUAGAGCUUUGCUCAUCCAUAUCGGAUCUACUCCACGAGAGAGACUGCGGCCCCUCUACGGAGAAGAUCCACCUUGGAUUCAAGACCCCUCACGGGAAGAUCCCCUCGUGGAUUCAAGACCUCCUCAUGGAGAAGAACCGGUUACCGUUUGUAUCAUCCGUUGUUGACUUUGGAUCUUGUAUCUUACCUUUGUGUUCAUCGAUCUAGUGCAUGUGUGAUCUAUUCUUGUUGGUUGAGUGAUUUCUCUCGUGUUCCUCUCGUGUUUCCCUCGUGUUUCCCCUCGUGUUCAUCACGUUCCUCGUAGGGAUCCGCUCCUUUCGUGAAAGAGCGGCCAUCUAGGGUUCCACCCUACAUCAAGGUCUUGAGGGGGGCCACCCAAGAGGGGGUCUUGAAUCCAACGUGGAUCGUCUCCGAAGAGGGGCCGCAGUCUCUCUCGAGGAGGAGAUCCGUAUGGAUGAGCAAUGCUCUAUCUCACAUAUGAGCUAAACCAGUGCUGACCCUAGAAAGAUGGAGGAGAAGGAGUAUAUAUAGUCUAGGGGGUCGAAGGGGUACACGGGCCUCGGCCCUUACUGUGCGCAGACAGGGGUGGCCGGAUGUCCGGGCGACGGGCCGGAUGUCCGGGGCUUCAGGAGGGGCCGGAUGUCCGGGCUGGGGGGCGGACGUCCGGGCUGGAGGGCAAAACUUCUGGAUGUUCUGUAGCGUGGCGCCGGAUGUCCGGGCUUUUGACCGGAUUUCCGGGCUGGGGCCGGAUGUCCGGGCUGGACGCCGGAUGUCCGGGCCCUGUAGGCUUGGGCGUCUGGGCUGCUGCUGCUGUGGUUGCUCCAGGGGCCGGAUGUCCGGGACCUGGAAGGUGAACUUGCCCGUUUCCGUUGGUUCCCUUCAUCUGUGAACUUGGCGGCAUGUCCGUCUUCACGUGCAUCCUCGGGAGGCUCCUCUUGACACCUAAUCAUGCAUAGCAUAUCGGACUUAGGUAGUAGCCAUGUCUCGAGUGGAUCAUAUGUGACAUCACUAAGGAAGGAAGUCACCUCGUUCUCGAGAGCUCUAGCUCGUGCUCGUGUCAUAGGUCCUCUUGGUGAGACGAUGGUAGGUCCAUGGGGAUGACCGUAGGAUGCUCCGCAUCAUCUCCCCUCCCUUGGGAAAGAUCCGACCUCGGAUCAAAAUCCUCUUCACCCUGGUACGGGGAUAGAUCUUUGAUGUUGAAGAUGUCGCUCACGGAGUACUUGUCGCGUGGGAUGUCGAUCUUGUAUGCGUUGUUGUUGUAGCGUGCAAGCACCUUGAAGGGUCCAUCCGCUCGGGGUAGUAGCUUGGACUUGCGUUCCUUGGGGAAGCGAUCCUUGCGAAGGUGUAGCCACACAAGAUCUCCAACAUUGAACAUCAUGGGUUGCUUGUUGACGUUGAGCUUGGUCGCGAGUCGUUGUACUUGGCGCUCGAUGGUGUUUCUUGUAUCUUCGUGCAUGUUCUUGAGGAAGUUGACUCGGGCACUCGCGUCCAUGUUUGUGCGCUCUUGUAGCGGUAGAGGUAGAAUGUCCAAUGGAGACAAUGGGUUGAAGCCAUAGACAACCUCGAAGGGGGACUUGCCGGUAGUCGAAUGUCUUGCACGAUUGUAGGCAUACUCGGCAAUGGGUAGGCACUCCUCCCACUCCUUGAUGUUCUUCUUUAUCAACACGCGUAGUAGAGUGGAGAGCGUGCGGUUGGUCACCUCCGUUUGGCCAUCGGUUUGUGGAUGGUAUGCCGAAGAGAACAAAAGCUUGAUUCCGAGCUUGGCGCACAAUGUCUUCCAAAAGUAACUCAAGAACUUGACGUCGCGGUCCGAGACAAUCGUCUUUGGCACUCCAUCAAGGCGCAAGAUUUCCCUACAAAACAAAUUUGCAACAUGUGGAGCAUCGUCUAUCUUGUUGCAAGGAAUGAAAUGUGCCAUUUUGGAGAAUCGGUCCACAACAACAAAAACGGAAUCCUUGCCAUUUCGAGUUCUAGGCAAACCAAGCACAAAGUCCAUGCUAAUAUCUUCCCAUGGGUGAUAUGGAAUUGGAAGUGGCAUAUAGAGGCCAUGAGAUUGAGCUUUGGACUUAGCUUUGCGACAUGUAGAGCAUCGGUUGGUGAAGCGAUUGACGUCGCGGAACAUCUUGGGCCAAAAGUAGUUCUUGGAGAGCAUAGCAAAUGUCUUGUCGCGUCCAAAGUGUCCCAUGAGUCCGCCUCCAUGAGAUUCCUGCAAAAGCAACAAACGAAGAGAGGACUCGGGGAUGCAAAGUUUGUUAGCUCUCAUAAGAUAUCCAUCUUUGAUGUAGUAUCGAUCCCAAGAAGUAUGCGUCAAACACUUGGUAUAAGGAAUAGAAAAUGUAGGAUCAUGCUCAUACAAGUCUUUUAUAUGCUCAAAGCCAAUGACAUUUAACUCAAGUUGAUUAACAAGCAUGCAUAUACGGGAAAGUGCAUCCGCCACAACAUUUUCCUUACCUUUAAUAUACUUGAUGACAUAAGGAAACGACUCAAUGAACUCACUCCAUUUAGCAUGACGCUUGUUCAACUUAGUUUGACCCUUAAGGUAUUUAAGCGUUUCAUGGUCGGUAUGGAUGAUGAACUCAUGAGGGCGUAGGUAAUGUUCCCAUUCAUGCAAAACUCGCACCAAAGCAUAUAGCUCUUUGUCAUAGAUAGGGUAAUUGAGUUGUGCUCCGGAGAGUUUCUCACUAAAAUAAGCAAUUGGGCGCUUCUCUUGCGUUAACACACCUCCUAUGCCAUUACCACUAGCAUCGCAAUGAAUUUCGAAAGGUUUGUCAAAGAUGGGUAAUGCAAGCACGGGAGCAUGAGUAAGCAAAUUCUUAAGCUCAUUGAAAGCGAUAUCUUGAGAUGUUCCCCAAACAAACGGUGCAUUUUUCUUACUCAAAGCAUGCAGAGGUGAAGCAAUGGUGCUAAAAUCCUUCACAAAUCUGUGAUAGAAACCGGCUAAACCAAGAAAACUACACACUUGUUGCAAAUUGGUUGGUUGGGGCCAAGUUUUAAUAGCAUUGAUCUUAGAUUCAUCAACAUGAACACCCUUAGAAGAUACUACGAAACCCAAGAAAACAAGCUUAUCAACACCAAAUAGGCAUUUUUCCAUAUUAGCAUAAAGUUGCUCUUUUCGAAGAGUUUGUAGCACGGUGCGAAGGUGGGUGACAUGCUCUUUGAGAGAUUUGCUAAACACAAGGUUAUCAUCAAAGUAGACAACAACAAAUUCACCGAUGUAAGGGCGAAACACGUAAUGCAUAAGACGCAUGAAAGUAUCGGGUGCUUCCGAUAAACCCAUAGGCAUGACUAACCACUCAUAUAGACCAAACUUUGUUUUGAAAGCGGUUUUCCAUUCAUCACCCUCUUGUAUGCGGAUUUGAUAGUAACCACUUUUAAGAUUAAUUUUGGAAAAGAUAGUGGCACCGCAAAGUUCAUCAAGCAUAUCAUCAAGGCGUGGAAUGGGAUACCUAUAACGAACGGUGAUAGCAUUGAUAGGUCUACAAUCGGAACACAUGCGAAAGCUACCGUCUCGUUUUGGCACAAGAAUGACCAGUGCGGCACAAGGACUCAAACUUCCACGCACAUGUCCAUGGUCUAUGAGAUGCUUUACUUGCCUUUGAAUUUCUUUGGUUUCUUCGGGGUUGACGCGGUAGGGCGCUUUGUUUGGAAGCGGCGCUCCGGGGAUGAGAUCAAUUCGGUGCUCAAUGCCUCGUAGUGGAGGUAGACCCAGAGGUAGCUCAUCGGGGAAAACAUCUUGGAAUUCCUGCAAUAAAGAAGAUAACACCAAAGGUAGAUCGUGAGAGUUGUUAGUUUUUGGUGCCUCAUCCUUGCACAAUAGGACAUAGUGUAGGACACUUGGUGGGUUCUCACACACUUGUCUCAUCUCACGUUUGGUGGCAAAUAGGACUAAGUUUUUCUUGUCGCUCAUUGUGGAGGCACUCAAUUUAGGCUUGUGGCGCUCACUCUCUUUUUGGUGGUUCACUCUCUCACUAUUCUCUCCACGAUGGGUGUUUUGCUUGUCGGCGAGCACUUGGCUUGGAGACAUAGGACGUAGCACAAACUCUUUCCCUUUCAUCUUGAAGCUAUAGUGAUUUGUACGCCCAUUGUGAAUGACACCUCGGUCAAAUUGCCAUGGCCGUCCAAGAAGGAGGUGGCACACGGUCAUCGGAAGGACAUCACACUCCAAAGUGUCUUCAUAGGCGCCGAUCUUGAAAGAGACUUGUACUCUCUGCUCGACUUGUAUGAUGCCGGUGUCGCUUAGCCAUGGAACCUUGUAGGGGUGCGGGUGCUUCAUCUUGACCAAUUGGAGUUUGGAGCAUAGUUCUUCACUUGCCAAGUUAUGGCAACUCCCUCCAUCGAUGAUGACCUUGACGGACCAUCCAUUGAUGCCGGCCUUUGUGUGGAAGAUAUGGCAUCUUUGAUCUUCGUCUUGUUGAUGUUGAAGAGUCAAGACCUUGGAGACAACAAGAGCGGGACUUGAGUCUUCGUCACAAAAGAUGUGAUCAUCUUCUUCUUCCUUGUUCACUUGUCGGUGCAUGGCCACUUGCUCAAGAGCUUCCAUUUCUCCUUCACUCAUGGAGUCGUAGGUGCCGUCGUCGUUGAGGAUCAUGCUGCGCUUGUUUGUGCACUCGAAGGACUUGUGGCCUCGGCCUCCGCAUGUGAAACAUUUGAUGGAACUUGUCUUGAUGGUCUCAUCGGUUGGAGUAGAUGAUGAUGAAGCUUUCAGCUUGAAGUUGCUUGUAGUAGGAGGACGACUUGAGCUUGUCAAAGCUUUCUUGUAACUUGACUUGUCGCCAUUGCUCGUGGUGGGAGCCGUUGAAGCUUGAUUGUUGGAGAGGCCAUAGGACUUGGAUGAGAACUUGGCAUACUUGAAGUCGUCUUGUACUUGUCGUUCCACUUUGGUAGCUUGAUGCACUAGCUCAAUGAGGUUCGAGUAUGGUUGGAAGUCGGCAAUCUUCUUGAUAGGGUGAUUGAGUCCAUUCAAGAAACGUGCCAUAGUUUGCUCAUCAUCUUCUUUGACAUUGGCUCGUAUCAUGCAAUCUCCAUUUCCUUGUAGUACUCUUCAACGCUCUUGGUUCCUUGCUUGAGUUGUUGGAGUUUCUUGAAGAGGUCGCGGUUGUAGUAGUUUGGCACGAAUCGUGCUCUCAUGACAUCCUUCAUUGGUGCCCAAGUGGUGAUGGGUGGUUCACCUCUUGUCGCAUGGCGCUCAAUGACUUGUUCCCACCAAAUGAGGACGUAGUCUUGGAAUUCGAGGGAUGCCAUUGCGAUCUUCUUCUCUUCUUCGUAGUUGUGCAAGCGGAAGAUUUUGUCAACCUUUAAUGCCCAUGAUAUGUACUCUUCGGGGUCAUUGCUUCCGGUAAACUUGGGCAUGGUGAACUUUAGCUUGCCAUAUCGUUGCUCUUCAUUGUGUUAGGGUCGGGGAUGAUGAUGCCCAUGUCGGUGAGGAUUGGCAAUCUCAUGUUGCUCUUGGCGAGGAGGGUUGUCUUCCUCAUGUUGCUCUUGGUGAGGAGGGUUGUCUUCCUCAUGAUGCUCUUGGCGAGGAGGUGGUCCAUUGUCCUCUUGCUCUCGAUGGACUUGACGUUCUUGUCUCGCAUGAGGAGGAGCUUGUCGAUCUUGACGAGGAACUUGUCGAUCAUGUCGAGGAGCUUGUCGAUGCACACGUGCUUCGUAAAUCCUUUCUUGAGCUUCGUCGCGAAGUGCUUCUUGAUGUAGUCGAGCUUGUCGGCCUCGAUUGGCUACGGCACGACUUGAGUCUUGAAGAGCACGUUGCGCCUCAAGUGCUUGAGCUUCACGUAGUUGUCGUUCUUGACGUUGCGCCUCGGCGUCUUGUGCAUCUUGAUGUUGUCGCGCUCGCUCCUCUUGUUCUUGUUGUCGUUGGUGUUGCCGUUCUUGUGCUUGUGCGAAAGCAGCUUGGUUGUGACGAUGUCGAUGCUCUUGAGAGUCGGUGUCGUGUAGAGGAUUGCGGUUAGCUUGACGGUCUUGACGCGCGGCACGACGAAGAGUGUUCGAUGUCGGUGUACUUGAACUGGAGAUGGUGUCGUCGUAGUGUCGACUUGAGCGGCUCCGUCUUGACGAGGACGAAGUUGUAGAAGAGCGGACCAUCAUGGUUCGGAUAUCUUCUUUGAGGGAACUCAUGGAUGUGUCGAAGUAGUCUCUUGUACGUUGCUCAGAUUGUCGUAGAUCGGUGGCGAGGUUGUCGAUGCGAUCGCCCAAAGCAAGUUGUUCUUGAUGCAAAGCUCGGUGUGCACCAAAUAGUUGAGUCUUGGUGACGUAGGAUGACAUGUCGUCGUCUUGCUCCAAGAAGAGUGGAUUGGUAGAAGUACUUGGCCUAUCCAUCAUUCCAAACAAAGAUAUGUGAGUGGGAGAAAGAGAAGAACCAAUACCAAAUGUACCUUGACCGAUGUUGAAAAUGGAUCAAAGAUCACUCCAAUGUGUAUCAAGGGAAUAGCACAAUUGGUACCGUUUCUUGUCGGUUCUCACACCUACACAAGUAAAUGCUUAUGGUGGAGCUUGGUUAGGAUGGUGGCACAAAAUUUGAUGCAAUUGUAAGUGAGACUCAAUAAUGUUGGAAAAGAUUCACAAAUUUGCAAAUGCAACAAGUAGACCAAUAGCAAGAUAUGGUACACGGAAACACACACGCAAAUAGAUAAGUGGGGUUGGGCAACCAAGGGUGAGCCAAAAUGUGGAAUCCACCAAGAUGCUCUAGUUGCACAACACUAGAGAGACGCUAGGACGAUUGCACAAUAGGCGGAUACGAACUUGUGCACAACCUACUAAGCAAAAAUGCAACGACAUCUAUCCCAAGUAUGCUAUAUGUAUGAUGUUUCUAUGCUUUGAUCCAAGAAGAUCGAGUAUGACAAUCUUAAUGUUGUAUGAUGCUAUGUUUCUUGCUUAAGCUCUUUGCUUAUCUUUCCCUUUUGCUUAAAGGCUUAUUUGGCUCUUUGUUGUUUGAGCUCUUUUCUCAUGCAAUGCUUCACGAACCAAGAUAGCAAUUGUGUAUGCGAAGACAACUUUUGUGACACAAGAGAUGAUACCAAGAUAUGCAACUCAAUGAUGGUAUGUAUGUUAUGUGAAGAAUGAACACUAAUGUGCACAAGUCACGUUGCCGGCAAUACUCAAAGGCUAGUCUCGAUGGGUAAGCUACGCAAAAGUAAGGCCACGGGGUUAUCAAUGCAAAUGCAAGAGAGUAUGAUAAUAUCACGAUACCAAGAUGAUAUGACGGUGAAGGUGAUACCAAAGUAAUGUAGCCGUUCGUAGUAGUUGACGAGGACAUCAAUACCAUUGUUACACCCACAGCCCCUGCUGCUAUACAUACUGGACCAAUUACUAGAGCUCGCGCACGCCAAUUAAAUUACCAGGUACUUUCGUUUCUUGGUAAUGAUUCUAAUGUUCAUGAGAAUAUGAUGCUGCCUAAAUUGGAUACAUUUGUUUGGCUUACAAAUGAAGGGCCUAGCUUUGAGAAGGAUGAACAUUGGAGCAAGAACAAGCAUGGAGAUGAUGGCAUGCGCAUGGGGGACAAGAACGGAGUUACAAGUGAUGAUUUCAGGACAUUGAAGUCACCAUAAUGCGUGCAUGAAGCCUUGGACGAAAUAUACAAGAUGCUACUUCAUAACUUUCGUCCAGAGGCUAUUCUAGGUGCUGCGUCACCUUAUUAUUGGGCCAGGCCCAUGUAAUUUCGAAAUACUUGAGUAUAGGCUAUUUUUAGAGUCCGUAUGUGUGGGGAAACAAGAGAUAGGGUUGGUUUCGGACCCCUUCCCCAAGGGCCACGAAAUUCCCCCUCUUCCUCCAUAUAUACAGCCCUUAGGGCGUCGUUUAGACUUUGGGUUUUGUUUAGAUUAAAAGUUCGCCAUAGCUGCAACUUCGCGUACUUCGUUUGUGUUCAACGACCAGACAAAGGCGUCACAGAACCCCACCUUGAUCAAUAAAGCUUUCAUCUUAUAUUCGCAAUAUCCAGAUUGCAAUCUUAGUUUCUUGCUUGUUCUUCGUUUGCUCGCAGGAAACAGACCUUCGUGGUCAGGUUGAUCGUGCUCCGGCGUGGUCAAUAACCUCUCGGAGUUGGUUUAGCGAUUGCUAAGGCGCGACGUCCUCGCACGUUCGUAGUCGGAUCGUCAAAGUCGACUUCCACCAAAGCGAAAUCCACCAUCUCAUCGAAAGACGGGACACCUUUGCCUCUAUCAGUUUUCCUUAGUUAACUCAUGCAUUUUUAAAAUCAAUUCAGCACGUUGUUUAGCAUCAAAAUUAACCUUCUCCGAAGAUGGAAGAGGCAACAAAUCAAUAGGUGCACGAGGUAGGAAACCAUACACAACUUCAAAAGGGCACAUCUUAGUAGUAGAAUGCAAUGAACGAUUAUAAGCAAAUUCAAUAUGAGGCAAGCAUUCCUCCCACAUUUUCUUAUUAUUCUUCAAAACAGCCCUAAGCAUAGUAGACAACGUUCUAUUGACUACUUCAGUUUGUCCAUCAGUUUGGGGGUGACAAGUAGUACUAAAAAGCAGUUUAGUCCCCAACUUAGCCCAUAAACAUCUCCAAAAGUGGCUAAGAAAUUUAGUAUCACGAUCUGAAACAAUAGUAUUUGGCACACCAUGCAAGCGAAUAAUUUCACGAAAGAACAAAUCAGCAACAUUAACAGCAUCAUCGCUUUUAUGACAUGGUAUAAAGUGUGCCAUUUUCGAGAAUCUAUCCACGACAACAAAUAUGUUAUCCCUCCCCUUCUUUGUUCGAGGUAAACCUAAAACAAAGUCCAUAGAUAUAUCCUGAUAGAGGCAAAGGUGUCCCGUCUUUCGAUGAGAUGAUGGAUAUCGCUUUGGUGGAAGUCGACUUUGACGAUCCGACUACGAACGUGCGAGGACGUCGCGCCUUAGCAAUCGCUAAACCAACUCCGAGAGGUUAUUGACCACGCCGGAGCACGAUCAACCUGACCACGAGGGUCUGUUUCCUGCGAGCAAACGAAGAACAAGCAAGAAACUAAGAUUGCAAUCUGGAUAUUGCGAAUAUAAGAUGAAAGCUUUAUUGAUCAAGGUGGGGUUCUGUGACGCCUUUGUCUGGUCGUUGAACACAAACGAAGUACGCGAAGUUGCAGCUAUGGCGAACUUUUAAUCUAAACAAAACCCAAAAUCUAAACGAUGCCCUAAGGGCUGUAUAUAUGGAGGAAGAGGGGGGGGGGAAUUUCGUGGCCCUUGGUGGAGGGGUCCGAAAUCAACCCUAUCUCUUGUUUCCCCACACAUACGGACUCUAAAAAUAGCCUAUACUUAUGUAUUUCGAAAUUACAUGGGCCUGGCCCAAUAAUAAGGUGACGCAGCACCUAAAAUAGCCUCGGGACGAAAUUUAUGAAGUGGCAUCUUGUAUAUUUCGUCCAAGGCUUCAUGCACCCAUUAUGGUGGCUUCAAAGUCCUGAAAUCAUCACUUGUAACUCCGUUCUUGUUCCCCUUGCGCAUGCCAUCAUCUCCAUGCUUGUUCUUGCUCCAAUGUUCAUCCUUCUCCAAGCUAGGCCCUUCAUUUGUAAGCAAAACAAAUGUAUCCAAUUUAGGCAGCAUCAUAUUCUCAUGAACAUUAGAAUCAUUACCAAGAAACGAAAGUACCUGGUAAUUUAGUUGGCGUGCGCGAGCUCUAGUAAUUGGUCCAGUAUGUAUAGCAGCAGGGCCUGUGGGUGUAACAAUGGUAUUGAUGUCCUCAUCAAGGUCAAACUGACAGGAUGGGCAUGAAAUUUUUGUGACCAAAAAAAAAUUUUUUUUUGACUGCCCGGACCCAAAAACUGGAAACGGGUCAAAAAAACUUUCUAUAACGGCGACUGUCUCAAUACGCUUAGAAACACCUAAAAAUAGGAUAGCCAGAAAUUUUUUUGUCAAGUGCGUUUUCCGAAAAUUUUGGGCCUAAACGGAGGGUGGUUUCCGGACACUUUUUUUUUUGGAAACCAACCUCUUCUACGGACGGCAAAAGAUUGCUGGAAUUCGAAACCUACUCCAACAAGGAAACACGAAUCGGAAAUUAGAUGGAUCCCGAAAACAAACCUAAUACGCAAGGAACUCGGAUUGGUGGUGGAUAUAUGGUGGUGGUAUAUGGCAGCGGUGCUGGUAGCGGUGGUAGUAUAUGGAUAUGGAUCGGUGGUGGUAUAUGGACACGGAUUGGUGGUGGUAUAUGGAUACAGAUUCGGAGCGGUGGCGGAUAAGCGGUGGUGGUAGAUGGCAGGGGCGAUGAUGAUGGUGCGGCGGCGGCGUGACAACUUAUGACCAGAACUCGAAACUCUAAAAGACUAGACUCUAAGACCAGCAACUAGACACGACGAUGCAACCGCAAAUUCAACAAAGCAAAACCCUAAAAAGAUUAUGCAAAGGCUCAGAUUGGUUCGGAUAUGAUGAACUAACCCUAAUUUUUUUUGUGGCUUUUUCGUGGACUGUAGGUAUGAAGAACAGACUCGAUCUAAACUACGAAAAACUGUAAAAUCUCACCGAGCAACCUGGAAAUCUGAUACCACUUGAUAGAGGCAAAGGUGUCCCAUCUUUCGAUGAGAUGGUGGAUUUCGCUUUGGUGGAAGUCGACUUUGACGAUCCGACUACGAACGUGCGAGGACGUCGCGCCUUAGCAAUCGCUAAACCAACUCCGAGAGGUUAUUGACCACGCCGGAGCACGAUCAACCUGACCACGAGGGUCUGUUUCCUGCGAGCAAACGAAGAACAAGCAAGAAACUGAGAUUGCAAUCUGGAUAUUGCGAAUAUAAGAUGAAAGCUGUAUUGAUCAAGGUGGGGUUCUGUGACGCCUUUGUCUGGUCGUUGAACACAAACGAAGUACGCGAAGUUGCAGCUAUGGCGAACUUUUAAUCUAAACAAAACCCAAAGUCUAAACGAUGCCCUAAGGGCUGUAUAUAUGGAGGAAGAGGGGGGAAUUUCGUGGCCCUUGGUGGAGGGGUCCGAAAUCAACCCUAUCUCUUGUUUCCCCACACAUACGGACUCUAAAAAUAGCCUAUACUUAUGUAUUUCGAAAUUACAUGGGCCUGGCCCAAUAAUAAGGUGACGCAACACCUAAAAUAGCCUCAGGACGAAAUUUAUGAAGUGGCAUCUUGUAUAUUUCGUCCAAGGGUUCAUGCACCCAUUAUGGUGGCUUCAAAGUCCUGAAAUCAUCACUUGUAACUCCGUUCUUGUUCCCCUUGCGCAUGCCAUCAUCUCCAUGCUUGUUCUUGCUCCAAUGUUCAUCCUUCUCCAAGCUAGGCCCUUCAUUUGUAAGCAAAACAAAUGUAUCCAAUUUAGGCAGCAUCAUAUUCUCAUGAACAUUAGAAUCAUUACCAAGAAACGAAAGUACCUGGUAAUUUAGUUGGCGUGCACGAGCUCUAGUAAUUGGUCCAGUAUGUAUAGCAGCAGGGGCUGUGGGUGUAACAAUUGUAUUGAUGUCCUCAUCACUGCGUCACCUUAUUAUUGGGCCAGGCCCAUGUAAUUUCGAAAUACAUAAGUAUAGGCUAUUUUUAGAGUCCGUAUGUGUGGGGAAACAAGAGAUAGGGUUGAUUUCGGACCCCUCCACCAAGGGCCACGAAAUUCCCCCCUCUUCCUCCAUAUAUACAGCCCUUAGGGCAUCGUUUAGACUUUGGGUUUUGUUUAGAUUAAAAGUUCGCCAUAGCUGCAACUUCGCGUACUUCGUUUGUGUUCAACGACCAGACAAAGGCGUCACAGAACCCCACCUUGAUCAAUAAAGCUUUCAUCUUAUAUUCGCAAUAUCCAGAUUGCAAUCUCAGUUUCUUGCUUGUUCUUCGUUUGCUCGCAGGAAACAGACCCUCGUGGUCAGGUUGAUCGUGCUCCGGCGUGGUCAAUAACCUCUCGGAGUUGGUUUAGCGAUUGCUAAGGCGCGACGUCAUCGCACGUUCGUAGUCGGAUCGUCAAAGUCGACUUCCACCAAAGCGAUAUCCAUCAUCUCAUCGAAAGACGGGACACCUUUGCCUCUAUCAAGUGGUAUCAGAUUUCCAGGUUGCUCGGUGAGAUUUUACAGUUUUUCGUAGUUUAGAUCGAGUCUGUUCUUCAUACCCACAGUCCAUGAAAAAGCCACAAAAAAAAAUUAGGGUUAGUUCAUCAUAUCCGAACCAAUCUGAGCCUUUGCAUAAUCUUUUUAGGGUUUUUGCUUUGUUGAAUUUGCGGUUGCAUCGUCGUGUCAAGUUGCUGGUCUUAGAGUCUAGUCUUUUAGAGUUUCGAGUUCUGGUCAUAAGUUGUCACGCCGCCGCCGCACCAUCAUCAUCGCCUUGCCAUCUACCACGAUUGCUUAUCCGCCACCGCUUUGAAUCCGUAUCCAUAUACCACCACCAAUCCGUAUCCAUAUACCACCACCGCUACCAUAUACCACCACCGCUGCCAUAUCCUACCACCAUAUAUCCACAACCAAUCCGAGUUCUUUUCAUAUUCGGUUUGUUUUAGAGAUCCAUCUAUUUUCCGUUUCGUGUUUCCUUGCCUGAGUAGGUCUCGGAAAAAAAAGAGUCUGGAGACCCCCGGGCAGUUUUUAGGCCAAAAUUUCGGUGACCAAAAAUAUUUUUCCCUAUCCUAUUUUAGGUCCCGGGGAGUGUUUUGAGACACUCACCAUCAUAGUGAUUUUUUGUCGCACUUUUUCGUCGUCGUUGCCCUGAUUUCCGAAAAAAAAUAGUCAAAAAAAUUUUGUGCCUAUCCUGUCAGUUUGACCUGGGAAGAGUUUUGAGCACUCGCCAUUAUAGUGAUUUUUCGCAAAAAAAAAAGAGGAGCGCAAAAAAAAAGAGCGCAAAAAAAAAGAGCGAAAAAAAAUUCCAGAGUGUGCUUUUCCCUUGUUUACGUGCAGCGCCGUGAUUUUGUUAGUGUUCUAGGCUCGCGUCUCUAGCACGGUCUAGCCUAGGACCAGCACAGUACCGUCGUUGAGCGUUUAUUCAACUUUGCAUCUCUGAAUUGAUUAUUGCUGACCAUUUUUGCUACCAUAUUAUAAGCCUUCCCAGCUCCACAUACAUCUACAUCGUGCGUUUGACUCUCCCUAGUAAUCGCUCUAUCCAAGCUUUGAGAGUUUUGACUACAACGGUUGCCGAUCGCCACCUGCUACUGGGUAAGAACUGGUAAGAAUUUGAGAUUCGCUUGAAGGAUUUGUGACACACCACCAUCACCACCACUUCCUAGUAGUCUGUAGGAUCAUAUUCUUUUGUGUUUCUAUUGCUGCUAACCAUGGCAGGAUCACAAGCCGAUGAGACUGAUUGGGAGAACAUGACGAACACGGAGUUGCAUGAUAAAUUUCAGCAAAUGAUGAGUGGCCAGGUGGGAGAUGUUCUAAACAGAUUUGAAGAGGCUAUGGAGAAGAUAGAUGCCGUGGAGAAGUCGUUCGAGACAAAGCUGGAUAACAAGUUUACUGAAUUACUCAAGCGUCUUCCCCAACCACCACCGGCUGCAUAUGUCGCACCUCUACAACAACAACAGCCACAUCUCCAACGCCGCCUUCCAAAUCAAGUGGGACGAGCACAACGCGUUCCAAUUGAGACUGGUCAAAAUUCGGGUGCCGCUGCACCUACUGUUGAUGCUUCUUUGGCUCCUGCUACUGCGGCGGCUGAGGAGGAUGACGAUUAUGCGGGCGAUUAUGAGGAUGAGGUUGAUCAAAAUCAGAACUACAUGCAGCCACCAGCACCACCACCAGCAGGUCGACCUCAGGUAUAUAUUCGCAACGGUAGGCCGGCACCACCACCUCAGGUACGAGAUCAUGACCAUCUCCCUAAACUGAAAUUGAAUAUUCCACCAUUUGAGGGUAGAUAUGUUCCUGAUAUAUAUCUUACUUGGGAGUUAGAAACUGAACAACGAUUUACAUGUUUACAAUAUCCUGAGGAGAGACGUGUUCCUGCUGCUGUUUGUGCUUUCACUAGCGUUGCAUGUGUUUGGUGGUCUGAACAUUGUAGAUUAUAUCCUGUUCCAGCUACUUGGGCUGCUUUGAAAACUUCUAUGCGUACUCGUUGGGUUCCACCAUAUUAUCAACGUGAAUUACUUCAAAAAUUGCAGCGCUUAAGACAAGGGAAAAAUUCUGUAGAAGAAUAUUAUCAGGAAUUACAAACUGGCAUGAUUAGAUGUGGUAUUGUUGAGGAGAAUGAAGCUAUGCUUGCACGUUUUAUGGGUGGAUUAAAUAAAGAGAUUCAGACCAUUCUAGAGUAUAAGGAUUAUAAUAAUAUCACUCGUUUAUUCCAUCUUGCUUGUAAAGCUGAACGUGAAGUGUAGGAUCGACAGGCAUUGGCGCGAACUACCUUUUCUGCAGGUCGACCUUCAUCAUGGACACCACGUGCAUCCUCUACUUCCACUUCACCAUCACCUCCAUCAGGUGCCACCUACAGCCGUGAUACAAGAAAGCAGGCACAACCACCACUCUCUGCCAAGAGCACACCUACCGGGCCUGCGCAGAACUCUUCUUCUUCCAUGGCGUCAACAGGGCACACAAGUGAUAUUAUUUGUCGUCGUUGUAAGGGAAAAGGACAUUAUGCGAGAGAAUGCAAAUCUCAGCGUGUGAUGAUUGCUACUAAGGAUGGUGGGUAUAAGUCCGCUAGUGACUAUGAUGAGGAGACUUUGGCUCUUAUUACACGUGAAGAACAUGGUGGAGAUGAUUCUGAAAAUGAGACGCAAUACAUGGCUCCUGAAGACGCUGACAGGUAUGAAUGUUUAGUUGCUCAACAUGUUUUGAGUGUGCAGGUCACACAAGCAGAGCAAAAUCAGAGGCAUAAUUUGUUCCAUACAAAGGGAGUUGUGAAGGAACGUUCUGUUCGCGUCAUCAUAGAUGGAGGGAGCUGUAACAACUUGGCUAGCAUGGAGAUGGUGGAGAAACUAUCUCUCACCACAAGACCACAUCCACAUCAUUACUACAUCCAAUUGUUCAACAACAGCGGCAAGGUUAAGGUAACACGUACUGUUCGUGUGCAUUUUAGUAUCUCUACGUAUGCUGAUUAUGUUGAUUGUGAUGUGGUACCCAUGCAAGCAUGUUCCUUAUUACUUGGUAGACCAUGGCAAUUUGAUAAAAAUUCUGUACACCAUGGUAGAAACAAUCAGUAUACUCUUGUUCAUAAGGAUAAAAAUAUUACUUUGCUUCCUAUGACUCCUGAUUCCAUUUUGAAAGAUGACAUUAAUAGAGCUAAGAAAGCAAAACAGGAGAAAAAUAAGAGUGAAAAUCAGAUUGUGGCAAAAGAAUUUGAGCAACAAAUGAAACCUAAUAAUAAACCAUCUAGUGUUGUUUCUGAAAUUAAAUUGAAAAGUGCAUGUUUACUUGCCACAAAAUCUGAUAUUGAUGAGCUAGAUUUCAACAAAUCUACUUGCUAUGCUUUUGUGUGCAAAGAGGCAUUAUUUUCAUUCGAGGACGUGCCUUCCUCUUUGCCCCCUGCUGUCACUAACAUUUUGCAGGAGUUCGCUGACGUCUUCCCACAAGACGUGCCACCGGGAUUACCACCUAUUCGAGGGAUUGAGCAUCAAAUUGAUUUAAUUCCCAGUGCAUCGCUACCCAACCGUGCACCAUACCGUACCAAUCCAGAGGAGACGAAGGAGAUUAUGCGUCAAGUACAGGAGCUGCUCGACAAAGGUUAUAUACGCGAAUCUCUUAGUCCUUGUGCUGUUCCUAUUAUACUAGUGCCUAAAAAGGAUGGUACGUCGCGUAUGUGUGUUGAUUGUAGAGGCAUUAAUAAUAUUACUAUUCGUUAUCGUCAUCCUAUUCCUAGGCUAGAUGAUAUGCUUGAUGAAUUGAGUGGCUCUACAAUCUUCUCCAAAGUUGAUUUGCGUAGUGGAUAUCAUCAAAUUCGUAUGAAAUUGGGAGAUGAAUGGAAAACUGCAUUUAAAACUAAGUUUGGUUUAUAUGAGUGGUUAGUCAUGCCUUUUGGGUUAACUAAUGCACCUAGUACUCUCAUGAGACUAAUGAACGAAGUUUUACGUGCUUUCAUUGGACGAUUUGUGGUAGUCUAUUUUGAUGAUAUACUGAUUUAUAGCAAAUCUUUGGAAGAACAUUUGGAACAUUUACGUGCUGUUUUUAUUGCUCUACGUGAUGCACGUUUGUUUGGUAACCUUGGGAAGUGCACCUUUUGCACCGACCGAGUAUCUUUUCUUGGCUAUGUUGUUACUCCACAGGGAAUUGAAGUUGAUAAAGCCAAGAUUGAAGCUAUUGAGAGUUGGCUGCAGCCCAAAACGGUCACACAAGUGCGGAGUUUUCUUUGACUCGCUGGUUUCUAUAGGCGUUUUGUGAGAGAUUUUAGCACCAUUGCUGCACCUCUCAACGAGCUUACAAAGAAGGAUGUGCCUUUUGUUUGGGGUACCGCACAGGAAGAAGCCUUCACGGUAUUGAAAGAUAAGUUGACACAUGCUCCUUUACUCCAACUUCCUGAUUUUAAUAAGACUUUUGAGCUUGAAUGUGAUGCUAGUGGAAUUGGAUUAGGAGGUGUGUUAUUACAAGAAGGUAAACCUGUUGCAUACUUUUCUGAAAAAUUGAGUGCGCCUAGUCUGAAUUAUUCUACUUAUGAUAAAGAACUAUAUGCUCUUGUUCAGACUUUAGAAACAUGGCAACAUUAUUUAUGGCCCAAAGAAUUUGUUAUACAUUCUGAUCAUGAAUCUUUGAAACAUAUUAAAAGUCAAGCUAAACUGAAUCGUAGACAUGCUAAAUGGGUUGAAUUCAUUGAAACUUUCCCUUAUGUCAUUUAACACAAGAAGGGUAAAGAAAAUGUUAUUGCUGAUGCAUUGUCUCGUCGCUAUACUAUGCUUUCACAACUUGACUUCAAAAUAUUUGGUUUGGAGACCAUCAAAGAUCAAUAUGUGCAUGAUGCUGAUUUUAAAGAUGUUUUGCAGAAUUGUAAAGAAGGAAGAACCUGGAACAAGUUUGUCGUUAAUGAUGGAUUUGUGUUCCGUGCUAACAAGCUAUGCAUUCCAGCUAGCUCUCUUCGUCUUUUGUUGUUGCAGGAGGCGCAUGGAGGAGGAUUAAUGGGACACUUUGGCGUGAGGAAGACGGAGGACGUACUUGCUACACAUUUCUUUUGGCCAAAGAUGAGACGGGAUGUUGAGCGUUUUGUUGCUCGCUACACUACAUGUCAAAAAGCUAAGUCACGACUCAAUCCUCAUGGUUUAUAUAUGCCUUUGCCUGUACCUAGUGUUGCUUGGGAGGAUAUAUCUAUGGACUUUGUUUUAGGUUUACCUCGAACAAAGAAGGGGAGGGAUAGCAUAUUUGUUGUCAUGGAUAGAUUCUCAAAAAUGGCACACUUUAUACCAUGUCAUAAAAGUGAUGAUGCUGUUAAUGUUGCUGAUUUGUUCUUCCGUGAAAUUAUUUGUUUGCAUGGUGUGACAAAUACUAUUGUUUCAGAUCGUGAUACUAAAUUUCUUAGCCACUUUUGGAGAUGUUUAUGGGCUAAGUUGGGGACUAAACUGCUUUUUAGUACUACUUGUCACCCCCAAACUGAUGGACAAACUGAAGUAGUCAAUAGAACAUUGUCUACUAUGCUUAGGGCUGUUUUGAAGAAUAAUAAGAAAAUGUGGGAAGAAUGCUUGCCUCAUAUUGAGUUUGCUUAUAAUCGUUCAUUGCAUUCUACUACUAAGAUGUGCCCUUUUGAAAUUGUGUAUGGUUUCCUACCUCGUGCACCUAUUGAUUUGUUGCCUCUUCCAUCUUCGGAGAAGGUUAAUUUUGAUGCUAAACAACGUGCUGAAUUGAUCUUAAAAAUGCAUGAGUUAACUAAGGAAAACAUUGAGCGUAUGAAUGCUAAAUAUAAACUUGCUGGAGAUAAGGGUAGAAAACAUGUUGUGUUUGCACCUGGAGAUCUUGUUUGGUUACAUUUGCGUAAGGAUAGAUUUCCUGAUUUGCGCAAAUCAAAGCUAAUGCCACGUGCUGAUGGUCCCUUUAAGGUGUUAGAGAAAAUAAAUGAUAAUGCAUAUAAACUUGAGCUGCCUGUAGAUUUUGGGGUUAGUCCCACUUUUAACAUUGCAGAUUUGAAGCCUUAUUUGGGUGAGGAAGAUGAACUUCCGUCGAGGACGACUUCAUUUCAAGAAGGGGAGGAUGAUGAGGACAUCAAUACAAUUGUUACACCCACAGCCCCUGCUGCUAUACAUACUGGACCAAUUACUAGAGCUCGUGCACGCCAACUAAAUUACCACGUACUUUCGUUUCUUGGUAAUGAUUCUAAUGUUCAUGAGAAUAUGAUGCUGCCUAAAUUGGAUACAUUUGUUUUGCUUACAAAUGAAGGGCCUAGCUUGGAGAAGGAUGAACAUUGGAGCAAGAACAAGCAUGGAGAUGAUGGCAUGCGCAAGGGAAACAAGAACGGAGUUACAAGUGAUGAUUUCAGGACUUUGAAGCCACCAUAAUGGGUGCAUGAAGCCUUGGACGAAAUAUACAAGAUGCCACUUCAUAAAUUUCGUCCCGAGGCUAUUUUAGGUGCUGCGUCACCUUAUUAUUGGGCCAGGCCCAUGUAAUUUCGAAAUACAUAAGUAUAGGCUAUUUUUAGAGUCCGUAUGAGUGGGGAAACAAGAGAUAGGGUUGAUUUCGGACCCCUCCACCAAGGGCCACGAAAUUCCCCCCCCCCUCUUCCUCCAUAUAUACAGCCCUUAGGGCAUCGUUUAGACUUUGGGUUUUGUUUAGAUUAAAAGUUCGCCAUAGUUGCAACUUCGCGUACUUCGUUUGUGUUCAACGACCAGACAAAGGCGUCACAGAACCCCACCUUGAUCAAUAAAGCUUUCAUCUUAUAUUCGCAAUAUCCAGAUUGCAAUCUCAGUUUCUUGCUUGUUCUUCGUUUGCUCGCAGGAAACAGACCCUCGUGGUCAGGUUGAUCGUGCUCCGGCGUGGUCAAUAACCUCUCGGAGUUGGUUUAGCGAUUGCUAAGGCGCGACGUCCUCGCACGUUCGUAGUCGGAUCGUCAAAGUCGACUUCCACCAAAGCGAUAUCCAUCAUCUCAUCGAAAGACGGGACACCUUUGCCUCUAUCACUUUGUUUUAGGUUUACCUCGAACAAAGAAGGGGAGGGAUAGCAUAUUUGUUGUCGUGGAUAGAUUCUCGAAAAUGGCACACUUUAUACCAUGUCAUAAAAGCGAUGAUGCUGUUAAUGUUGCUGAUUUGUUCUUUCGUGAAAUUAUUCGCUUGCAUGGUGUGCCAAAUACUAUUGUUUCAGAUCGUGAUACUAAAUUUCUUAGCCACUUUUGGAGAUGUUUAUGGGCUAAGUUGGUGACUAAACUGCUUUUUAGUACUACUUGUCACCCCCAAACUGAUGGACAAACUGAAGUAGUCAAUAGAACAUUGUCUACUAUGCUUAGGGCUGUUUUGAAGAAUAAUAAGAAAAUGUGGGAAGAAUGCUUGCCUCAUAUUGAGUUUGCUUAUAAUCGUUCAUUGCAUUCUACUACUAAGAUGUGCCCUUUUGAAAUUGUGUAUGGUUUCCUACCUCGUGCACCUAUUGAUUUGUUGCCUCUUCCAUCUCCGGAGAAGGUUAAUUUUGAUGCUAAACAACGUGCUGAAUUGAUCUUAAAAAUGCAUGAGUUAACUAAGGAAAACAUUGAGCGUAUGAAUGCUAAAUAUAAACUUGCUGGAGAUAAGGGUAGAAAACAUGUUGUGUUUGCACCUGGAGAUCUUGUUUGGUUACAUUUGCGUAAGGAUAGAUUUCCUGAUUUGCGCAAAUCAAAGCUAAUGCCACGUGCUGAUGGUCCUUUUAAGGUGUUAGAGAAAAUAAAUGAUAAUGCAUAUAAACUUGAGCUGCCUGCAGAUUUUGGGGUUAGUCCCACUUUUAACAUUGCAGAUUUGAAGCCUUAUUUGGGUGAGGGAGAUGAGCUUCCGUCGAGGAUGACUUCAUUUCAAGAAGGGGAGGAUGAUGAGGACAUCAAUACCAUUGUUACACCCACAGCCCCUGCUGCUAUACAUACUGGACCAAUUACUUGAGCUCGCGCACGCCAAUUAAAUUACCAGGUACUUUUGUUUCUUGGUAAUGAUUCUAAUGUUCAUGAGAAUAUGAUGCUGCCUAAAUUGGAUACAUUUGUUUUUCUUACAAAUGAAGGGCCUAGCUUUGAGAAGGAUGAACAUUGGAGCAAGAACAAGCAUGGAGAUGAUGGCAUGCGCAUGGGGGACAAGAACGGAGUUACAAGUGAUGAUUUCAGGACAUUGAAGCCACCAUAAUGCGUGCAUGAAGCCUUGGACGAAAUAUACAAGAUGCUACUUCAUAACUUUCGUCCAGAGGCUAUUCUAGGUGCUGCGUCACCUUAUUAUUGGGCCAGGCCCAUGUAAUUUCGAAAUACUUGAGUAUAGGCUAUUUUUAGAGUCCGUAUGUGUGGGGAAACAAGAGAUAGGGUUGGUUUCGGACCCCUUUCCCAAGGGCCACGAAAUUCCCCCCUCUUCCUCCAUAUAUACAGCCCUUAGGGCGUCGUUCAGACUUUGGGUUUUGUUUAGAUUAAAAGUUCGCCAUAGCUGCAACUUCGCGUACUUCGUUUGUGUUCAACGACCAGACAAAGGCGUCAUAGAACCCCACCUUCAUCAAUAAAGCUUUCAUCUUAUAUUCGCAAUAUCCAGAUUGCAAUCUCAGUUUCUUGCUUGUUCUUCGUUUGCUCGCAGGAAACAGACCCUCGUGGUCAGGUUGAUCGUGCUCCGGCGUGGUCAAUAACCUCUCGGAGUUGGUUUAGCGAUUGCUAAGGCGCGACGUCAUCGCACGUUCGUAGUCGGAUCGUCAAAGUCGACUUCCACCAAAGCGAUAUCCAUCAUCUCAUCGAAAGACGGGACACCUUUGCCUCUAUCAAGUGGUAUCAGAUUUCCAGGUUGCUCGGUGAGAUUUUACAGUUUUUCGUAGUUACGGGUCAAAAUUGUUGGAGUUGGUAGUGGGAAAGGCUAUGGUGGUGCUAUGCAGAAGUGGUGGUGGUAUGCGGAAGUGUAUGUGGGCACCGGGACAAAAUUUGGUGAGAGUUAGGCGGUAAACGGAGUGGAGGAUGGAGUUGAUGCUGUCAGGGGCCGGAUGCGGGCUGAUGGACGGAUGUCCGGGCUCGGGAUCCGUGGAUGAACACCGCGUGCAGAGGUCAAAUCCGGGGCGAAAUUCGGAAGAUUUUGUGGAUGGAAAUUGGGGAAAAGAUGGGGAAAAGCUAGAUCUACCUGCAACACACGAAAUCCACGGAUCAAAUCCAACAAAACUUCAUCACACCAACAAAUCACAAAAAAAUUUGGGGCUAUUUUUGUCGGGGAAUUUUCGGGUUAGGACGAAAAACAACAAAAUCAAGCUAGAAAACAAAGAGAGGUGGCUCCAAAAUCGUGAUUAACGUGGCUCUGAUACCAAGAUGAUGUAGGGUGGAACCCUAGAUGGCCGAUCUUUCAUGAAAGGAGCGGAUCCCAACUUAGAACACGAAGAACACGAGGGGAAACACGAGGGGAAGAUACGAGAGAAUCACUCAAACCAACAAGAACAAUCACACAUGUGCUAGAUCCUCGGAACACAAAGAGAUACACGAUCCAAAUCCAACAAGGGACGAUACAUAGGUAACCGGUUCUUCUCCGAAAGGAUGUCUUGAGGGGGGCCACCCAAGAGGGGGUCUUGAAUCCAACGUGGAUCGUCUCCGAAGAGGGGCCGCAGUCUCUCUCGAGGAGGAGAUCCAUAUGGAUGAGCAAUGCUCUAUCUCACAUAUGAGCUAAACCAAUGCUGACCCUAGAAAGAUGGAGGAGAAGGAGUAUAUAUAGUCUAGGGGUCGAAGGGGUACACGGGCCUCGGCCCUUACGGUGCGCACACAGGGGUGGCCGGAUGUCCGGGCGAUGGGCCGGAUGUCCGGGGCUUCAGGAGGGGCCGGAUGUCCGGGCUGGGGGGCCGGACGUCCGGGCUGGAGGGCAAAACUUCUGGAUGUUCUGUAGCGAGGCGCCGGAUGUCCGGGCUUUUGACCGGAGUUCCGGGCUGGGGCCGGAUGUCCGGGCUGGACGCCAGAUGUCCGGGCCUUGUAGGCUUGGGCGUCUGGGCUGCUGCUGUUGUGGUUGCUCAGGGGCCGGAUGUCCGGGACCUGGAAGGUGAACUUGCCCGUUUCCGUUGGUUCUCUUCAUCCGUGAACUUGGCGGCUUGUCCGUCUUCACGUGCAUCCUUGGGAGGCUCCUCUUGACACCUAAUCAUGCAUAGCAUAUCGGACGUAGGUAGUAGCCAUGUCUCGAGUGGAUCAUAUGUGGUAUCACUAAGGAAGGAAGUCACCUCGUUCUCGAGAGCUCUAGCUCGUGCUCGUGUCAUAGGUCCUCUUGGCUCUUGAUGAGACGAUGGUAGGUCCAUGGGGAUGACCGUAGGAUGCUCCGCAUCAACAAGCCUGCUCAGGGCCUCUAGACUAUCCCGCUCUCAUGUCCGUUUGCGGUCUGGGGGCUGGACGUUUUGGGCCCGUUCCCUCGAGCGCCCGGGGGCUACCGCUACCUCUACGUCGCCAUUGACAAGUUCACCAAGUGGGCGGAGGUGGAGCCAGUCCGCACCAUCCCGGCCGACUUGGCGGUCAAGUUCAUCAAGGACCUUGUGAGCCGGUUCGGAGUCCCUAAUCGCAUCAUCACCGACAACGGCUCACAAUUCACUAGCAAUCUCUUCAAAUCAUAUUGUGCUAAUCUUGGAACGCAGAUAUGUUAUGCCGCAGUGGCACACCCCAGGAGCAACGGCCAAGCCGAGCACGCAAACGCAGAGGUCCUGAGGGGCCUCAAAGCAAGGACUUUCAAGAAGAAGCUCGAAGCCUGCGGCAGCGGCUGGCUGGACGAGCUCUAGUCCGUAAUGUGGUCCAUCCGCACCACCGCAACCAAGCCGACCGGCGAGACUCCAUUCUUCCUCGUCUACGGAGCUGAAGCGGUUCUCCCACAUGAGGUCAGGCAUGGCUCCGCAUGGGCUUGGCGUUUGACGAGGCACGCCAGGACGCCACGCGGGGGAUGGACCUCCUGCUGGGGAGGAACGCCGCCAUCAAGCCUCGCUCCGAGCGGCAACGUACCAGCAGGCGCUGCAGCGGUAUCACUGUCGCAGCGUCCGCUCCAGGACGCUCGAGGUGGGUGAUCUCGUCCUACGGCGGGUGCUCUCCAGGGAAGGGCUGCAUAAGCUCUCACCCAUGUGGGAGGGCCCGUUUAGGGUCGCCCGCGUCUCCAGGCCUGGCGCCGCGCGCCUGGAGACGCAGGACGGGAUCCCCAUCCAGAACGCCUGGAACAUCCAGCACCUCCGGAAGUUCUACCCAUGAAGCAAGGCCCAGUUCCUGUGAAGGUCUUCGCUCGUGACACUCUCACGUAAUAAUGAGUGGGGCUGUACAUGCCCCGGAGUCUCCAGAGUGCCGCCCUCCAGCCUCGGGGGCUCCCUCCCACGUCCUAGUGGCAGCACUUUAGCUCCGCGCUGGUGAGAAGACUAGACUAUGUGCCGGACAUGGCUGUUCGUUUGUUUCUGUAGUUGGUUUACAACCUUUUUAAUGAAAUUUGGAGUUCGUGUGCUUUUAGUUGCCAAGCCGACUUUCCCCUUCGUUUUCUCUCUUGCGCUUUGGUCCUGGUUCAGGAGGAGCGGCAGUUGCCCGUCGCUCUCUCUCACGCAUCUCACGCGUGGGUGCUGGGUGGGUGUGUGCAUGAGACGGGCUCGCACCGCGCCACAUACACACUUUCACCAUAGCCCUACUCCUUCAGAGCUUCGGCUUAUUCUGUCCUCGCGAGACGCCCUCGAGGAAACUCGCGAUCUACGCACCCUCUUGAAGCCCUUUCCCCCCGGGCACUAUGACGCGGUGCACCGAGCCACGACUGGCUCGUGCCUGAGGGAUCGCUCCAGGAAGAAUGACACACCCGACAAAGUUUCCUAACAACUCCGCAGCUUCACGAUGCCUCCUGAGGUCGGUGACUCUCAAGCCGCCAGCAAGGAGGGCCUCACCAGAUAAUGAAGCACACACCCUCGCGAGGUGGGAAACUAUCGUGAGUGUAUCAAGCUAAGUUAUUCUACCAUACCCAUUUGGAGCAAAAACACCGCAGCAUAACAUCGGAACGAUAAGCAUAGAGUAGCAGCAUAAAUGCCAUGGUUCAUUACACGCCCCUGCAGGGCCCUCUACUUUUUCAAAUGCAGGAAGGAAGGAAAGGUUAAACAAAAGCAGCCCGCACAACCGCGGCAGCUCAUGAGGCCUGGCUCCAAGGGCCCCCCGGGGUGAGCUCAGCCUGAGCCCUCCUCACGCUUCACCGCCGCAUGCCGGCGGGACGACCUGUCACCACCCUCGAAGCGAGCCCGGCGGCGUGGCGGCUGGUCAUAGCCGCCGCUGCUGGUGCUCUCACUGGCGGAGGGGCCGCUGCCGUUGGAUGAGCCGUGGCCGUCGCCAAAGGCAAGCUCGCCCCCAGCAUCGUCACGGCUAUCGUCAAGGCCGAGCUCAUCGUCGCUGUCGCUGUCUUCGGGGCAACACCCUACGCGACGACCAUCUUCCCCAAACACCCUCACGCGACACCGUCGUACUUGAAGUGGAGGGUGCACCUCCUGCUCAGGCCGCGCAUGCGGGCGAACGCCUGCCAGCCGUGGGCCAGGGCCACGUUGCCCGCGGCGGAGACCUCCACCGUGACCCACGAGGGCUUGCUGCAGCAACCACCAGCCUGCAGCCAGAGGCCGUCAAGAUCCACAGCCGGCAGCUCGCCGUCAAAGGAGUGCGGAAGCUGGAGCCAGGUGCCGGCCGGACUCUCUGACCACACGACGAACUCCGGGAGCAUCUUCGCCAACUCAAUUAUCCCAUCUAUGACAAAGAGCUAUAUGCUUUAGUGUGAGUUUUGCGUGAAUGGGAACAUUACCUCCGCCCUCAUGAAUUUAUCAUCCAUACCGAUCAUGAAAUGCUUAAAUACCUUAAGGGUCAAACUAAGUUGAACAAGCGUCAUGCUAAGUGGAGUGAAUUUAUUGAGUCUUUUGCUUAUGUCAUCAAGUAUAUUAAAGGGAAGGAAAAUGUUGUGGCGGAUGCGCUUUCCCGUUUAUGCAUGCUUGUUACCCAACUUGAAUUCAAUGUCAUUGGCUUUGAGCACAUAAAAGACUUGUAUGAGCAUGAUCCUACUUUUGCCAUUCCUUAUGCCAAAUGUUUGACGCAUACAUCUUGGGAACGUUAUUACAUCAAAGAUGGAUAUCUUAUGAGAGCUAACAAACUUUGCAUCCCCGAGUCUUCUCUUCGUUUGUUACUUUUGCAAGAAUCUCAUGGAGGAGGACUAAUGGGACAUUUUGGACGCAACUAGACAUUUGCUACGCUCUCCAAGAACUAUUUUUGGCCUAAGAUGUUUCGCGACGUCAACCGCUUCACCAACCAAUGUUCUACAUGUCGCAAAGCAAAGUCUAAAGCUCAAUCUCAUGGCCUUUACAUGCCACUUCCAAUUCCAUAUCAACCAUGAGAAGAUAUUAGCAUGGAUUUUGUACUUGGUUUGCCUAGAACUCGAAAUGGCAAAGAUUCCGUUUUUGUAGUUGUGGAUCGAUUCUCCAAAAUGGCUCAUUUCAUUCCUUGCAACAAGAUAGACGAUGCUUCACAUGUUGCCAAUCUGUUUUGUAGGGAAAUCUUGCAUCUUCAUGGAGUGCCCAAGACGAUUGUCUCGGACCGCGACGUCAAGUUCUUGAGUUACUUUUGGAAGACCUUAUGCGCCAAGCUCGGAAUCAAGCUACUAUUCUCCACGGCAUAUCAUCCACAAACCGACGGCCAAACGGAGGUGACAAACCGUACGCUCUCCACCCUUCUUCGCUUGCUAAUCGAGAAGAACAUCAAGGAGUGGGAAGAGUGCUUACCCAUCGCCGAGUACGCCUACAACCGAGCAAGACAUUCGACUACCGGCAAGUCCCCCUUCGAGGUCAUCUACGGCUUCAACCCGUUGUCCCCAUUGGACAUUCUUCCUCUACCACUACAAGAGCGCAUCAACAUGGACGCGAGUGGCCAAGUCAACUAUCUCAAGAAGAUGCAUUAUGAUAGUAGGAACACCAUCGAACGUCAAGUACAACGACUCGCGACCAAGCUCAACGUCAACAAGCACCCCAUGAUCUUCAACAUUGGCGAUCUUGUGUGGCUACACCUUCGCAAGGACCGCUUCCCCAACAAACGCAAGUCCAAACUUCUACCACGAGCGGAUGGACCCUUCAAGGUGCUAGCACGCUACAACAACAACGCUUACAAGAUCGACCUACCAUGCGACAAGUACAACGUGAGCGACAUCUUCAACGUCAAGGAUCUUUCGCCCUACCAUGGUGAUGAAGAAUUCGAUCCGAGGUCGGAUCUUUACCAAGGGAGGGGAGAUGAUGCGGAGCAUCCCAAGGUCAUCCCCAUGGACCUACCUACGUCUCCCACGACACCACUUGGACCAAUGACAAGAGCCCGAGCUAAGGCUAUCGAAGAUAAGGUGAACUCGCUCCUUUCCGAACUACCACUUUCGACACAUGAGACAUGGCUACUACCUCAAACGGAAACACUAUGUGUGCUUAGGUACUUGGACUAAAGCCAUGGUACAUCUACAUCCAACGAACAAGACGGCAAGGCCACCAACCGUGAAGGACAAGAAGAAGAGCUACCGAAGAAAACUGCAACCACCGAACGACCGGUCGGGACCGGACGUCCGGCGCCUGAAGGCCAACCUGCCCAAGUCCCAGCCAACGCAGGUCCCAGCGAGCGGACAUCCGGCCCGGACCGGACGACCGGCCACACUCUCCAGCGAGUGGACGACCGACGUCAACGAACGUCCGGCACCCCCAACAGAAUGGAUAUUAACGGAAGUAUGGAGAUACCGGACGUCUGGCGCCUCCUUCACAGAACAGAUCUGGCAGAUGUCCGACGACUCCGGACGUCCGGACCCCCAUGAGCCACCGGACGUCCGGACCCCCGUGAGCCACCGGACGACCGGUCCCCAGCGUACCUGUCUGUGCACAGUGUUCGGGCUAGAGGCCCAUGUACCCUUUCACUUCGCCCCAUUUGCACUAAGACUAUAAAUAGAACUCCCCCUCCUCCUAGUAGGGUUAGCAAAGGGUUAGCUCAUGUUUGUGUGAGAGCUUUGCUCAUCCACUUGGUUACUUUCUCCUCGGAGACAUGCCUCCAUCAGAGAAGAUCCUUCCAAGCGGAUUCAAGACCCCCUCUUGGGUGGCCCCAUCAAGACCUCCUCACGGAGAAGAACCGGUUACCUUUGUAUCGUCCUUUGUUGGACUUGGAUCUUGUAUCUCACCUUUGUGUUCAUCGAUCUAGCGCAUGUGUGAUCUAUUCUUGUUGGUUGAGUGAUUCUCUCGUGUUUCCUCUUGUGUUUUCCCUUGUGUUUCCCCGUGUGUUCAUCGUGUUCUUAGUCGGGAUUCGCUCCUUUCGUGAAAGAUCGGCCGUACGGAGUUCCACUCCACAUCAUCGGGCUCCACCGACACUUCCGCCCUCGUCGAGCACUCGGCGUACUUCGUCAGCACGGUACUGCGUGACGCACGGGCAGGCUACCCCAUGCCGCCGAAGCUUCUGCUCGCGCUCCUCGUUGCCUCGCGCAAGCUGCGCCACUACUUCCAAGGUCACCCCAUCAAGGUUGUCUCAGCUUACCUGUUGGAGAGGGUGCUCCGGAGCCCUAAUGCUGCGGGAAGGGUCGCCGAAUGGAACAUCGAACUGCAGGCAUUCCAGCUGGAGUUCAGCACCACCAGGGUCAUCAAGGGCGCCGUGCUCGCCGACUUCGUGGCGGAAUGGACCGACGCCCCAAGGCCCAAAGCAGAGGAGGACCGGUCCCUCUUGCCAGGGAGCGAAGGACUAGACGGCUGGGUCAUGUACUUUGACCGUGCUUUCGCACGUCAGGGCGCGGGGGCUGGAACCGUGCUCAUCUCGCCCACCCAAGACAAGCUCUACUACGCCGUGCAGCUCUGUUUCCAACACGGCGAGAAGGUCUCCAACAAGAUCUCGGAGUACGAAGGCUUGAUCGCCGUCCUCAAGGCCGCGGCCGCUUUGGGCGUGAAGUGGCUCACCAUCAAGGGCGACUCUCAGCUCCUCGUCAACUUGAUAGAGGCAAAGGUGUCCCGAUCUUUCGAUGAGAUGAUAACUAUCGAUUUGGUGGAGACGACUUUGACGAUCCGACUACAAACGUGCACGAUGUUGCGCCUUAUCAAUCGCUAAACCAAUCUCCUGAGGUUACUGACGAUGCCGGAAGCACGAUCAGCCUGACCACGAAGGUCUAUUCCUGCAAGCAAUCGAAGAACGAGCAAGAAUAUGAUAAUGCAAUCUGAAUAUUGCAAAUAUAUAUGAAGUAUUGAUAGUGGUGGGAAUCCGUAAGCAGUCUUGGUCUGGUCGUUGGACACAAACGAAGUACACGAAGUUGCAAUGGCUAACUUUUAACUAAACAAAUUCCAAGGAAAAAGCUACUAGAUGGAUCUACUUAUAUAUGAGCAAGGGGUGGCGGCCAAGGAGGUGGGAGGACGUCCCAAGGCAGCCUAAAACCAACCCUAGGUCGUACAAGGCUCAUGGGCCCAAGUGGAGGUUGAUAAAGGCAAAGGUGUCCCGUCUUUCGAUGAGAUGAUGAAUAUCGCUUUGAUGGAAGUCGACUUUGACGAUCCGACUACGAACGUGCGAGGACGUCGCGCCUUAGCAAUCGCUAAACCAACUCCGAGAGGUUAUUGACCACGCCGGAGCACGAUCAACCUGACCACGAGGGUCUGUUUCCUGCGAGCAAACGAAGAACAGGCAAGAAACUGAGAUUGCAAUCUGGAUAUUGCGAAUAUAAGAUGAAAGCUUUAUUGAUCAAGGUGGGGUUCUGUGACGCCUUUGUCUGGUCGCUGAACACAAACGAAGUACGCGAAGUUGCAGCUAUGGCGAACUUUUAAUCUAAACAAAACCCCAAGUCUAAACGACGCCCUAAGGGCUGUAUAUAUGGAGGAAGAGGGGGGGGGGAACUUCGUGGCCCUUGAGGAAGGGGUCCGAAACCAACCCUAUCUCUUGUUUCCCCACACAUACGGACUCUAAAAACAGCCUAUACUUAUGUAUUUCGAAAUUACAUGGGCCUGGCCCAAUAAUAAGGUGACGCUGCACCUAGAAUAGCCUCUGGACGAAAGUUAUGAAGUAGCAUCUUGUAUAUUUCGUCCAAGGCUUCAUGCACGCAUUAUGGUGGCUUCAACGUCCUGAAAUCAUCACUUGUAACUCCGUUCUUGUUCCCCAUGCGCAUGCCAUCAUCUCCAUGCUUGUUCUUGCUCCAAUGUUCAUCCUUCUCAAAGCUAGGCCCUUCAUUUGUAAGCAAAACAAAUGUAUCCAAUUUAGGCAGCAUCAUAUUCUCAUGAACAUUAGAAUCAUUAGCAAGAAACGAAAGUACCUGGUAAUUUAAUUGGCGUGCGCGAGCUCUAGUAAUUGGUCCAGUAUGUAUAGCAGCAGGGACUGUGGGUGUAAUAAUUGUAUUGAUGUCCUCAUCAUCCUCCCCUUCUUGAAAUGAAGUCGUCCUCGACGGAAGCUCAUCUUCCUCACCCAAAUAAGGCUUCAAAUCUGCAAUAUUAAAAGUGGGACUAACCCCAAAAGCUGCAGGCAGCUCAAGUUUAUAUGCAUUAUCAUUUAUUUUCUCUAACACCUUAAAAGGACCAUCAGCACGUGGCAUUAGCUUUGAUUUGCGCAAAUCAGGAAAUCUAUCCUUACGCAAAUGUAACCAAACAAGAUCUCCAGGUGCAAACACAACAUGUUUUCUACCCUUAUCUCCAGCAAGUUUAUAUUUAGCAUUCAUACGCUCAAUGUUUUCCUUAGUUAACUCAUGCAUUUUUAAGAUCAAUUCAGCACGUUGUUUAGCAUCAAAAUUAACCCUCUCCGAAGAUGGAAGAGGCAACAAAUCAAUAGGUGCACGAGGUAGGAAACCAUACACAAUUUCAAAAGGGCACAUCUUAGUAGUAGAAUGCAAUGAACGAUUAUAAGCAAACUCAAUAUGAGGCAAGCAUUCUUCCCACAUUUUCUUAUUAUUCUUCAAAACAGCCCUAAGCAUAGUAGACAAUGUUCUAUUGACUACUUCAGUUUGUCCAUCAGUUUGGGGGUGACAAGUAGUACUAAAAAGCAGUUUAGUCCCCAACUUAGCCCAUAAACAUCUCCAAAAGUGGCUAAGAAAUUUAGUAUCACGAUCGGAAACAAUAGUAUUUGGCACACCAUGCAAGCGAAUAAUUUCACGAAAGAACAAAUCAGCAACAUUAACAGCAUCAUCGCUUUUAUGACAUGGUAUAAAGUGUGCCAUUUUCGCGAAUCUAUCCACGACAACAAAUAUGCCAUCCCUCCCCUUCUUUGUUCGAGGUAAACCUAAAACAAAGUCCAUAGAUAUAUCCUCCCAAGGAACACUAGGUACAAGCAAAGGCAUAUAUAAACCAUGAGGAUUGAGUCAUGACUUAGCUUUUUGACAUGUAGUGCAGCGAGCAACAAAACGCUCAACAUCCCGUCUCAUCUUUGGCCAAAAGAAAUGUGUAGCAAGUACGUCCUCUGUCUUCUUCACGCCAAAGUGUCCCAUUAAUCCUCCGCCAUGCGCCUCCUGCAACAACAAAAGACGAAGAGAGCUAGCUGGAAUGCAUAGCUUGUUAGCACGGAACACAAAUCCAUCAUUAACGACAAACUUGUUCCAGGUUCUUCCUUCUUUACAAUUCUGCAAUACAUCUUUAAAAUCAGCAUCAUGCACAUAUUGAUCUUUGAUGGUCUCCAAACAAAAUAUUUUGAAGUCAAGUUGUGAAAGCAUAGUAUAGCGACGAGACAAUGCAUCAGCAAUAACAUUUUCUUUACCCUUCUUGUGUUUAAUGACAUAAGGGAAAGUUUCAAUGAAUUCAACCCAUUUAGCAUGUCUACGAUUCAGUUUAGCUUGACUUUUAAUAUGUUUCAAAGAUUCAUGAUCAGAAUGUAUAACAAAUUCUUUGGGCCAUAAAUAAUGUUGCCAUGUUUCUAAAGUCCGAACAAGAGCAUAUAGUUCUUUAUCAUAAGUAGAAUAAUUCAGACUAGGCCCACUCAAUUUUCAGAAAAGUAUGCAACAGGUUUGCCAUCUUGUAAUAACACACCUCCUAAUCCAAUGCCACUAGCAUCACAUUCAAGCUCAAAAGUCUUACUAAAAUCAGGAAGUUGGAGUAAAGGAGCAUGUGUCAACUUAUCUUUCAAUACCGUGAAGGCUUCUUCCUGUGCGGUACCCCAAACAAAAGGCACAUCCUUCUUUGUAAGCUCGUUGAGAGGUGCAGCAAUGGUGCUAAAAUCUCUCAGAAAACGCCUAUAGAAACCAGCGAGUCCAAGAAAACUCCGCACUUGUGUGACCGUUUUGGGCUGCGGCCAACUCUCAAUAGCUUCAAUCUUGGCUUUAUCAACUUCAAUUCCCUGUGGAGUAACAACAUAGCCAAGAAAAGAUACUCGGUCGGUGCAAAAGGUGCACUUCCCAAGGUUACCAAACAAACGUGCAUCACGUAGAGCAAUAAAAACAGCACGUAAAUGUUCCAAAUGUUCUUCCAAAGAUUUGCUAUAAAUCAGUAUAUCAUCAAAAUAGACUACCACAAAUCGUCCAAUGAAAGCACGUAAAACUUCGUUCAUUAGUCUCAUGAAAGUACUAGGUGCAUUAGUUAACCCAAAAGGCAUGACUAACCACUCAUAUAAACCAUACUUAGUUUUAAAUGCAGUUUUCCAUUCAUCUCCCAAUUUCAUACGAAUUUGAUGGUAUCCACUACGCAAAUCAACUUUGGAGAAUAUUGUAGAGCCACUCAAUUCAUCAAGCAUAUCAUCUAGCCUAGGAAUAGGAUGACGAUAACGAAUAGUAAUAUUAUUAAUGCCUCUACAAUCAACACACAUACGCGACGUACCAUCCUUUUUAGGCACUAGUAUAAUAGGAACAGCACAAGGACUAAGAGAUUCGCGUAUAUAACCUUUGUCGAGCAGCUCCUGUACUUGACGCAUAAUCUCCUUCGUCUCCUCUGGAUUGGUACGGUAUGGUGCACGGUUGGGUAGCGAUGCACCGGGAAUUAAGUCAAUUUGAUGCUCAAUCCCUCGAAUAGGUGGUAAUCCCGGUGGCACGUCUUGUGGGAAGACGUCAGCGAACUCCUGCAAAAUGUUAGUGACAGCAGGGGGCAAAGAGGAAGGCACGUCCUCGACUGAAAAUAAUGCCUCUUUGCACACAAAAGCAUAGCAAACAGAUUUGUUGAAAUCUAGCUCAUCAAUAUCAGAUUUUGUGGCAAGUAAACAUGCACUUUUCAAUUUAAUUUCAGAAACAACACUAGAUGGUUUAUUAUUAGGUUUCAUUUGUUGCUCAAAUUCCUUUGCCACAAUCUGAUUUUCAGUCUUAUUUUUCUCCUGUUUUGCUUUAUUAGCUCUAUUAAUGUCAUCUUUCAAAAUGGAAUCAGGAGUCAUAGGAAGCAAAGUAAUAUUUUUAUCCUUAUGAACAAGAGUAUACUGAUUGUUUCUACCAUGGUGUACAGAAUUUUUAUCAAAUUGCCAUGGUCUACCUAGUAAUAAGGGACAUGCUUGCAUGGGUACCACAUCACAAUCAACAUAAUCAGCAUAUGUAGGGAUACUAAAAUGCACACGAACAGUACGUGUUACCUUAACCUUGCCGCUGUUGUUGAACCAUUGGAUGUAGUAAGGAUGUGGAUGUGGUCUUGUGGUGAGAGAUAGCUUCUCCACCAUCUCCAUGCUAGCCAAGUUGUUACAGCUCCCUCCAUCUAUGAUGACGCGAACAGAACGUUCCUUCACAACUCCCUUUGUAUGGAACAAAUUAUGCCUCUGAUUUUGCUCUGCUUGUGUGACCUGCACACUCAAAACACGUUGAGCAACUAAACAUUCAUACCUGUCAGCGUCUUCAGGAGCCAUGUAUUGCGUCUCAUUUUCAGAAUCAUCGCCACCAUGUUCUUCACGUGUAAUAAGAGCCAAAGUCUCCUCAUCAUAGUCACUAGCGGACUCAUACCCACCAUCCUCAGUAGCAAUCAUGACACGCUGAGAUUUGCAUUCUCUCGCAAAAUGUCCUCUUCCCUUACAACGACGACAAAUAAUAUCACUUGUGUGCCCUGUCGAUGCCAUGGAAGAAGAAGAGCUCUGCACAGGCCCGGCAGGUGUGCUCUUGGCAGAGAGUGGUGGUUGUGCCUGCUUUCUUGUAUCACGGCUGGAGGUGGCACCUGAUGGAGGGGAUGGUGAAGUGGAAGUAGAAGAUGCACGCGGUGUCCAUGAUGAAGGUCGACCUGCAGAAAAGUUAGUUCGCGCCAAUGGCUGUCGAUCCUGCACUUCACGUUCAGCUUUACAAGCAAGAUGGAAUAAACGAGUGAUAUUAUUAUAAUCCUUAUACUCUAGAAUGGUCUGAAUCUCUUUAUUUAAUCCACCCAUAAAACGUGCAAGCAUAGCUUCAUUCUCCUCAACAAUACCACAUCUAAUCAUGCCAGUUUGUAAUUCCUGAUAAUAUUCUUCUACAGAAUUUUUUCCUUGUCUUAAACGCUGCAAUUUUUGAAGUAAUUCACGUUGAUAAUAUAGUGGAACCCAACGAGUACGCAUAGCAGUUUUCAAAGCAGCCCAAGUAGCUGGAACAGGAUAUAAUCUACAAUGUUCAGACCACCAAACACAUGCAAAGCUAGUGAAAGCACAAACAGCAGCAGGAACACGUCUCUCCUCAGGAUAUUGUAAACAUGUAAAUCGUUGUUCAGUUUCUAACUCCCAAGUAAGAUAUAUAUCAGGAACAUAUCUACCCUCAAAUGGUGGAAUAUUCAAUUUCAGUUUAGGGAGAUGGUCAUGAUCUCGUACCUGAGGUGGUGGUGCCGGCCUACCGUUGCGAAUAUAUACCUGAGGUCGACCUGCUGGUGGUGGUGCUGGUGGCUGCACGUAGUUCUGAUUUUGAUCAACCUCAUCCUCAUAAUCGCCCGCAUAAUCAUCAUCCUCCUCAGCCGCCGCAGGAGCAGGAGCCAAAGAAGCAUCAACAGUAGGUGCAGCAGCACCCGAAUUUUGACCAAUCUCAAUUGGAACGCGCUGUGCCCGUCCCACUUGAUUUGGAAGGCGGCGUUGGAGAUGUGGUUGUUGUUGUUGUAGAGGUGCGACAUGUGCAGCCGGUGGUGGUUGGGGAAGACGCUUGAGUAAUUCAGUAAACUUGUUAUCCAGCUUUGUCUCGAACGACUUCUCCACGGCAUCUAUCUUCUCCAUAGCCUCUUCAAAUCUGUUUAGCACAUCUCCCACCUGGCCACUCAUCAUUUGCUGAAAUUUAUCAUGCAACUCCUUGUUCGUCAUGUUCUCCCAAUCAGUCUCAUCGGCUUGUGAACCUGCCAUGGUUAGCAGCAAUAGAAACACAAAAGAAUAUGAUCCUGCAGACUACUAGAAGUGGUGGUGAUGGUGGUGUGUCACAAAACCUUCAAGCGAAUUGAUAGAGGCAAAGGUGUCCCGUCUUUCGAUGAGAUGAUGAAUAUCGCUUUGAUGGAAGUCGACUUUGACGAUCCGACUACGAACGUGCGAGGACGUCGCGCCUUAGCAAUCGCUAAACCAACUCCGAGAGGUUAUCGACCACGCCGGAGCACGAUCAACCUGACCACGAGGGUCUGUUUCCUGCGAGCAAACGAAGAACAGGCAAGAAACUGAGAUUGCAAUCUGGAUAUUGCGAAUAUAAGAUGAAAGCUUUAUUGAUCAAGGUGGGGUUCUGUGACGCCUUUGUCUGGUCGCUGAACACAAACGAAGUACGCGAAGUUGCAGCUAUGGCGAACUUUUAAUCUAAACAAAACCCCAAGUCUAAACGACGCCCUAAGGGCUGUAUAUAUGGAGGAAGAGGGGGGGGGAACUUCGUGGCCCUUGAGGAAGGGGUCCGAAACCAACCCUAUCUCUUGUUUCCCCACACAUACGGACUCUAAAAACAGCCUAUACUUAUGUAUUUCGAAAUUACAUGGGCCUGGCCCAAUAAUAAGGUGACGCAGCACCUAGAAUAGCCUCUGGACGAAAGUUAUGAAGUAGCAUCUUGUAUAUUUCGUCCAAGGCUUCAUGCACGCAUUAUGGUGGCUUCAACGUCCUGAAAUCAUCACUUGUAACUCCGUUCUUGUUCCCCAUGCGCAUGCCAUCAUCUCCAUGCUUGUUCUUGCUCCAAUGUUCAUCCUUCUCAAAGCUAGGCCCUUCAUUUGUAAGCAAAACAAAUGUAUCCAAUUUAGGCAGCAUCAUAUUCUCAUGAACAUUAGAAUCAUUAGCAAGAAACGAAAGUACCUGGUAAUUUAAUUGGCGUGCGCGAGCUCUAGUAAUUGGUCCAGUAUGUAUAGCAGCAGGGACUGUGGGUGUAAUAAUUGUAUUGAUGUCCUCAUCACGGUCGGUGCAAAAGGUGCACUUCCCAAGGUUACCAAACAAACGUGCAUCACGUAGAGCAAUAAAAACAGCACGUAAAUGUUCCAAAUGUUCUUCCAAAGAUUUGCUAUAAAUCAGUAUAUCAUCAAAAUAGACCACCACAAAUCGUCCAAUGAAAGCACGUAAAACUUCGUUCAUUAGUCUCAUGAAAGUACUAGGUGCAUUAGUUAACCCAAAAGGCAUGACUAACCACUCAUAUAAACCAAACUUAGUUUUAAAUGCAGUUUUCCAUUCAUCUCCCAAUUUCAUACGAAUUUGAUGGUAUCCACUACGCAAAUCAACUUUGGAGAAUAUUGUAGAGCCACUCAAUUCAUCAAGCAUAUCAUCGAGCCUAGGAAUAGGAUGACGAUAACGAAUAGUAAUAUUAUUAAUGCCUCUACAAUCAACACACAUACGCGACGUACCAUCCUUUUUAGGCACGAGUAUAAUAGGAACAGCACAAGGACUAAGAGAUUCGCGUAUAUAACCUUUGUCGAGCAGCUCUUGUACUUGACGCAUAAUCUCCUUCGUCUCCUCUGGAUUGGUACGGUAUGGUGCACGGUUGGGUAGCGAUGCACCGGGAAUUAAGUCAAUUUGAUGCUCAAUCCCUCGAAUAGGUGGUAAUCCCGGUGGCACGUCUUGUGGGAAGACGUCAGCGAACUCCUGCAAAAUGUGAGUGACUGCAGGGGGCAAAGAGGAAGGCACGUCCUCGAAUGAAAAUAAUGCCUCUUUGCACACAAAAGCAUAGCAAACAGAUUUGCUGAAAUCUAGUUCAUCAAUAUCAGAUUUUGUGGCAAGCAAACAUGCACUUUUCAAUUUAAUUUCAGAAACAACACUAGAUGGUUUAUUAUUAGGUUUCAUUUGUUGCUCAAAUUCCUUUGCCACAAUCUGAUUUUCACUCUUAUUUUUCUCCUGUUUUGCUUUAUUAGCUCUAUUAAUGUCAUCUUUCAAAAUGGAAUCAGGAGUCAUAGGAAGCAAAGUAAUAUUUUUAUCCUUAUGAACAAGAGUAUACUGAUUGUUUCUACCAUGGUGUACAGAAUUUUUAUCAAAUUGCCAAGGUCUACCUAGUAAUAAGGAACAUGCUUGCAUGGGUACCACAUCACAAUCAACAUAAUCAGCAUAUGUAGAGAUACUAAAAUGCACACGAACAGUACGUGUUACCUUAACCUUGCCGCUGUUGUUGAACCAUUGGAUGUAGUAAGGAUGUGGAUGUGGUCUUGUGGUGAGAGAUAGCUUCUCCACCAUCUCCAUGCUAGCCAAGUUGUUACAGCUCCCUCCAUCUAUGAUGACGCGAACAGAACGUUCCUUCACAACUCCCUUUGUAUGGAACAAAUUAUGCCUCUGAUUUUGCUCUGCUUGUGUGACCUGCACACUCAAAACACGUUGAGCAACUAAACAUUCAUACCUGUCAGCGUCUUCAGGAGCCAUGUAUUGCGUCUCAUUUUCAGAAUCAUCUCCACCAUGUUCUUCACGUGUAAUAAGAGCCAAAGUCUCCUCAUCAUAGUCACUAGCGGACUCAUACCCACCAUCCUCAGUAGCAAUCAUGACACGCUGAGAUUUGCAUUCUCUCGCAAAAUGUCCUCUUCCCUUACAACGACGACAAAUAAUAUCACUUGUGUGCCCUGUCAAAUUGGUUCGGAUAUGAUGAACUAACCCUAAAUUUUUUUUUGUGGCUUUUUCGUGGACUGUAGGUAUGAAGAACAGACUCGAUCUAAACUACGAAAAACUGUAAAAUCUCACCGAACAACCUGGAAAUCUGAUACCACUUGAUAGAGGCAAAGGUGUCCCGUCUUUCGAUGAGAUGAUGAAUAUCGCUUUGAUGGAAGUCGACUUUGACGAUCCGACUACGAACGUGCGAGGACGUCGCGCCUUAGCAAUCGCUAAACCAACUCCGAGAGGUUAUCGACCACGCCGGAGCACGAUCAACCUGACCACGAGGGUCUGUUUCCUGCGAGCAAACGAAGAACAGGCAAGAAACUGAGAUUGCAAUCUGGAUAUUGCGAAUAUAAGAUGAAAGCUUUAUUGAUCAAGGUGGGGUUCUGUGACGCCUUUGUCUGGUCGCUGAACACAAACGAAGUACGCGAAGUUGCAGCUAUGGCGAACUUUUAAUCUAAACAAAACCCCAAGUCUAAACGACGCCCUAAGGGCUGUAUAUAUGGAGGAAGAGGGGGGGGGAACUUCGUGGCCCUUGAGGAAGGGGUCCGAAACCAACCCUAUCUCUUGUUUCCCCACACAUACGGACUCUAAAAACAGCCUAUACUUAUGUAUUUCGAAAUUACAUGGGCCUGGCCCAAUAAUAAGGUGACGCAGCACCUAGAAUAGCCUCUGGACGAAAGUUAUGAAGUAGCAUCUUGUAUAUUUCGUCCAAGGCUUCAUGCACGCAUUAUGGUGGCUUCAACGUCCUGAAAUCAUCACUUGUAACUCCGUUCUUGUUCCCCAUGCGCAUGCCAUCAUCUCCAUGCUUGUUCUUGCUCCAAUGUUCAUCCUUCUCAAAGCUAGGCCCUUCAUUUGUAAGCAAAACAAAUGUAUCCAAUUUAGGCAGCAUCAUAUUCUCAUGAACAUUAGAAUCAUUAGCAAGAAACGAAAGUACCUGGUAAUUUAAUUGGCGUGCGCGAGCUCUAGUAAUUGGUCCAGUAUGUAUAGCAGCAGGGACUGUGGGUGUAAUAAUUGUAUUGAUGUCCUCAUCAAGAAUCACCCAAUUCGGAGUCCGUAUGAAAAAGUUGUUGGCGUUUUGAGUCAGGUAUGUCUGUGCAGUCCGAAUCUGAAUCCAGAACGUGAGAGACUUGGACUCUAUCUUCUCUUGGCCCAAAAGUGACGUGAGAGGACUUUUUGAACAGAACCUAAACUUCUCCUUUUGCCUUAUCUUCAUAUGUGGAUUGUACAAAUGUCCCAUACACCUGCAAUUAGACAAAACACAAAAGUGUGUGAAGUAUUUUUGUUCUGGAUAACAUAAAUAGAUUAUUGAAUAGUUUGCACUAGAAAUCACCUGACAAAUAUGCAUGUAUGCAAUAUUUUUGGUCGUAUCCAAGGUAGUCAUGUCCUCAUCAUCCUCCCCUUCUUGAAAACAAAGCCGUCCUCGGCGUUGCUUAAUCUGAAAUGUGGCUAACAAAAGAGACAAGGUGUACAUGUUGUAUAUGUAUACGUCAUCCAUUUUUACUUCCCGUGGAUUUUGCACAUAUGACACAUGUAUACAUGAGUAACUUUCAUAGUUAAUAAAAUAUAAAGCCAAAAUAUUAUCACAAGAAGUAGAAGGCAUGAAAGUAUUGCAACUCAGUUUGCACAUAUAAGUGAAGCUCUUAUUCAUAUGAAAAGAUUGACAAUAUUCAUCAUUAAACCAUCCCAACAUUGAUGAACCUUCACCAAGAUUAGAGGUCAUAUCAAAAUGAUUAAACAUUGGCACAAUUAUUUUCAAACAUAUUUGAUCCAAAUCUGAUUUAUUCCCUGAUUCACUUGAUUCUUUUGCAUCGAUAGUUAAUUCAAUGGGCUCACUCAAAAUUGUUUGAUCACAUGGCAAAGUCAAAUCAUCAACAUAGUCCUCUAAGGUAGCUGGUGUGAUCAAAGUAGUGGGUAGCUCACCGCAUGGUGCACUUAAAUUGACAAGACAUUCAUCAUACUCAUGUGGAAGUGGAAGAUUAGUACCUUUGUCAUUACCUCUUAUGAUCAACUCAGAUGAUCUAGGCACUCUCGGUGAUGAUGUGUCACAUGGUGGAGGUGAUGUAGUCCUCACAACAAAGGAUGUGGUUGUCAUAGUAUGCCUAGUAGUUGAAGGGACAACCGUAUCAACUCUUGGAAUGUGCAUCUCGCGCUUGUUCUCCUUGUAGGCAACACGUCGUUUUAUUUCCUGUUCAGCUUUGCAAGCAAGAUGAAACAAAUGGUCCAUAGGAUAACACUCUUCAUGAAUUAGUAUCUCCUGAAUGUCACGAUUUAAUCCUCCCCAAAAUCUAUCCAUAAAAUCUUCUUCACUUUCUUCUAAAGAGGAAUGCAGCAAGGUAGUUUGUAAAGUAUCAUAAUAUUUCGUAACGGUGUCACUACCUUGUUUUAAAUGUUGCAACUUUGUAAUCAUGUCACGAGUAUAAUAAGCGGGAACGAAUGUAUGUCGCAUGGCAAGUUUCAAAUCAUCCCAAGUAGUAGGUAUAUCAUUAGGGUGUAACCGACAAUAUUCACUCCACCAAACUACAGCAUAACCAGUGAAAGAACCAACCGCAACCUUAACUUUUUUACGUACAUCAAAAUUAUUGGAAGCAAAUAUAUUAUUUAGGUCAAACUCCCAUUCAAUAUAUAAAGCAGGUCUAAAACAGCCAUUAAAUGGUGGUAUAGAAACAUUAACCUGAUCAUGUGCAUUUGGAUGUUUGUGCACCUCUCGUGACGGUUGUGGUAUUUGCAUAGGUGAUGGCACAUCUCCCACGAUCGACAAACCCCAUGAAUUGACUCUAGAUCCUGUCAUGAUUAGUAGAAACAAGAAACAAAAUUCAAGAAUAAUGUUCCUAUGAACUACUAAGAUGUGGUGGUAAAGCGCUCACAGUAAAGCAAAUAUCAAUAUCUUACAAGUUCUUACCAAGCAGCAGGUGGUGACAGGCAACCAGCGGUGUCAAAUAACUCCAAAGAUUGAGUAAAGCGAUUGCCAGGGGAACGUACGUAUACACGGUGUAGAAAUAUGUGGAGCUGGGUUGGCUAUAUAUGGUAGCAAAAUAUUAGCAAUAAUCAAUUCAGAGAUGCAAUGUUGAAUAAACGCUCAACGACGGUACUGUGCUGGUCCUAGGCUAGACCGGACUAGAGACGCGAGCCUAGAACACUAAUGAGGUCACGGCGUAGCACAACUAGCAUCAAUGAAGGAUACUAAGUAGCUCUGGACAGCAAGAUAUAAGUGAAGAUCACAACGGCAGUAAAGAUAAUGAUGAAAAACAACUGCCAAGCAGGAUAUACAACAACUCUCUCCAACUUUCCUCUUGAAAAGUUUGUGCCAAUUUUCUGAUAAUUUUUUUCAAAGAAUGCUACUAACUCAAGCUUUCCAAUGCAAAAAGACUCACUCAAUUCCGAGUUGAUAUGAGGAGUGAAAGAAUUCUGAAACUGGCUUGAAAAACUGGAAUAAGAUGUGUCCGCGAACUUCGGAGGGCAAAAAGACCUAUUUAGAAGACGAUUUUGAGGUGUCAAAUAUUUAACUAGUCUCUGCAACUAUUUAGAUGCGGCUCGUCGCUAGCUUUCAUUUGAGUACUCGCGGAGUCAAAACGGACUUCGUAUGAGGAAGGUAUGCCUGUUUUACUGAACAGUGCACAAAACAGAUUCCAAUCCGAAUUCAACUACGAGAUUGAGUCUAGAUAGAUCCGAAUUUUGUUUUUUUUCUUCUCUCUUUUUUUUUCCUCACACUUUUUUUUCUUUCUCUUUUUUUUCUGACUUCUUUUUCUUUUUUUCUCUCUUUUUUUUCUCUGUCUUUUUUUUUCUCUCCCUCUUUCCAAGACAAACUAGAUAAGAUGCAGAUUGGAUCAAGCGAAGAUGUGAACGACCUCAACUAUGAUUGUGACAAUGAACUAUGGGUAGCACAUGGUGGAAUUUGAUGGAUGGUGUGGUGGACAGCAGAAGGGAUAACGAUGCAGCGGCGACGUGACUAAUGUGAACAGAACUCGAAACUCUAAACGAACUAGACCCUAAGACCAGCAACUCGACACGACGAUGCAACCGAUAAUUCAAUAAUGCAAACAAUGAAUAGAAAAUUGCAAAGGCUCAGACUGGCUUGGACAAAAGGAUGAAUAGAUCUAACUUUUUUGUGGCUUUUUCUUGGACAAUAGGUAAGAAAAUAAAUCUAAUCUAGGGGAAACUGGAAAUUCUCACCGAGCAACCUGGCUCUGAUACCACUUGAUAGAGGCAAAGGUGUCCCGAUCUUUCGAUGAGAUGAUAACUAUCGAUUUGGUGGAGACGACUUUGACGAUCCGACUACAAACGUGCACGACGUUGCGCCUUAUCAAUCGCUAAACCAAUCUCCUGAGGUUACUGACGAUGCCGGGAGCACGAUCAGCCUGACCACGAAGGUCUAUUCCUGCAAGCAAUCGAAGAACGAGCAAGAAUAUGAUAAUGCAAUCUGAAUAUUGUGAAUAUAUAUGAAGUAUUGAUAGUGGUGGGGAUCCGUAAGCGGUCUUGGUCUGGUCGUUGGACACAAACGAAGUACACGAAGUUGCAAUGGCUAACUUUUAACUAAACAAAUCCCAAAGUCUAAACGACGCCCUAAGGGCUGUAUAUAUGGAGGAAGAGGGGGGGAAUUUCGUGGCCCUUGAGGAAGGGGUCCGAAACCAACCCUAUCUCUUGUUUCCCCACACAUACGGACUCUAAAAACAGCCUAUACUUAUGUAUUUCGAAAUUACAUGGGCCUGGCCCAAUAAUAAGGUGACGCAGCACCUAGAAUAGCCUCUGGACGAAAGUUAUGAAGUAGCAUCUUGUAUAUUUCGUCCAAGGCUUCAUGCACGCAUUAUGGUGGCUUCAACGUCCUGAAAUCAUCACUUGUAACUCCGUUCUUGUUCCCCAUGCGCAUGCCAUCAUCUCCAUGCUUGUUCUUGCUCCAAUGUUCAUCCUUCUCAAAGCUAGGCCCUUCAUUUGUAAGCAAAACAAAUGUAUCCAAUUUAGGCAGCAUCAUAUUCUCAUGAACAUUAGAAUCAUUAGCAAGAAACGAAAGUACCUGGUAAUUUAAUUGGCGUGCGCGAGCUCUAGUAAUUGGUCCAGUAUGUAUAGCAGCAGGGACUGUGGGUGUAAUAAUUGUAUUGAUGUCCUCAUCAGAGGUGAUGCAACACCUUUGGACUUGUAGUUUGACUCGGAUUCUGGUGCAACGUCAGAUUGUUUCGACCAUAACUCAAUGCUCCGGACGAAUUUAAAGGUGAAUCCAAUUGGGUUGGAAAGAUCACGAAAUCUAGUUUCCAACAAAAAAAGAAUCACCCAAUUCGGAGUCUGUAUGAAAAAGUUGUUGGCGUUUUGAGUCAGGUAUGUCUGUGCAGUCCGAAUCUGAAUCCAGAACGUGAGAGACUUGGACUCUAUCUUCUCUUGGCCCAAAAGUGACGUGAGAGGACUUUUUGAACAGAACCUAAACUUCUCCUUUUGCCUUAUCUUCAUAUGUGGAUUGUACAAAUGUCCCAUACACCUGCAAUUAGACAAAACACAAAAGUGUGUGAAGUAUUUUUGUUCUGGAUAACAUAAAUAGAUUAUUGAAUAGUUUGCACUAGAAAUCACCUGGCAAAUAUGCAUGUAUGCAAUAUUUUUGGUCGUAUCCAAGGUAGUCAUGUCCUCAUCAUCCUCCCCUUCUUGAAAACAAAGCCGUCCUCGGCGUUGCUUAAUCUGAAAUGUGGCUAACAAAAGAGACAAGGUGUACAUGUUGUAUAUGUAUAUGUCAUCCAUUUUUACUUCCCAUGGAUUUUGCACAUAUGACACAUGUAUACAUGAGUAACUUUCAUAGUUAAUAAAAUAUAAAGCCAAAAUAUUAUCACAAGAAGUAGAAGGCAUGAAAGUAUUGCAACUCAGUUUGCACAUAUAAGUGAAGCUCUUAUUCAUAUGAAAAGAUUGAUAAUAUUCAUCAUUAAACCAUCCCAACAUUGAUGAACCAUCACCAAGAUUAGAGGUCAUAUCAAAAUGAUUAGACAUUGGCACAAUUAUUUUCAAACAUAUUUGAUCCAAAUCUGAUUUAUUCCCUGAUUCACUUGAUUCUUUUGCAUCGAUAGUUAAUUCAAUGGGCUCACUCAAAAUUGUUUGAUCACAUGGCAAAGUCAAAUCAUCAACAUAGUCCUCUAAGGUAGCUGGUGUGAUCAAAGUAGUGGGUAGCUCACCGCAUGGUGCACUUAAAUUGACAAGACAUUCAUCAUACUCAUGUGGAAGUGGAAGAUUAGUACCUUUGUCAUUACCUCUUAUGAUCAACUCAGAUGAGGUAGGCACUCUCGGUGAUGAUGUGUCACAUGGUGGAGGUGAUGUAGUCCUCACAACAACGGAUGUGGUUGUCAUAGUAUGCUUAGUAGUUGAAGGGACAACCGUAUCAACUCUUGGAAUGUGCAUCUCGCGCUUGUUCUCCUUGUGCGCAACACGUCGUUUUAUUUCCUGUUCAGCUUUGCAAGCAAGAUGAAACAAAUGGUCCAUAGGAUAACACUCUUCAUGUAUUAGUAUCUCCUGAAUGUCACGAUUUAAUCCUUCCCAAAAUCUAUCCAUAAAAUCUUCUUCACUUUCUUCUAAAGAGGAAUGCAGCAAGGUAGUUUGUAAAGUAUCAUAAUAUUUCGUUACGGUGUCACUACCUUGUUUUAAAUGUUGCAACUUUGUAAUCAUGUCACGAGUAUAAUAAGCGGGAACGAAUGUAUGUCGCAUGGCAAGUUUCAAAUCAUCCCAAGUAGUAGGUAUAUCAUUAGGGUGUAACCGACAAUAUUCACUCCACCAAACUACAGCAUAACCAGUGAAAGAACCAACCGCAACCUUAACUUUUUUACGUACAUCAAAAUUAUUGGAAGCAAAUAUAUUAUUUAGGUCAAACUCCCAUUCAAUAUAUAAAGCAGGUCUAAAACAGCCAUUAAAUGGUGGUAUAGAAACAUUAACCUGAUCAUGUGCAUUUGGAUGUUUGUGCACCUCUCGUGACGGUUGUGGUAUUUGCAUAGGUGAUGGCACAUCUCCCACGAUCGACAAACCCCAUGAAUUGACUCUAGAUCUUGUCAUGAUUAGUAGAAACAAGAAACAAAAUUCAAGAAUAAUGUUCCUAUGAACUACUAGGAUGUGGUGGUAAAGCGCUCACAGUAAAGCAAAUAUCAAUAUCUUACAAGUUCUUACCAAGCAGCAGGUGGUGACAGGCAACCAGCGGUGUCAAAUAACUCCAAAGAUUGAGUAAAUCGAUUGCCAGGGGAACGUACGUAUACACGGUGUAGAAAUAUGUGGAGCUGGGUUGGCUAUAUAUGGUAGCAAAAUAUUAGCAAUAAUCAAUUCAGAGAUGCAAUGUUGAAUAAACGCUCAACGACGGUACUGUGCUGGUCCUAGGCUAGACCGGACUAGAGACGCGAGCCUAGAACACUAAUGAGGUCACGGCGUAGCACAACUAGCAUCAAUGAAGGAUACUAAGUAGCUCUGGACAGCAAGAUAUAAGUGAAGAUCACAACGGCAGUAAAGAUAAUGAUGAAAAACAACUGCCAAGCAGGAUAUACAACAACUCUCUCCAACUUUCCUCUUGAAAAGUUUGUGCCAAUUUUCUGAUAAAUUUUUUCAAAGAAUGCUACUAACUCAAGAUUUCCAAUGCAAAAAGAAUCACUCAAUUCCGAGUUGAUAUGAGGAGUGAAAGAAUUCUGAAACUGGCUUGAAAAAACUGGAAUAAGCUGUGUCCGCGAACUUCGGAGGGCAAAAAGACCUAUUUAGAAGACGAUUUUGAGGUGUCAAAUAUUGAACUAGUCUCUGCAACUAUUUAGAUGCGGCUCGUCGCUAGCUUUCAUUUGAGUACUCGCGGAGUCAAAACGGACUUCGUAUGAGGAAGGUAUGCCUGUUUUACUAAACAGUGCACAAAACAGAUUCCAAUCCGAAUUCAACUACGAGAUUGAGUCUAGAUAGAUCCGAAUUUUUUUUUUCUUCUCUCUUUUUUUUUCCUCACACUUUUUUUCUUUCUCUUUUUUUUCUGACUUCUUUUUCUUUUUUUUUCUCUCUUUUUUUUCUCUGUCUUUUUUUUCUCUCCCUCUUUCCAAGACAAACUAGGUAAGAUGCAGAUUGGAUCAAGCGAAGAUGUGAACGACCUCAACUAUGAUUGUGCAAUGAACUAUGGGUAGCACAUGGUGGAAUUUGAUGGAUGGUGUGGUGGACAGCAGAAGGGAUAACGAUGCAGCGGCGACGUGACUAAUGUGAACAGAACUCGAAACUCUAAACGAACUAGACCCUAAGACCAGCAACUCGACACGACGAUGCAACCGAUAAUUCAAUAAUGCAAACAAUGAAUAGAAAAUUGCAAAGGCUCAGACUGGCUUGGACAAAAGGAUGAAUAGAUCUAACUUUUUUGUGGCUUUUUCUUGGACAAUAGGUAAGAAAAUAAAUCUAAUCUAGGGGAAACUGGAAAUUCUCAUCGAGCAACCUGAAAACUGAUACGACUUGAUAGAGGCAAAGGUGUCCCGAUCUUUCGAUGAGAUGAUAACUAUCGAUUUGGUGGAGACGACUUUGACGAUCCGACUACAAACGUGCACGAUGUUGCGCCUUAUCAAUCGCUAAACCAAUCUCCUGAGGUUACUGACGAUGCCGGAAGCACGAUCAGCCUGACCACGAAGGUCUAUUCCUGCAAGCAAUCGAAGAACGAGCAAGAAUAUGAUAAUGCAAUAUGAAUAUUGCGAAUAUAUAUGAAGUAUUGAUAGUGGUGGGAAUCCGUAAGCGGUCUUGGUCUGGUCGUUGGACACAAACAAAGUACACGAAAUUGCAAUGGCUAACUUUUAACUAAACAAAUUCCAAGGAAAAAGCUACUAGAUGGAUCUACUUAUAUAGGAGCAAGGGGUGGCGGCCAAGGAGGUGGGAGGACGUCCCAAGGCAGCCUAAAACCAACCCUAGGUCGUACAAGGCUCAUGGGCCCAAGUGGAGGUGAUGCAACACCUUUGGACUUGUAGUUUGACUCGGAUUCUGGUGCAACGUCAGAUUGUUUCGACCAUAACUCAAUGCUCCGGACGAAUUUAAAGGUGAAUCCAAUUGGGUUGGAAAGAGCACGAAAUCUAGUUUCCAACAAAAAAAGAAUCACCCAAUUCGGAGUCUGUAUGAAAAAGUUGUUGGCAUUUUGAGUCAGGUAUGUCUGUGCAGUCCGAAUCUGAAUCCAGAACGUGAGAGACUUGGACUCUAUCUUCUCUUGGCCCAAAAAUGACGUGAGAGGACUUUUUGAACAGAACCUAAACUUCUCCUUUUGCCUUAUCUUCAUAUGUGGAUUGUACAAAUGUCCCAUACACCUGCAAUUAGACAAAACACAAAAGUGUGUGAAGUAUUUUUGUUCUGGAUAACAUAAAUAGAUUAUUGAAUAGUUUGCACUAGAAAUCACCUGACAAAUAUGCAUGUAUGCAAUAUUUUUGGUCGUAUCCAAGGUAGUCAUGUCCUCAUCACAACUUCUCCAACAAAGUGUACGAGCCGAAGGAUGAACACAUGGAGGCAUACCUGGCGGAGGUACACAAAAUGGAGAAACAAUUCUUGGGCCUGGAGCUGCAGCACGUGCCUCGCGGCACGAACAAGGAAGCCGACGACAUUGCCAAAAGGGCGUCCAGGCGCCUGCCCCAGGAACCCAACGUCUUCGAGGAGCGGCUCUUCAAGCCUUCAGCGGCCCCUCCGGCUGCGGAGAUGGCGCCGCCUCAGGGGAGCUCCCCGCGCCACCAACCUCAGGAGCCCCACCCCGCCUGCGGCCCGACCUCAGCAGCAUGCCUGCUCCUCGCGCUCGAGCCUUAGGAUGGGUGCUGGACCGAAGAAUUCAAGGCAUAGCUGCUGCAGGGAACCCUGCUGGAAAAGAAGGAAGACACGGAGCGUGUAGCUCGGCAGGCCACAGCCUACUUCAUCCAGGAAGGUGAGCUGUACCGAAAAUGGCCAAACAAUGUUCUUUGCAAUGCAUCGCCAAGGAGCAGGGGUGCGAGCUGUUAACUGACAUACACGGCGGGGACUGCGGACAUCACUCAUCAUCGCGCACCUUGGUGGGCAAGGCGUUCCGCAGCGGAUUCUACUGGCCUACAGCACUCAACGAUGCAACCGAGCUAGUGAAAUCUUGUGAAACCUGCCAGUUCCAUGCCAAGCAAAUCCACAAGCCUGCUCAGGGCCUCUAGACUAUCCCGCUCUCAUGUCCGUUUGCGAUCUGGGGGCUGGAUGUUUUGGGCCCGUUCCCUCGAGCGCCCGGGGGCUACCGCUAUCUCUACGUCGCCAUUGACAAGUUCACCAAGUGGGCGGAGGUGGAGCCAGUCCGCACCAUCCCGGCCGACUUGGCGGUCAAGUUCAUCAAGGACCUUGUGAGCCGGUUCGGAGUCCCUAAUCGCAUCAUCAUCGACAACGGCUCACAGUUCACUAGCAAUCUCUUCAAAACAUAUUGUGCUAAUCUUGGAACGCAGAUAUGUUAUGCCUCAGUGGCACACCCCAGGAGCAACGGCCAAGCCGAGCGCGCAAACGCAGAGGUCCUGAUGGGCCUCAAAGCAAGGACUUUCAAGAAGAAGCUCGAAGCCUGUGGCAGCGGCUGGCUGGACGAGCUCUAGUCCGUCAUGUGGUAUAUCCGCACCACCGCAACCAAGCCGACCGGCGAGACUCCAUUCUUCCUCGUCUACGGAGCUGAUGAUAGAGGCAAAGGUGUCCCGUCUUUCGAUGAGAUGGUGGCUAUCGUUUUGGAGGAAGUCGACUUUGACGAUCCGACUACGAACGUGCGAGGACGUCGCGCCUUAGCAAUCGCUAAACCAACUCCGAGAGGUUAUUGACCACGCCGGAGCACGAUCAACCUAACCACGAAGGUCUGUUUCCUACAGGCAAAUGAAGAACAAGCAAGAAACUAAGAUUGCAAUCUGGAUAUUGCGAUUAUAAGAGGAAAGCUUUAUUGAUCAAGGUGGGGUUCUGUGACGCCUUUGUCUGGUCGUUGAACACAAACGAAGUACGCGAAGUUGCGGCUAUGGCGAACUUUUAAUCUAAACAAAACCCAAAAUCUAAACGAUGCCCUAGGGGCUGUAUAUAUGGAGGAAGAGGGGGAAAUUUCGUGGCCCUUGGAGGAGGGGUCCGAAACCCACCCUAACUCUUGUUUCCCCACACAUACGGACUCUAAAAACAGCCUAUAUUGAAGUAUUUCGAAAUUACAUGGGCCUGGCCCAAAAUAAGGUGACGCAGCACCUAGAAUAGCCUCUGGACGAAAUUUAUGAAGUGGCAUCUUGUAUAUUUCGUCCAAGGCUUCAUGCACUCAUUAAGGUGGCUUCAAAGUCCUGAAAUCAUCACUUGAAACUCUGUUCUUGUCUCCCUUGCGCAAGCCAUCAACUCCAUGCUUGUUCUUGCUCCAAUGUUCAUCCUUCUCCAAGCUAGGCCCUGUUGUGGACAUCAAUACCAUUGUUUCACCAACAACCCCUGCUACUAUACAUACUGGACCGAUUACUAGAGCUCGCACACGCCAAUUAAAUUACCAGGUACUUUCGUUUCUUGGUAAUGAUUCUAAUGUUCAUGAGAAUAUGAUGCUGCCUAAAUUGGAUACAUUUGUUUUGCUUACAAAUGAAGGGCCUAGCUUUGAGAAGGAUGAACAUUGGAGCUAGAACAAGCAUGGAGUUGAUGGCAUGCGCAAGGGGAACAAGAACGGAGUUACAAGUGAUGAUUUCAGGACUUUGAAGCCACCAUAAGGAGUGAAUGAAGCCUUGGACGAAAUAUACAAGAUGCCACUUCAUAAAUUUCGUCCAGAGGCUAUUCUAGGUGCAGCGUCACCUUAUUAUUGGGCCAGGCCCAUGUAAUUUCGAAAUACAUAAGUAUAGGCUGUUUUUAGAGUCCGUAUGUGUGGGGAAACAAGAGAUAGGGUUGGUUUCGGACCCCUUCCCCGAGGGCCACGAAAUUCCCCCCUCUUCCUCCAUAUAUACAGCCCUUAGGGCACCGUUUAGACUUUGGGUUUUGUUUAGAUUAAAAGUUCGCCAUAGCUGCAACUUCGCGUACUUCGUUUGUGUUCAACGACCAGACAAAGGCGUCACAGAACCCCACCUUGAUCAAUAAAGCUUUCCUCUUAUAUUCGCAAUAUCCAGAUUGCAAUCUUAGUUUCUUGCUUGUUCUUCGUUUGCCUGCAGGAAACAGACCUUCGUGGUCAGGUUGAUCGUGCUCCGGCGUGGUCAAUAACCUCUCGGAGUUGGUUUAGCGAUUGCUAAGGCGCGACGUCCUCGCAAGUUCGUAGUCGGUUCGUCAAAGUCGACUUCCUCCAAAACGAUAUCCACCAUCUCAUCGAAAGACGGGACACCUUUGCCUCUGUCAAGUGGUAUCAGAUUUUCAGGUUGCUCGGUGAGAUUUUACAGUUUUUCGUAGUUUAGAUCAAGUCUGUUCUUCAUACCUAUAGUCCACGAGAAAGCCAAAAAAAAUAUUAGGGUUAGUUCAUCUUAUCCGAACCAAUCUGAGCCUUUGCAUAAUCUUUAGAGUUUCGAGUUAUGUUCACAAGUUGUCACGCCACCGCUGCACCAACGUCAUCACCGCUGCGAUAUACCACCAUCGUCAUCGCCGCUACCAUAUACCACAUAUCCACCACCAUCACGCUAAUCCGAGUCCACCUCCAUCACAGAUUCGGCACCAGUCCAUGUUCCAUCGCCCUGCAAAUAUCCACCACCAGUCCGAGUUUCCACCAGAUUCCUCUCCGCCACCAGUCCUAGUCCGAGUCCAGUAGUUAUUGCUUUGUUCUCGAUUUCCAGAUCACGCGAUACUCCGAAUCAUGACAGAGUAGGACUCCCCAACUUCCGAGCCAUCCGCAGAAGAAAAAUAGUUCCAGUUUCAAAAAAAAAAUCUGGCUAGGCAGUUUUUAGGACAUUUGUAGACUUUUUCGAAAAAAAAUUGUUGCGGAGCACAAAAAAAAGAGUGUGCUCCUCCCAUGUUUACGUGCAGCGCCGUGAUUUUGUUAGUGUUCUAGGCUCGCGUCUCUAGUACGGUCUAGCCUAGGACCAGCACAGUACCGUCGUUGAACGUUUAUUCAACUUUGCAUCUCUGAAUUGAUUAUUGCUGACCCUUUUUGCUACCAUAUUAUAAGCCUUCCCAGCUCCACAUACAUCUACAUCGUGCGUUUGACUCUCCCUCGUAAUCGCUCUAUCCAAGCUUUGAGAGUUUUGACAACAUCGGUUGCCGAUCACCGCCUGCUGCCGGGUAAGAACUGGUAAGAAUUUGAGAUUUGCUUGACGGAUUUGUGACACCCACCACCACCACUUGUUAGUAGUCUAUAGGAUCAUAUUCUUGUGUGUUUCUAUUACUGCUAACCAUGCCAGGAUCACAAGCCGACGAGAUUGACUGGGAGAACUUAACGAACAAGGAGCUUCACGAUAAGUUUCAGCAAAUGAUGAGUGAACAGGUGCAAGAUGUGCUGAACAAUUUUGAAGAGGCCAUGGAGAAGAUCACUGGCCUUGAGAAGACGUUCCAAACAAAGCUUGAUAACAGAUUUAAUGAACUGCUUGCACGUCUUCCACCACCGGCCGCACCUGCCGCACCUCUACAACAACAACAACGACUACCUCCACGUCAGGAAACAGCCCUCCGCCGAGCGAGUCGUGUCCCUCUUCAGCCUGGCCAAACUGCUGGUGCUGCUAUUGAUACUUCUAUGGCUCCUGCUGCUGAUGUGGAGGAGGAUGAUUAUGCAGGAGAUUACGAGGAUGAGGUUUAUCAAAAUCAGAACUACGUGCAACCACCAGCACCACAACCACCAGGUCGUCCACACGCAAAUAAUGGCAAUGUUAGGGCUCCCCCUCAGGUACGAGAUCAUGACCAUCUCCCUAAACUGAAAUUGAAUAUUCCACCAUUUGAGGGUAGAUAUGUUCCUGAUAUAUAUCUUACUUGGGAGUUAGAAACUGAACAACGAUUUAGAUGUUUACAAUAUCCUGAGGAGAGACGUGUUCCUACUGCUGUUUGUGCUUUCACUAGCUUUGCAUGUGUUUGGUGGUCUGAACAUUGUAGAUUAUAUCCUGUUCCAGCUACUUGGGCUGCUUUGAAAACUGCUAUGCGUACUCGUUGGGUUCCACCAUAUUAUCAACGUGAAUUACUUCAAAAAUUGCAGCGCUUAAGACAAGGAAAAAAUUAUGUAGAAGAAUAUUAUCAGGAAUUACAAACUGGCUUGAUUAGAUGUGGUAUUGUUGAGGAGAAUGAAGCUAUGCUUGCACGUUUUAUGGGUGGAUUAAAUAGAGAGAUUCAGACCAUCUUGCUUGUAAAGCUGAACGUGAAGUGCAGGAUCGACAGGCAUUGGCGCGAACUAACUUUUCUGCAGGUCGACCUUCAUCAUGGACGCCACGUGCAUCAUCUACUUCCACUGCACCAUCACCUCCUUCAGGUGCCACCUCCAACCGUGAUACAAGAAAGCAGGCACAACCACCACUAUCUGCCAAGAGCACACCUACCGGGCCUGCACAGAGCCCUUCUUCUUCCAUGGCGUCAACAGGGCACACAAGUGAUAUUAUUUGUCAUCGUUGUAAGGGAAGAGGACAUUUUGCGAGAGAAUGCAAAUCUCAGCGUGUGAUGAUUGCUACUGAGGAUGGUGGGUAUGAGUCCGCUAGUGACUAUGAUGAGGAGACUUUGGCUCUUAUUACACAUGAAGAACACGGUGGAGAUGAUUCUGAUCAUGAGACGCAAUACAUGGCUGCUGAAGAUGCUGACAGGUAUGAAUGUUUAGUUGCUCAACGUGUUUUGAGUGUGCAGGUAACACAAGCUGAGCAGAAUCAGAGGCAUAAUUUGUUCCAUACAAAGGGAGUUGUGAAGGAACGUUCUAUUCGCGUCAUCAUAGAUGGAGGGAGCUGCAACAACUUGGCUAGCAUGGAGAUGGUGGAGAAGCUAUCUCUCACCACAAGACCACAUCCACAUCCUUACUACAUCCAAUGGUUCAACAACAGCGGCAAGGUUAAGGUAACACGUACUGUUCGGGUGCAUUUUAGUAUCUCUACAUAUGCUGAUUAUGUUGAUUGUGAUGUGGUACCUAUGCAAGCAUGUUCCUUAUUACUUGGUAGACCAUGGCAAUUUGAUAAAAAUUCUGUACACCAUGGUAGAAACGAUCAGUAUACUCUUGUUCAUAAGGAUACAAAUAUUACUUUGCUUCCUAUGACUCCUGAUUCCAUUUUGAAAGAUGAUAUUCAUAGAGCGAAUAAAGCAAAACAGGAGAAAAAUAAGAGUGAAAAUCAGAUUGUGGCAAAAUAAUUUGAGCAACAAAUGAAGCCUAAUAAUAAACCAUCUAGUGUUGCUUCUGAAAUUAAAUUGAAAAGUGCAUGUUUACUUGCCACCAAAUCUGAUAUUGAUGAGCUAGUUUUUAGCAAAUCUGUUUGCUAUGCUUUUGUGUGCAAACAGGCAUUAUUUUCAUUCGAGGACGUGCCUUCCUCUUUGCCCCCUGCUGUCACUAACAUUUUGCAGGAGUUCGCUGACGUCUUCCCACAAGACGUGCCACCGGGAUUACCACCUAUUCGAGGAUUGAGCAUCAAAUUGACUUAAUUCCCGGUGCAUCGCUACCCAACCGUGCACCAUACCGUACCAAUCCAGAGGGGGCGAAGGAGAUUAUGCGUCAAGUACAGGAGCUGCUCGACAAAGGUUAUAUACGCGAAUCUCUUAGUCCUUGUGCUGUUCCUAUUAUACUAGUGCCUAAAAAGGAUGGUACGUCGCGUAUGUGUAUUGAUUGUAGACGCAUUAAUAAUAUUACUAUUCGUUAUCGUCAUCCUAUUCCUAGGCUAGAUGAUAUGCUUGAUGAAUUGAGUGGCUCUACAAUAUUCUCCAAAGUUGAUUUGUGUACUGGAUACCAUCAAAUUCGUAUGAAAUUGGGAGAUGAAUGGAAAACAGCAUUUAAAACUAAGUUUGGUUUAUAUGAGUGGUUAGUCAUGCCUUUUGGGUUAACUAAUGCACCUAGUACUUUCAUGAGACUAAUGAACGAAGUUUUACGUGCUUUCAUUGGACGAUUUGUGGUAGUCUAUUUUGAUGAUAUACUGAUUUAUAGCAAAUCUUUGGAAGAACAUUUGGAACAUUUACGUGCUGUUUUUAUUGCUCUACGUGAUGCACGUUUGUUUGGUAACCUUGGGAAGUGCACCUUUUGCACCGACCGAGUAUCUUUUCUUGGCUAUGUUGUUACUCCACAGGGAAUUGAAGUUGAUAAAGCCAAGAUUGAAGCUAUUAAGAGCUGGCCGCAGCCCAAAACGGUCACACAAGUGCGGAAUUUUCUUGGACUCGCUGGUUUCUUUAGGCGUUUUGGGAGAGAUAUUAGCACCAUUGUUGCACCUCUCAACGAGCUUACAAAGAAGGAUGUGCCUUUUGUUUGGGGUACCGCACAGGAAGAAGCCUUCACGGUAUUGAAAGAUAAGUUGAGACAUGCUCCUUUACUCCAACUUCCUGAUUUUAAUAAGACUUUUGAGCUUGAAUGUGAUGCUAGUGGAAUUGGAUUAGGAGGUGUGUUAUUACAAGAUGGCAAACCUGUUGCAUACUUUUCUGAAAAAUUGAGUGGGCCUAGUCUGAACUAUUCUACUUAUGAUAAAGAAUUAUAUGCUCUUGUUCGGACUUUAGAAACAUGGCAGCAUUAUUUAUGGCCCAAAGAAUUUGUUAUACAUUCUGAUCAUGAAUCUUUGAAACACAUUAAAAGUCAAGCAAAACUAAACCGUAGACAUGCUAAAUGGGUUGAAUUCAUUGAGACUUUCCCUUAUGUCAUUAAACACAAGAAGGGUAAAGAAAAUGUUAUUGCUGAUGCAUUGUCUCAUCGUUAUACUAUGCUUUCACAACUUGACUUUAAAAUAUUUGGUUUGGAGACCAUCAAAGAUCAAUAUGUGCAUGAUGCUGAAUUUAAAGUUGUAUUGCAGAAUUGUAAAGAAGGUAGAACAUGGAACUAGUUCUUCGUUAACGAUGGAUUUGUGUUUCGUGCUAACAAGCUAUGCAUUCCAGCUAGCUCCGUUCGUCUUUUGUUGUUGCAGGAGGCGCAUGGAGGAGGACUAAUGGGACACUUUGUGAUGCGGAGCAUCCUACGGUCAUCCCCAUGGACCUACCAUCGUCUCAUCAAGAGCCAAGAGGACUUAUGACACGAGCACGAGAUAGAGCUCUCGAGAACGAGGUGACUUCCUUCCUUAGUGAUAUCACAUAUGAUCCACUCGAGACAUGGCUACUACCUAAGUCCGAUAUGCUAUGCAUGAUUAGGUGUCAAGAGGAGCUUCCCGAGGAUGCACGUGAAGACGGACAAGCCGCCAAGUUCACGGAUGAAGAGAACCAACGGAAACGGGCAAGUUCACCUUCCAGGCCCCGGACAUCCGGCCCAUCGCCCGGACAUCCGGCCACCCCUGUCUGUGCACAGUAAGGGCCGAGGCCCGUGUACCCCUUCGACCCCCAAGACUAUAUAUACUCCUUCUCCUCCAUCUUUCUAGGGUUAGCAUUGGUUUAGCUCAUAUGUGAGAUAGAGCAUUGCUCAUCCAUACGGAUCUCCUCCUCGAGAGAGACUGCGGCCCCUCUUCGGAGACGAUCCACGUUGGAUUCAAGACCCCCUCUUGGGUGGCCCCCCUCAAGACCUCCUUUCGGAGAAGAACCGGUUACCUAAGUAUCGUCCCUUGUUGGAUUUGGGUCGUGUAUCUCUUUGUGUUCCGAGGAUCUAGCACAUGUGUGAUUGUUCUUGUUGGUUUGAGUGAUUCUCUCGUGUUUUCCCCUCGUGUUUCCCCUCAUGUUCUUCGUGUUCUUAGUUGGGAUCCGCUCCUUUCGUGAAAGAUCGGCCAUCUAGGGUUCCACCCUACAUCAUCUUGGUAUCAUGAGCCACGUUGAUCAACAUUUCGGAGCCCCCUCUCUUUGUUUUCUAGCUUAAUUUUGUUGUUUUUCGUCCUAACCCGACAAUUGCCCCACAAAAAUAGCCCCAAUUUUUUUUUUGUGAUUUGUUGGUGUGAUGAAGUUUUGUUGGAUUUGAUCCGCGGAUUUCGUGUGUUGCAGGUAGAUCUAGCUUUUCCCCGUCUUUUCCCCAAUUUCCAUCCACGAAUUCCUCCGAAUUUUUGCCCGGAUUUGACCUCUCCACGCGGUGUUCAUCCACGGAUCCCGAGCCCGGACAUCCGGCCCGACCAGCACGGACAUCCGGCCCGGCCCGGACAUUCGGCCCCUGACAGCAUCAACUCCAUCCUCCACUCCGUUUACCGCCUAACUCUCACCAAAUUUUGUCUCGGUGCCCACAUACACUUCCGCAUAUCACCACCAUAGCCUUUCCCGCUACCAACUCCGACAAUUUUGACCCAUUUUGUUUUGAGAAUUUCAGUUGUGGUUUCCGUGUCCUAUUAUGUUUCGGCUAUCUACGGUUCGGCAACAACAUCACCACCGCUCAUCUUCGGCAAGGACUACUACGAGCGGCUACAUUGGUAUCACCUUCACCUUCAUAUCAUCCUGGUAUAGCGAUAUCAUCAUACUCUCUUGCAUUUGCAUUGAUAAACCCAUGGCCUUACUUUUGCGUAGCUUACCCAUUGAGACUAGCCUUUGAGUAUUGCCGGCAACGUGACUUGUGCACGUUAGUGUUCAUACUUCCCAUAGCAUACAUACCAUCAUCGUGUUGCAUAUCUUGGUAUCAUCUCUUGUGUCACAAAGUUGUCUUUGCAUACACAAUUGCUAUCUUGGUUCGUGAAGCAUUGCAUGAGAAAAGAGCUCAAACAACAAAGAGCCAAACAAGCUUUUAAGCAAAAGGAGAAAGAUAAGCAAAGAGCUUAAGCAAGAACCAUAGCAUCAUACAACAUUAAGAUUGUCAUACUCGAUCAUCUUGGAUCAAAGCAUAGAAACAUCAUACAUAUAGCAUACUUGGGAUAGAAGUCGUUGCAUUUUUGCUUAGUAGGUUGUGCACAAGUUCGUAUCCGCCUAUUGUGCAAUCGUGCUAGUGUCUCUUUAGUGUUGUGCAACAAGAGCAUCUUGGUGGAUUCCACAUUUUGGCUCACCCUUGGUAGCCCAACCCCACUUAUCUAUCUGCGUGUGUGUUUCCGUGUGCCAUAUCUUGCUAUUGGUCUACUUGUUGCAUUUGCAAAUUUGUGAAUCUUUUCCAACAUUAUUGAGUCUCACUUACAAUUGCAUCAAAUUUUGUGCCACCAUCCUAACCAAGCUCCACCAUAAGCUUUUACUUGUGUAGGUGCGAGAACCGACAAGAACUGGUACCAAUUGUGCUAUUUCCUUGCUACACAUUGGAGUGAUCUUUGAUCCAUUUUCAACAUCGGUCAAGGUACAUUUGGUAUUGGUUCUUCUCUUUCUCCCACUCACAUAUCUUUGUUUGAAAUGAUGGAUAGGCCAAGUACAUCUACCAACCCACUCUUCUUGGAGCAGGACGACGACAUGUCAUCCUACGUCACCAAGACUCAACUAUUUGGUGCACACCGAGCUUUGCAUCAAGAACAACUUGCUUUGGGAGAUCGCAUCGACAACCUCGCCACCGAUCUACGACAAUCUGAGCAACGUACAAGAGACUACUUCGACACAUCCAUGAGUUCCCUCAAAGAUAUCCGAACCAUGAUGGUCCGCUCUUCUACAACUUCGUCCUCGUCAAGACGGAGCCGCUCAAGUCGACACUACGACGACACCAUCUCCGGUUCAAGUACACCGACAUCGAACACUCUUCGUCGUGUCGCGCGUCAAGACCGUCAAGCUAACCGCAAUCCUCUACACGACACCGACUCUCAAGAGCAUCGACAUCGUCACAACCAAGCUACUUUCGCACAAGCACAAGAACGGCAACGCCAACGACAACAAGAACGAGAGGAGCGAGCGCGACAACAUCAAGAUGCACAAGACGCCGAGGCGCAACGUCAAGAACGACAACUACGUGAAGCUCAAGCACUUGAGGCGCAACGUGCUCUUCAAGACUCAAGUCGUGCCGUAGCCAAUCGAGGCCGACAAGCUCGACUACAUCAAGAAGCACUUCGCGAUGGAGCUCAAGAAAGGAUUUACGAAGCACGUGUGCAUCGACAAGCUCCUCGACAUGAUCGACAAGUUCCUCGUUAAGAUCGACAAGCUCCUCCUCAUGCGAGACAACAACGUCAAGUCCAUCGAGAGCAAGAAGACAAUGGACCACCUCCUCGCCAAGAGCAUCAUGAGGAAGACAACCCUCCUCACCAAGAGCAACAUGAGGAAGACAACCCUCCUCGCCAAGAGCGACAUGAGAUUGCCAAUCCUCACCGACAUGGGCGUCAUCAUCCCCGACCCCAACACAAUGAAGAGCAACGAUAUGGCAAGCUAAAGUUCACCAUGCCCAAGUUUACCGGAAGCAAUGACCCCGAAGAGUACAUAUCAUGGGCAUUGAAGGUUGACAAAAUCUUCCGCUUGCACAACUACGAAGAAGAGAAGAAGAUCGCAAUGGCAUCCCUCGAAUUCCAAGACUACGUCCUCAUUUGGUGGGAACAAGUCAUUGAGCACCAUGCGGCAAGAGGUGAACCACCCAUCACCACUUGGGCACAAAUGAAGGAUGUCAUGAGAGCACGAUUCGUGCCAAACUACUACAACCGCGACCUCUUCAAGAAACUCCAACAACUCAAGCAAGGAACCAAGAGCGUUGAAGAGUACUACAAGGAAAUCGAGAUUGCCAUGAUACGAGCCAAUGUCAAAGAAGAUGAUGAGCAAACUAUGGCACGUUUCUUGAAUGGACUCAAUCACCCUAUCAAGAAGAUUGCCGACUUCCAACCAUACUCGAACCUCAUCGAGCUAGUGCAUCAAGCUACCAAAGCGGAACGGCAAGUACAAGACGACUUCAAGUAUGCCAAGUUCUCAUCCAAGUCCUAUGGCCUCUCCAACAAUCAAGCUUCGACGACUCCCACCACGAGCAAUGGCGACAAGUCAAGUUACAAGAAAGCUUCGACAAGCUCAAGUCGUCCUCCUACUACAAGCAACUUCAAGCCGAAAGCUUCAUCAUCAUCUACUCCAACCGAUGAGACCAUCAAGACAAGUUCCAUCAAAUGUUUCACAUGCGGAGGCCGAGGCCACAAGUCCUUCGAGUGCACAAACAAGCGCAGCAUGAUCCUCAACGACGACGGCACCUACGACUCCAUGAGUGAAGGAGAAAUGGAAGCUCUUGAGCAAGUGGCCAUGCACCAACAUGUGAACAAUGAAGAAGAAGAUGAUCACAUCUUUUGUGACGAAGACUCAAGUCCCGCUCUUGUUGUCUCCAAGGUCUUGACUCUUCAACAUCAACAAGACGAAGAUCAAAGAUGCCAUAUCUUCCACACAAAGGCCGGCAUCAAUGGAUGGUCCGUCAAGGUCAUCAUCGAUGGAGGGAGUUGCCAUAACUUGGCAAGUGAAGAACUAUGCUCCAAACUCCAAUUGGUCAAGAUGAAGCACCCGCACCCCUACAAGGUUCAAUGGCUAAGCGACACCGGCACCAUACAAGUCGAGCAGAGAGUACAAGUCUCUUUCAAGAUCGGCGCCUAUGAAGACACUUUGGAGUGUGAUGUCCUUUCGAUGACCGUGUGCCACCUCCUCCUUGGACGGCCAUGGCAAUUUGACCGAGGUGUCAUUCACAAUGGGCGUACAAAUCACUAUAGCUUCAAGAUGAAAGGGAAAGAGUUUGUGCUACGUCCUAUGUCUCCAAGCCAAGUGCUCGCCGACAAGCAAAACACCCAUCGUGGAGAGAAUAGUGAGAGAGUGAACCACCAAAAAGAGAGUGAGCACCACAAGCCCAAAUUGAGUGCCUCCACGAUGAGCGACAAGAAAAACUUAGUCCUAUUUGCCACCAAACAUGAGAUGAGAGAAGUGUGUGAGAACCCAUCAAGUGUCCUACACUAUGUCCUAUUGUGCAUGGAUGAGGCACCAAAAACUAACAACUCUCACGAUCUACCUUUGGUGUUAUCUUCUUUAUUGCAAGAAUUCCAAGAUGUUUUCCUCGAUGAGCUACCUCCGGGUCUACCUCCACUACGAGGCAUUGAGCACCGAAUUGAUCUCAUCCCCGGAGCGCCGCUUCCAAACAAAGCGCCCUACCGCGUCAACCCCGAAGAAACCAAAGAAAUUCAAAGGCAAGUAAAGCAUCUCAUAGACCAUGGACAUGUGCGUGAAAGUUUGAGUCCUUGUGCCGUACCGGUCAUUCUUGUGCCAAAAUGAGACGGUAGCUUUCGCAUGUGUUCCGAUUGUAGACCUAUCAAUGCUAUCACCGUUCGUUAUAGGUAUCCCAUUCCACGCCUUGAUGAUAUGCUUGAUGAACUUUGCGGUGCCACUAUCUUUUCCAAAAUUGAUCUUAAAAGUGGUUACUAUCAAAUCCGCAUACAAGAGGGUGAUGAAUGGAAAACCGCUUUCAAAACAAAGUUUGGUCUAUAUGAGUGGUCAGUCAUGCCUAUGGUUUUAUCGGAAGCACCCGGUACUUUCAUGCGUCUUAUGCAUUACGUGUUUCGCCCUAACAUUGGUGAAUUUGUUGUUGUCUACUUUGAUGAUAUCCUUGUGUUUAGCAAAUCUCUCAAAGAGCAUGUCACCCACCUUCGCACCGUGCUACAAACUCUUCGAAAAGAGCAACUUUAUGCUAAUAUGAAAAAUGCCUAUUUGGUGUUGAUAAGCUUGUUUUCUUGGGUUUCGUAGUAUCUUCUAAGGGUGUUCAUGUUGAUGAAUCUAAGAUCAAUGCUAUUAAAACUUGGCCCCAACCAACCAAUUUGCAACAAGUGCGUAGUUUUCUUGGUUUAGCCGGUUUCUAUCGCGGAUUUGUGAAGGAUUUUAGCACCAUUGCUUCACCUUUGCAUGCUUUGAGUAAGAAAAAUGCACCGUUUGUUUGGGGAACAUCUCAAGAUAUCGCUUUCAAUGAGCUUAAGAAUUUGCUUACUCAUGCUCCCGUGCUUGCAUUACCCAACUUUGACAAACCUUUCGAAAUUCAUUGCGAUGCUAGUGGUAAUGGCAUAGGAGGUGUGUUAAAUCAAGAGAAGCGCCCAAUUGCUUAUUUUAGUGAGAAACUCUCCGGAGCGCAACUCAAUUACCCUAUCUAUGACAAAGAGCUAUAUGCUUUGGUGCGAGUUUUGCAUGAAUAGGAACAUUACCUACACCUUCAUGAGUUCAUCAUCCAUACCGACCAUGAAACGCUUAAAUACCUUAAGGGUCAAACUAAGUUGAACAAGCGUCAUGCUAAAUGGAGUGAGUUCAUUGAGUCGUUUCCUUAUGUCAUCAAGUAUAUUAAAGGUAAGGAAAAUGUUGUGGCGGAUGCACUUUCCCGUAUAUGCAUGCUUGUUAAUCAACUUGAGUUAAAUAUCAUUGGCUUUGAGCAUAUAAAAGACUUGUAUGAGCAUGAUCCUACAUUUUCUAUUCCUUAUGCCAAGUGUUUGACGCAUACUUCUUGGGAUCGAUACUACAUCAAAGAUGGAUAUCGCACAAACUUUGCAUCCCCGAGUCCUCUCUUCGCUUGUUGCUUUUGCGGGAAUCUCAUGGAGGCGGACUCAUGGGACACUUUGGACGCGACAAGACAUUUGCUACGCUCUCCAAGAACUACUUUUGGCCCAAGAUGUUCCGCGACGUCAAUCGCUUCACCAACCGAUGCUCUACAUGUCGCAAAGCUAAGUCCAAAGCUCAAUCUCAUGGCCUCUAUAUGCCACUUCCAAUUCCAUAUCACCCAUGGGAAGACAUUAGCAUGGACUUUGUGCUUGGUUUGCCUAGAACUCGAAAUGGCAAGGAUUCCGUUUUUGUUGUUGUGGACCGAUUCUCCAAAAUGGCACAUUUCAUUCCUUGCAACAAGAUAGACGAUGCUUCACAUGUUGCAAAUUUGUUUUGUAGGGAAAUCUUGCGCCUUCAUGGAGUGCCAAAGACGAUUGUCUCGGACCGCGACGUCAAGUUCUUGAGUUACUUUUGGAAGACAUUGUGCGCCAAGCUCGGAAUCAAGCUUUUGUUCUCUUCGGCAUACCAUCCACAAACCGACGGCCAAACGGAGGUGACCAACCGCACGCUCUCCACUCUACUACGCGUGUUGAUAAAGAAGAACAUCAAGGAGUGGGAGGAGUGCCUACCCAUCACCGAGUACGCCUACAAUCGUGUAAGACAUUCGACUACCAGCAAGUCCCCCUUCGAGGUCGUCUAUGGCUUCAACCCAUUGUCUCCAUUGGACAUUCUACCUCUACCGCUACAAGAGCGCACAAACAUGGACGCGAGUGCCCGAGUCAACUUCCUCAAGAAGAUGCACGAAGAUACAAGAAACACCAUCGAGCGCCAAGUAGAACGACUCGCGACCAAGCUCAACGUCAACAAGUAACCCAUGAUGUUCAAUGUUGGAGAUCUUGUGUGGCUACACCUUCCCAAGGAUUGCUUCCCCAAGGAACACAAAUCCGAGCUACUACCCCGAGCGGAUGGACCCUUCAAGGUGCUUGCACGCUACAACAACAACGCAUACAAGAUCGACAUCCCACGCGACAAGUACUCCGUGAGCGACAUCUUCAACAUCAAAGAUCUAUCCCCGUACCAUGGUGAUGAGGAUUUCGAUCCGAGGUCGGAUCUUUCCCAAGGGAGGGGAGAUGAUGCGGAGCAUCCUACGGUCAUCCCCAUGGACCUACCAUCGUCUCAUCAAGAACCAAGAGGACCUAUGACACGAGCACGAGCUAGAGCUCUCGAGAACGACGUGACUUCCUUCCUUAGUGAUAUCACAUAUGAUCCACUCGAGACAUGGCUACUACCUAAGUCCGAUAUGCUAUGCAUGAUUAGGUGUCAAGAGGAGCCUCCCGAGGAUGCACGUGAAGACGAACAAGCCGCCAAGUUCAUGGAUGAAGAGAACCAACGGAAACGGGCAAGUUCACCUUCCAGGCCCCGGACAACCGGCCAAGUCCACGGACAUCCGGCCCCUGGAGCAACCACAGCAGCAGCAGCCCAGACGCCCAAGCCUACAGGGCCCGGACAUCCGGCGUCCAGCCCCGACAUCCGGCCCCAGCCCGGAAAUCCGGCCAAAAGCCCGGACAUCCGGCGCCACGCUACAGAACAUCCAGAAGUUUUGCCCCCCAGCCCGGACAUCCGGCCCCUCCUGAAGCCCCGGACAUUCGGCCCGUCGCCCGGACAUCCGACCACCCCUGUCUGCGCACAGUAAGGGCCGAGGCCCAUGUACCCCUUCGACCCCCUAGACUAUAUAUACUCCUUCUCCUCCAUCUUUCUAGGGUUAGCAUUGGUUUAGCUCAUAUGUGAGAUAGAGCAUUGCUCAUCCAUACGGAUCUCCUCCUCGAGAGAGACUGCGGCCCCUCUUCGGAGACGAUCCACGUUGGAUUCAAGACCCCCUCUUGGGUGGCCCCCCUCAAGACCUCCUUUCGGAGAAGAACCGGUUACCUAUGUAUCGUCCCUUGUUGGAUUUGGGUCGUGUAUCUCUUUGUGUUCCGAGGAUCUAGCACAUGUGUGAUUGUUCUUAUUGGUUUGAGUGAUUCUCUCGUGUUUUCCCCUCGUGUUUCCCUUCGUGUUCUUCGUGUUCUUAGUUGGGAUCCGCUCCUUUCGUGAAAGAUCGGCCAUCUAGGGUUCCACCCUACAUCACUUUGGCAUGAAGAAGACGGAGGAUAUACUUGCUACACCUUUCUUUUGGCCAAAGAUGAGACGGGAUGUUGAGCGUUUAGUUGCUCGCUGCACUACAUGUCAAAAAGCUAAGUCACGACUCAAUCCUCAUGGUUUAUAUAUGCCUUUGCCUGUACCUAGUGUUCCUUGGGAGGAUAUAUCUAUUGAUGAGGACAUCAAUACCAUUGUUACACCCACAGCCCCUGCUGCUAUACAUACUGGACCAAUUACUAGAGCUCGCGCACGCCAACUAAAUUACCAGGUACUUUCGUUUCUUGGUAAUGAUUCUAAUGUUCAUGAGAAUAUGAUGCUGCCUAAAUUGGAUACAUUUGUUUUGCUUACAAAUGAAGGGCCUAGCUUGGAGAAGGAUGAACAUUGGAGCAAGAACAAGCAUGGAGAUGAUGGCAUGCGCAAGGGGAACAAGAACGGAGUUACAAGUGAUGAUUUCAGGACGUUGAAGCCACCAUAAUGCGUGCAUGAAGCCUCGGACGAAAUAUACAAGAUGCGACUUCAUAACUUUCGUCCAGAGGCUAUUCUAGGUGCUGCGUCACCUUAUUAUUGGUCAGGCCCAUGUAAUUUCGAAAUACUUGAGUAUAGGCUGUUUUUAGAGCCCGUAUGUGUGGGGAAACAAGAGAUAGGGUUGUUUUCGGACCCCUUCCCCAAGGGCCACGAACCCCCCCCUCUUCCUCCAUAUAUACAGCCCUUAGGGCGUCGUUUUGACUUUGGGUUUUGUUUAGAUUAAAGUUCGCCAUAGCUGCAACUUCGCGUACUUCGUUUGUGUUCAACGACCAGACAAAGGCGUCACAGAACCCCUUGAUCACUAAAGCUUUCAUCUUAUAUUCGCAAUAUCUAGAUUGCAAUCUCAGUUUCUUGCUUGUUCUUCGUUUGCUUGCAAGAAAUAGACCCUCGUGGUCAGGUUGAUCGUGCUGCGGUGUGGUCAAUAACCUCUCGGAGUUGGUUUAGCGAUUGCUAAGGCGCGACGUCCUCGCACGUUCGUAGUCGGAUCGUCAAAGUCGACUUCCACCAAAGCGAUAUCCAUCAUCUCAUCGAAAGACGGGACACCUUUGCCUAUAUCAAGUGGUAUCAGAUUUCCAGGUUGCUCGGUGAGAUUUUACAGUUUUUCGUAGUUUAGAUCAAGUCUGUUCGUCAUACCUAUAGUCCACGAAAAAGCCAAAAAAAAUUAGGGUUAGUUCAUCCUAUCCGAACCAAUCUGAGCCUUUGCAUAAUCUCUUAUGUAUUUGCUUUGUUGACUUUGCGGUUGCAUCGUCGUGUCAAGUUGCUGGUCUUAGCGUCUAGUCCUUUAGAGAUUCGAGUUAUGUUCACAGGUUGUCACGUCGCCGCUGCCAUAUACCACCACCGUAUUAUCAUAGUCGCUGCUACCAUAUACCACCACCGCACCAACUUCAUCGCCGCUGCCAUAUACCACCACCACAUAUUCACCGCCAAUCCGAGUCCAUCUACGCAACCACAUAUCCGCCGCCAUCACGCCAAUCCGAGUCCACCUUCAACAUAUAUCCGCCACCAGUCCGAGUUCCACCAGAUUCAUCUCCGCCAUCAGUCCGAGUUCCACCAGAUUUAUCUCCGCUACCAGUCCUAGUCCGAGUCCAGUAUUUUGUUACUCUGUUUUGGAUUUCCAUAUCACGCCAUACUCCGAGUCGUGACAGAGAAGGACUCCCAAACUUUCGUGUUACCCACAGUAGAAAAUAUAGUUCCAGAUUCAAAAAAAAUCUAAGUCUGGAAAAUUCUGGCUAGGCAGUUUUUAGGCCAUUUGUAGACUUUUUCGGAAAAAAAUUGUUGCGGAGCAAAAAAAAGAGGAAAAAAAGUGCAAAAAAAGUGAAAAAAGAGAAAAAAAUUCAAAGCGUGCUCCUCCCUUGUUUACGUGCAGCACCGUGAUUUUGUUAGUGUUCUAGGCUCGCGUCUCUAGCACGGUCUAGCCUAGGACCAGCACAGUACCGUCGUUGAGCGUUUAUUCAACUUUGCAUCUCUGAAUUGAUUAUUGCUGACCCUUUUUGCUACCUUAUAAGCCUUCCCAGCUCCACAUACAUCUACGUCGUGUGUUUGACUCUCCCUGGUAAUCGCUCUAUCCAAGCUUUGAGAGUUUUGACUACAACGGUUGCCGAUCGCUGCCUGCUGCAGGGUAAGAACUGGUAAGAAUUUGAGAUUCGCUUGAAGGAUUUGUGACACACCACCAUCACCACCACUUCCUAGUAGUCUGUAGGAUCAUAUUCUUGUGUGUUUCUAUUGCUGCUAACCAUGGCAGGAUCACAAGCCGAUGAGACUGAUUGGGAGAACAUGACGAACAAGGAGUUGCAUGAUAAAUUUCAGCAAAUGAUGAGUGGCCAGGUGGGAGCUGUGCUAAACAGAUUUGAAGAGGCUAUGGAGAAGAUAGAUGCAGUGGAGAAGUCGUUCGAGACAAAGCUGGAUAACAAGUUUAAUGAAUUGCUCAAGCGUCUUCCCAAACCACCACCGGCUGCACCUGUCGCACCUCUACAACAACAACAACAACAACAACAACAACAUCUCCAACGCCGCCUUCCAAAUCAAGUGGGACGAGCACAGCGCGUUCCAAUUGAGACUGGUCAAAAUUCGGGUGCCGCUACAACUACUGUUGAUGCUUCUUUGGCUCCUGCUGCUGCGGCGGCUGAGGAGGAGGAUGAUUAUGUGGGCGAUUAUGAGGAUGAGGUUGAUCAAAAUCAGAACUACGUGCAGCCACCAGCACCACCACCAGCAGGUCGACCUCAGGUAUAUAUUCACAACGGUAGGCCUGCACCACCACCUCAGGUACGAGAUAAUGACCAUAUUCCUAAACUGAAAUUGAAUAUUCCACCAUUUGAGGGUAGAUAUGUUCCUGAUAUAUAUCUUACUUGGGAGUUAGAAACUGAACAACGUUUUACAUGUUUACAAUAUCCCGAGGAGAGACGGGUUACUGCUGUUGUUUGUGCUUUCACUACUUUUGCAUGUGUAUGGUGGUCUGAACAUUGUAGAUUAUAUCCUAUUCCAGCUACUUGGGCUGCUUUGAAAACUGCUAUGCGUACUCGUUGGGUUCCACCAUAUUAUCAAUGUGAAUUGCUUCAAAAAUUGCAGCGUUUACGACAAGGGAAAAAUUAUAUAGAAGAAUAUUAUCAGGAAUUACAAACUGGCAUGAUUAGAUGUGGUAUUGUUGAGGAGAAUGAAGCUAUGCUUGCACGUUUUAUGGGUGGAUUAAUAGAGAGAUUCAGACCAUUCUAGAGUAUAAGGAGUAUACUAAUAUCACUCGUUUAUUCCAUCUUGCUUGUAAAGCUGAACGUGAAGUGCAGGAUCGACAAGCAUUGGCACGAACUAACUUUUCUGCAGGUCGACCUUCAUCAUGGACACCGCGUGCAUCCUCUACUUCCACUGCACCAGCACCUCCAUCAGGUGCCACCUCCAGCCGUGAUACAAGAAAGCAGGCACAACCACCACUAUCUGCCAAGAGCGCACCUGCCGGGCCUGCACAGAGCUCUUCUUCGUCCAUGGCAUCAACAGGGCACACAAGUGAUAUUAUUUAUUGUCGCUGUAAGGGAAGAGGACAUUAUGCGCGAGAAUGCAAAUUUCAGCGUGUGAUGAUUGCUACUGAGGAUGGUGGGUAUGAGUCCGCUAGUGACUAUGAUGAGGAGACUUUGGCUCUUAUCACACGUGAAGAACACGGUGGAGAUGAUUCUGAUCAAGAGACGCAAUACAUGGCUCCUGAAGACGCUGACAGGUAUGAAUGUUUAGUUGCUCAACGUGUUUUGAGUGUGCAGGUCACACAAGCUGAGCAAAAUCAGAGGCAUAAUUUGUUCCAUACAAAGGGAGUUGUGAAGGAACGUUCUGUGCGCGUCAUCAUAGAUGGAGGGAGCUGCAACAACUUGGCUAGCAUGGAGAUGGUGGAGAAGCUAUCUCUCACCACAAGACCACAUCCACAUCCUUACUACAUCCAAUGGUUCAACAACAGCGGCAAGGUUAAGGUAACACGUACUGUUCGUGUGCAUUUUAGUAUCUCUACAUAUGCUGAUUAUGUUGAUUGUGAUGUGGUACCUAUGCAAGCAUGUUCCUUAUUACUUGGUCGACCAUGGCAAUUUCAUAAAAAAUUCUGUACACCAUGGUAGAAACAAUCAGUAUACUCUUGUUCAUAAGGAUAAAAAUAUUACUUUGCUUCCUAUGACUCCUGAUUCCAUUUUGAAAGAUGAUAUUAAUAGAGCUAAUAAAGCAAAACAGGAGAAGAAUAAGAGUGAAAAUCAGAUUGUGGCAAAAGAAUAUGAGCAACAAAUGAAGCCCAAUAAUAAACCAUCUAGUGUUGCUUCUGAAAUUAAAUUGAAAAGUGCAUGUUUAUUUGCCACCAAAUCUGAUAUUGAUGAGCUAGAUUUCAGCAAAUCUGUUUGCUAUGCUUUUGUGUGCAAAGAGGCAUUAUUUUCAUUUGAGGACGUGCCUUCCUCUUUGCCUCCUUCUGUCACUAACAUUUUGCAGGAGUUCGCUGACGUCUUUCCACAAGACGUGCCACCGGGAUUACCUCCCAUUCGAGGGAUUGAGCAUCAGAUUGACUUAAUUUCUGGUGCAUCAUUACCCAACCGUGCACCAUACCGUACCAAUCCAGAGGAGACGAAGGAGAUUAUGCGUCAAGUACAGGAGCUGCUCGACAAAGGUUAUAUACGCGAAUCCCUUAGUCCUUGUGCUGUUCCUAUCAUUUUAGUGCCGAAAAAGGAUGGUACUUCGCGUAUGUGCCUAGAUUGUAGAGGCAUUAAUAAUAUUACUAUUCGUUAUCGUCAUCCUAUUCCUAGGCUAGAUGAUAUGCUUGAUGAAUUGAGUGGCUCUACAAUAUUCUCCAAAGUUGAUUUGCGUAGUGGAUACCAUCAAAUUCUUAUGAAAUUGGGAGAUGAAUGGAAAACAACAUUUAAAACUAAGUUUGGAUUAUAUGAGUGGUUAGUCAUGCCUUUUGGGUUAACUAAUGCACCUAGUACUUUCAUGAGAUUAAUAAACGAAGUUUUACGUGCUUUCAUUGGACGAUUUGUGGUAGUUUACUUUGAUGACAUAUUGAUUUAUAGCAAAUCUUUGGAGGAACAUUUGGAACAUUUACGUGCUGUUUUUAUUGCUCUACGUGAUGCACGUUUGUUUGGUAACCUUGGGAAGUGCACCUUUUGCACCGACCGAGUGUCUUUUCUUGGCUAUGUUGUUACUCCACAGGGAAUUGAAGUUGAUAAAGCCAAGAUUGAAGCUAUUGAGAGUUGGCCGCAGCCCAAAAGGGUCACACAAGUGCGGAGUUUUCUAGGCCUCGUAGGAUUCUAUAGGCGUUUUGUGAGAGAUUUCAGCACCAUUGCUGCACCUCUCAUGAGCUUACAAAGAAGGAUGUGCCUUUUGUUUGGGGUACCACACAGGAAGAAGCCUUCACGGUAUUGAAAGAUAAGUUGACACAUGCUCCUUUACUCCAACUUCCCGAUUUUAAUAAGACUUUUGAACUUGAAUGCGAUGCUAGUGGAAUUGGAUUAGGAGGUGUGUUAUUACAAGAUGGCAAACCUGUUGCAUACUUUUCUGAAAAAUUGAGUGGGCCUAGUCUGAAUUAUUCUACUUAUGAUAAAGAAUUAUAUGCUCUUGUUCGGACUUUAGAAACAUGGCAACAUUAUUUAUGGCCCAAAAAAUUUGUUAUACAUUCUGAUCACGAAUCUUUGAAACAUAUUAAAAGUCAAGCUAAACUAAAUCGUAGACAUGCUAAAUGGGUUGAAUCCAUUGAGACUUUCCCUUAUGUCAUUAAACACAAGAAGGUUAAAGAAAAUGUUAUUGCUGAUGCAUUGUCUCGUCGCUAUACUAUGCUUUCACAACUUGACUUCAAAAUACUUGGUUUGGAGACCAUCAAAGAUCAAUAUGUACAUGAUGCUGAUUUUAAAGAUGUAUUGCAGAAUUGUAAAGAAGGACGAACAUGGAACAAGUUCAUCGUUAAUGAUGGAUAUGUGUUCCGUGCUAACAAGCUAUGCAUUCCCACUAGCUCUAUUCGUCUUUUGUUGUUGCAGGAGGCGCAUGGAGGAGGACUAAUGGGACACUUUGGCGUGAAGAAGACGGAGGACGUACUUACUACACAUUUCUUUUGGCCAAAGAUGAGACGGGAUGUUGACCGUUUUGUUGCUCGCUGCACUACAUGUCAAAAAGCUAAGUCACGACUCAAUCCUCAUGGUUUAUAUAUGCCUUUGCCUGUACCUAGUGUUCCUUGGGAGGAUAUAUCUAUGGACUUUGUUUUAGGUUUACCUCGAACAAAGAAGGGGAGGGAUAACAUAUUUGUUAUCGUGGAUAGAUUCUCGAAAAUGGCACACUUUAUACCAUGUCAUAAAAGCGAUGAUGCUAUUAAUGUUGCUGAUUUGUUCUUUCGUGAAAUUAUUCGCUUGCAUGGUGUACCAAAUACUAUUGUUUCAGAUCGUGAUAUUAAAUUUCUUACCCACUUUUGGAGAUGUUUAUGGGCUAAGUUGGGGACUAAACUGCUUUUCAGUACUACUUGUCACCCCCAAACUGAUGGACAAACUGAAGUAGUCAAUAGAACAUUGUGUACUAUGCUUAGGGCUGUUUUGAAGAAUAAUAAGAAAAUGUGGGAAGAUGCCUCAUAUUGAAUUUGCUUAUAAUCGUACAUUGCAUUCUACUACUAAGAUGUGCCCUUUUGAAAUUUUGUAUGGUUUCCUACCUCGUGCACCUAUUGAUUUGUUGCCUCUUCCAUCUUCGGAGAAGGUUAAUUUUGAUGCUAAACUUGCUGAAUUGAUUUUAAAAAUGCAUGAGUUAACUAAGGAAAACAUUGAGCGUAUGAAUGCUAAAUAUAAACUUGCUGGAGAUAAGGGUAGAAAACAUGUUGUGUUUGCACCUGGAGAUCUUGUUUGGUUACAUUUGCGUAAGGAUAGAUUUCCUGAUUUGUGCAAAUCAAAGCUAAUGCCACGUGCUGAUGGUCCUUUUAAGGUGUUAGAGAAAAUAAAUGAUAAUGCAUAUAAACUUGAGCUGCCUGCAGAUUUUGGGGUUAGUCCCACUUUUAACAUUGCAGAUUUGAAGCCUUAUUUGGGUGAGGGAGAUGAGCUUCCGUCGAGGACGACUUCAUUUCAAGAAGGGGAGGAUGAUGAGGACAUCAAUACCAUUGUUACACACAUAGCCCCUGCUGCUAUACAUACUGGACCAAUUACUAGAGCUUGCGCACGCCAAUUAAAUUACCAGGUACUUUCGUUUCUUGGUAAUGAUUCUAAUGUUCAUGAGAAUAUGAUGCUGCCUAAAUUGGAUACAUUUGUUUUGCUUACAAAUGAAGGGCCUAGCUUGGAGAAGGAUGAACAUUGGAGGAAGAACAAGCAUGGAGGGGAACAAGAACGGAGUUACAAGCGAUGAUUUCAGGACCUUGAAGCCACCAUAAGGAGUGAAUGAAGCCUUGGACGAAAUAUACAAGAUGCCACUUCAUAAAUUUCGUCCAGAGGCUAUUCUAGGUGCACCGUCACCUUAUUAUUGGGCCAGGCCCAUGUAAUUUCGAAAUACAUAAGUAUAGGCUGUUUUUAGAGUCCGUAUGUGUGGGAAACAAGAGAUUGGGUUGGUUUCGGACCCCUUCCCCGAGGGCCACGAAAUUCCCCCCUCUUCCUCCAUAUAUACAACCCUUAGGGCACCAUUUAGACUUUGGGUUUUGUUUAGAUUAAAAGUUCGCCAUGGCUGCAACUUCGCGUACUUCGUUUGUGUUCAACGACCAGACAAAGGCGUCACAGAACCCCACCUUGAUCAAUAAAGCUUUCCUCUUAUAUUCGCAAUAUCCAGAUUGCAAUCUUAGUUUCUUGCUUGUUCUUCGUUUGCCUGCAGGAAACAGACCUUCAUGGUCAGGUUGAUCGUGCUCCGGCGUGGUCAAUAACCUCUCGGAGUUGGUUUAGCGAUUGCUAAGGCGUGACGUCCACACACGUUCGUAGUCGGUUCGUCAAAGUCGACUUCCUCCAAAACGAUAGCCACCAUCUCAUCGAAAGACGGGACACCUUUGCCUCUAUCAGGCCCUUCAUUUGUAAGCAAAACAAAUGUAUCCAAUUUAGGCAGCAUCAUAUUCUCAUGAACAUUAGAAUCAUUCCCAAGAAACGAAAGUACCUGGUAAUUUAAUUGGCGUGCGCGAGCUCUAGUAAUCGGUCCAGUAUGUAUAGUAGCAGGGGUUGUGGGUGUAACAAUGGUAUUGAUGUCCUCAUCAUCCUCCCCUUCUUGAAAUGAAGUCGUCCUCGACGGAAGCUCAUCUUCCUCACCCAAAUAAGGCUUCAAAUCUGCAAUGUUAAAAGUGGGACUAACCCCAAAAUCUGCAGGCAACUCAAGUGUAUAUGCAUUAUCAUUUAGUUUCUCUAACACCUUAAAAGGACCAUCAGCACGUGGCAUUAGCUUUGAUUUGCGCAAAUUAGGAAACCUAUCUGUACGCAAAUGUAACCAAACAAGAUCUCCAGGUGCAAAGACAACAUGUUUUCUACCCUUAUCUCCAGCAAGUUUAUAUUUAGCAUUCAUACGCUCAAUGUUUUCCUUAGUUAACUCAUGCAUUUUUAAGAUCAAUUCAUCACGUUGUUUAGCAUCAAAAUUAACCUUCUCCGAAGAUGGAAGAGCCAACAAAUCAAUGGGUGCACGAGGUAGGAAACCAUACACAAUUUCAAAAGGGCACAUCUUAGUAGUAGAAUGCAACGGACGAUUAUAAGCAAAUUCAAUAUGAGGCAAGCAUUCUUCCCACAUUUUCUUAUUAAUCUUCAAAACAGCCCUAAGCAUAGUAGACAAUGUUCUAUUGACUACUUCAGUUUGACCAUCAGUUUGGGGGUGACAAGUAGUACUAAAAAGAAGUUUAGUCCCCAACUUAGCCCAUAAACAUCUCCAAAAGUGACUAAGAAAUUUAGUAUAACGAUCUGAUAAAUAUUGUCUACUAUAGACCAUGCAAGGGAAUAAUUUCACGAAAGAACAAAUCAGCAACAUUAACAGCAUCAUCGCUUUUAUGACAUGGUAUAAAGUUUGUCAUUUUCGAGAACCUAUCCACGACAACAAAUAUGCUAUCCCUCCCCUUCUUUGUUCGAGGUAAACCUAAAACAAAGUCCAUAGAUAUAUCCUCCCAAGGAACACUAGGUACAGGCAAAGGCAUAUAUAAACCAUGAGGAUUGAGUCGUGACUUAGCUUUUUGACAUGUGAGCGAGCAACAAAACGCUCAACAUCCCGUCUCAUCUUUGGCCAAAAGAAAUGUGUAGCAAGUAUAUCCUCCGUCUUCUUCACGCCAAAGUGUCCCAUUAGUCCUCCUCCAUGCGCCUCCUGCAACAACAAAAGACGAACGGAGCUAGCUGGAAUGCAUAGCUUGUUAGCACGAAACACAAAUCCAUCGUUAACGACGAACUUGUUCCAUGUUCUACCUUCUUUACAAUUCUGCAAUACAUCUUUAAAUUCAGCAUCAUGCACAUAUUGAUCUUUGAUGGUCUCCAAACCAAAUAUCUGAAAGUCAAGUUGUGAAAGCAUAGUGUAACGACGAGACAAUGCAUCAGCAGUAACAUUUUCUUUACCCUUCUUGUGUUUAAUGAGAUAAGGGAAAGUCUCAAUGAAUUCAACCCAUUUAGCAUGUCUACGGUUCAGUUUUGCUUGACUUUUAAUGUGUUUCAAAGAUUCAUGAUCAGAAUGUAUAACAAAUUAUUUGGGCCAUAAAUAAUGUUGCCAUGUUUCUAAAGUCCGAACAAGAGUAUAUAAUUCUUUAUCAUAAGUAGAAUAGUUCAGACUAGGCCCACUCAAUUUUUCAGAAAAGUAUGCAACAGGUUUGCCAUCUUGUAAUAACACACCUCCUAAUCCAAUUCCACUAGCAUCACAUUCAAGCUCAAAAGUCUUAUUAAAAUCAGGAAGUUGGAGUAAAGGAGCAUGUGUCAACUUAUCUUUCAAUACCGUGAAGGCUUCUUCCUGUGCGGUACCCCAAACAAAAGGCACAUCCUUCUUUGUAAGCUUGUUGAGAGGUGCAGCAAUGGUGCUAAAAUCUCUCACAAAACGCCUAUAGAAACCAGCGAGUCCAAGAAAACUCCGCACUUGUGUGACUGUUUUGGGCUGCGGCCCACUCUCAAUAGCUUCUAUCUUGUCUUUAUCAACUUCAAUUCCCUGUGGAGUAACAACAUAGCCAAGAAAAGAUACUCGGUCGGUGCAAAAGGUGCACUUCCCAAGGUUACCAAACAAACGUGCAUCACGUAGAGCAAUAAAAACAGCACGUAAAUGUUCCAAAUGUUCUUCCAAAGAUUUGCUAUAAAUCAGUAUAUCAUCAAAAUAGACUACCACAAAUCGUCCAAUGAAAGCACGUAAAACUUCGUUCAUUAGUCUCAUGAAAGUAGUAGGUGCACUAGUUAACCCAAAAGGCAUGACUAACCACUCAUAUAAACCAAACUUAGUUUUAAAUGCUGUUUUCCAUUCAUCUCCCAAUUUCAUACGAAUUUGAUGGUAUCCACUACGCAAAUCAACUUUGGAGAAUAUUGUAGAGCCACUCAAUUCAUCAAGCAUAUCAUCUAGCCUAGGAAUAGGAUGACGAUAACAAAUAGUAAUAUUAUUAAUGCCUCUACAAUCAACACACAUACGUGACGUACCAUCCUUUUUAGGCACAAGUAUAAUAGGAACAGCACAAGGACUAAGAGAUUCGCGUAUAUAACCUUUGUCGAGCAGCUCCUGUACUUGACGCAUAAUCUCCUUUGUCUCCUCUGGAUUGGUACGGUAUGGUGCACGGUUGGGUAGCGAUGCACCGGGAAUUAAGUCAAUUUGAUGCUCAAUCCCUCGAAUAGGUGGUAAUCCCGGUGGCACGUCUUGUGGGAAGACGUCAGCGAACUCCUGCAAAAUGUUAGUGACUGCAGGGGGCAAAGAGGAAGGCACGUCCUCGAAUGAAAAUAAUGCCUCUUUGCACACGAAAGCAUAGCAAACAGAUUUGCUGAAAUCUAGCUCAUCAAUAUCAGAUUUUGUGGCAAGUAAACAUGCACUUUUCAAUUUAAUUUCAGAAACAACACUAGAUGGUUUAUUAUUAGGUUUCAUUUGUUGCUCAAAUUCAUUUGCCACAAUCUGAUUUUCACUCUUAUUUUUCUCCUGUUUUGCUUUAUUAGCUCUAUUAAUGUCAUCUUUCAAAAUGGAAUCAGGAGUCAUAGGAAGCAAAGUAAUAUUUUUAUCCUUAUGAACAAGAGUAUACUGAUUGUUUCUACCAUGGUGUACAGAAUUUUUAUCAAAUUGCCAAGGUCUACCUAGUAAUAAGGAACAUGCUUGCAUGGGUACCACAUCACAAUCAACAUAAUCAGCAUAUGUAGAGAUACUAAAAUGCACCCGAACAGUACGUGUUACCUUAACCUUGCCGCUGUUGUUGAACCAUUGGAUGUAGUAAGGAUGUGGAUGUGGUCUUGUGGUGAGAGAUAGCUUCUCCACCAUGUCCAUGCUAGCCAAGUUGUUACAGCUCCCUCCAUCUAUGAUGACGCGAACAGAACGUUCCUUCACAACUCCCUUUGUAUGGAACAAAUUAUGCCUCUGAUUUUGCUCUGCUUGUGUAACCUGCACACUCAAAACACGUUGAGCAACUAAACACUCAUACCUGUCAGCAUCUUCAGGAGCCAUGUAUUGCGUCUCAUUUUCAGAAUCAUCUUCACCAUGUUCUUCACGGGUAAUAAGAGCCAAAGUCUCCUCAUCAUAGUCACUAGCGGACUCAUACCCACCAUCCUCAGUAGCAAUCAUCACACGCUGAGAUUUGCAUUCUCUCGCAAAAUGUCCUCUUCCCUUACAACGACGACAAAUAAUAUCACUUGUGUGCCCUGUUGACGCCAUGGAAGAAGAAGAGCUCUGUGCAGGCCCGACAGGUGUGCUCUUGGCAGAUAGUGGUGGUUGUGCCUGCUUUCUUGUAUCACGGUUGGAGGUGGCACCUGAAGGAGGUGAUGGUGCAGUGGAAGUAGAUGAUGCACGUGGUGUCCAUGAUGAAGGUCGACCUGCAGAAAAGUUAGUUCGCGUCAAUGCCUGUCGAUCCUGCACUUCACGUUCAGCUUUACAAGCAAGAUGGAAUAAACGAGUGAUAUUAUUAUAAUCUUUAUACUCUAGAAUGGUCUGAAUCUCUCUAUUUAAUCCACCCAUAAAACGUGCAAGCAUAGCUUCAUUCUCCUCAACAAUACCACAUCUAAUCAAGCCAGUUUGUAAUUCCUGAUAAUAUUCUUCUACAUAAUUUUUUCCUUGUCUUAAGCGCUGCAAUUUUUGAAGUAAUUCACGUUGAUAAUAUGGUGGAACCCAACGAGUACGCAUAGCAGUUUUCAAAGCAGCCCAAGUAGCUGGAACAAGAUAUAAUCUACAAUGUUCAGACCACCAAACACAUGCAAAGCUAGUGAAAGCACAAACAGUAGCAGGAACACGUCUCUCCUUAGGAUAUUGUAAACAUGUAAAUCGUUGUUCAGUUUCUAACUCCCAAGUAAGAUAUAUAUCAGGAACAUAUCUACCCUCAAAUGGUGGAAUAUUCAAUUUCAGUUUAGGGAGAUGGUCAUGAUCUCGUACCUGAGGGGGAGCCCUAACAUUGCCAUUAUUUGCGUGUGGACGACCUGGUGGUUGUGGUGCUGGUGGUUGCACGUAGUUCUGAUUUUGAUCAACCUCAUCCUCGUAAUCUCCCGCAUAAUCAUCGUCCUCCACAUCAGCAGCAGGAGCCAUAGAAGUAUCAACAGCAGCACCAGAAGUUUGGCCAGGCUGAAGAGGGACAUGACUCGCUCGGCGGAGGGCUGUUUCCCGACGUGGAGGUACUCGUUGUUGUUGUUGCAGAGGUGCGGCAGGUGCGGCCGAUGGUGGAAGACGCGCAAGCAGUUCAUUAAAUCUGUUAUCAAGCUUUGUUUCGAACGUCUUCUCAAGGCCAGUGAUCUUCUCCAUGGCCUCUUCAAAAUUGUUUAGCACAUCUUGCACCUGUUCAGUCAUCAUUUGCUGAAACUUAUCAUGAAGCUCCUUGUUCAUUAAAUUCUCCCAGUCAAUCUUGUCGGCUUGUGAUCCUGGCAUGGUUAGCAGUAAUAGAAACACACAAGAAUAUGAUCCUAUAGACUACUAACAAGUGGUGGUGGUGGGUGUCACAAAUCCGUCAAGCAAAUCUCAAAUUCUUACCAGUUCUUACCCAGCAGCAGGCAGUGAUCGGCAACCGAUGUAGUCAAAACUCUCAAAGCUUGGAUUACCAGGGAGAGUCAAACGCACGAUGUAGAUGUAUGUGGAGCUGGGAAGGCUUAUAAUAUGGUAGCAAAAAGGGUCGGCAAUAAUCAAUUCAGAGAUGCAAAGUUGAAUAAACGCUCAACGAUGGUACUGUGCUGGUCCUAGGCUAGACCGCACCAGAGACGCGAGCCUAGAACACUAACAAAGUCACGGCGCUGCACGUAAACAAGGGAGGAGCACACUCUGAUUUUUUUUCUUUUUUCACUUUUUUCUGCACUUUUUUUCCUCUUUUUUUUGCUCCGCAACAAUUUUUUUUCGAAAAAGUCUACAAAUGUCCUAAAAACUGCCUAGCCAGAUUUUUUUUAAACUAGAACUAUUUUUCUUCUGCGGAUGGCUCGGAAGUUGGGGAGUCCUACUCUGUCACGAUUCGGAGUAUAGCGUGAUCUGGAAAUCGAGAACAAAGCAAUAAUUACUAGACUCGGACUAGGACUGGUGGCGGAGAGGAAUCUGGUGGAAACUCGGACUGGUGGCGGAUAUUUGCAGGGCGAUGGAACACGGACUGGUGGCGAAUCUGUGAUGGAGGUGGACUCGGAUUAGUGUGAUGGCGGUGGAUAUGUGGUAUAUGGUAGCCGCGAUGACGAUGGUGGUAUAUGGCAGCGGUGAUGACGAUGGUGCGGCGGCGGCGUGACAACUUGUGAACAGAACUCGAAACUCUAAAGUACUAGACGCUAGGACCAGCAACUUGACACGACGAUGCAACCGCAAAUUCAACAAAGCAAAUACAGAAAAUAUUAUGCAAAGGCUCAGAUUGGUUCGGAUAAGAUGAACUAACCCUAAUAUUUUUUUUGGCUUUUUCGUGGACUAUAGGUAUGAAGAACAGACUCGAUCUAAACUACGAAAAACUGUAAAAUCUCACCGAGCAACCUGAAAAUCUGAUACCACUUGAUAGAGGCAAAGGUGUCCCGUCUUUCGAUGAGAUGGUGGCUAUCGUUUUGGAGGAAGUCGACUUUGACGAACCGACGACGAACGUGCGAGGACGUCGCGCCUUAGCAAUCGCUAAACCAACUCCGAGAGGUUAUUGACCACGCUGGAGCACGAUCAACCUGACCACGAAGGUCUGUUUCCUGCAGGCAAACGAAGAACAAGCAAGAAACUAAGAUUGCAAUCUGGAUAUUGCGAAUAUAAGAGGAAAGCUUUAUUGAUCAAGGUGGGGUUCUGUGACGCCUUUGUCUGGUCGUUGAACACAAACGAAGUACGCGAAGUUGCAGCUAUGGCGAACUUUUAAUCUAAACAAAACCCGAAGUCUAAACGGUGCUCUAAGGGUUGUAUAUAUGGAGGAAGAGGGGGGGAAUUUCGUGGCCCUCGGGGAAGGGGUCCGAAACCAACCCUAUCUCUUGUUUCCCCACACAUACGGACUCUAAAAACAGCCUAUACUUAUGUAUUUCGAAAUUACAUGGGGCUGGCCCAAUAAUAAGGUGACGCUGCACCUAGAAUAGCCUCUGGACGAAAUUUAUGAAGUGGCAUCUUGUAUAUUUCGUCCAAGGCUUCAUUCACUCCUUAUGGUAGCUUCAAAGUCCUGAAAUCAUCACUUGUAACUCCGUUCUUGUUCCCCUUGCGCAUGCCAUCAACUCCAUGCUUGUUCUUGCUCCAAUGUUCAUCCUUCUCCAAGCUAGGCCCUUCAUUUGUAAGCAAAACAAAUGUAUCUAAUUUAGGCAGCAUCAUAUUCUCAUGAACAUUAGAAUCAUUACAAAGAAACGAAAGUGCCUGGUAAUUUAAUUGGCGUGCACGAGCUCUAGUAAUCGGUCCAGUAUGUAUAGUAGCAGGGGUUGUGGGUGUAACAAUGGUAUUGAUGUCCUCAUCAGGGCUUAGCUUCGAGAAGGAUGAACAUUGGAGCAAGAACAAGCAUGGAGUUGAUGGCAUGCGCAAGGGAGACAAGAACAGAGUUUCAAGUGAUGAUUUCAGGACUUUGAAGCCACCAAAAUGAGUGCAUGAAGCCUUGGACGAAAUAUACAAGAUGCCACUUCAUAAUUUUCGUCCAGAGGCUAUUCUAGGUGCUGAUUCACCUUAUUUUGGGCCAGGCCCAUGUAAUUUCGAAAUAGGUCAAUAUAGGCUGUUUUUAGAGUCCGUAUGUGUGGGGAAACAAGAGUUAGGGUGGGUUUCGGACCCCUCCUCCAAGGGCCACGAAAUUCCCCGCCUCUUCCUCCAUAUAUACAGCCACUACGGCAUUGUUUAGACUUUGGGUUUUGUUUAGAUUAAAAGUUCGCCAUAGCCGCAACUUCGCGUACCUCGUUUGUGUUCAACGACCAGACAAAGGCGUCACAGAACCCCACCUUGAUCAAUAAAGCUUUCCUCUUAUAAUCGCAAUAUCCAGAUUGCAAUCUUAGUUUCUUGCUUGUUCUUCAUUUGCCUGCAGGAAACAGACCUUCGUGGUCAGGUUGAUCGUGCUCCGGCGUGGUCAAUAACCUCUCGGAGUUGGUUUAGCGAUUGCUAAGGCGCGACGUCCUCGCACGUUCGUAGUCGGAUCGUCAAAGUCGACUUCCUCCAAAACGAUAGCCACCAUCUCAUCGAAAGAUGGGACACCUUUGCCUCUAUCAUCAGCUCCGUAGACGAGGAAGAAUGGAGUCUCGCCGGUCGGCUAGGUUGCGGUGGUGCGUAUGGACCACAUUACGGACUAGAGCUCGUCCAGCCAGCCGCUGGCGCAGGCUUCGAGCUUCUUCUUGAAAGUCCUUGCUUUGAGGCCCCUCAGGACCUCUGCGUUUGCGCGCUCAGCUUGGCCGUUGCUCCUGGGGUGUGCCACUUAGGCAUAACAUAUCUGCGUUCCAAGAUUAGCACAAUAUGUUUUGAAGAGAUUGCUAGUGAACUGUGAGCCGUUGUCGGUGAUGAUGCGAUUAGGGACUCCGAACCGGCUCACAAGGUCCUUGAUGAACUUGACCGCCAAGUCGGCCGGGAUGCGGACUGGCUCCACCUCCGCCCACUUGGUGAACUUGUCAGGUAGCGGUAGCCCCCAGGCGCUCGAGGGAACGGGCCCAAAAUGUCCAGCCCCCAGACCGCAAACGGAUAUGAGAGCGGGAUAGUCUAGAGGCCCUGAGCAGGCUUGUGGAUUUGCUUUGCAUGGAACUGGCAGGCUUCACAAGAUUUCACUAGCUCGGUUGCAUUGUUGAGUGCUGUGGGCCAGUAGAAUCCACUGCGGAACGCCUUGCCCACCAAUGUGCGCAAUGAUGAGUGAUGUCUGCAGUCCCCGCCGUGUAUGUCAGUUAACAGCUCGCACCCCUGCUCCCUGGCGAUGCAUUGCAAAGAAACAUUGUUUGGCCAUUUUCGGUACAGCUCACCGUCCUGGAUGAAGUAGGCUGUGGCCUGCCGAGCUACACGCUCCGUGUCUUCCUUCUUUUCCGGCAGGGUUCCCUGCAGCAGCUAUGCCUUGAAUUCUUCGGUCCAGCACCCAUCCUAAGGCUCGAGCGCGAGGAGCAGGCAUGCUCCUGAGGUCGGGCCGCAGGCUGGGGCUCCUGAGGUUGGUGGCGCGGGGAGCUCCCCUGAGGCGGCGCCGUCUCCGCAGCCGGAGGGGCCGCUGAAGGCUUGAAGAGCCGCUCCUCGAAGACGUCGUGACAGAGGCAAAGGUGUCCCGUCUUUCGAUGAGAUGAUGGAUAUCGCUUUGGUGGAAGUCGACUUUGAUGAUCCGACUACGAACGUGCGAUGACGUCGCGCCUUAGCAAUCGCUAGACCAACUCCGAGAGGUUAUUGACCACGCCGGAGCACGAUCAACCUGACCACGAGGGUUUGUUUCCUGCGAGCAAACGAAGAACAAGCAAGAAACUGAGAUUGCAAUCUGGAUAUUGCGAAUAUAAGAUGAAAGUUUUAUUGAUCAAGGUGGGGUUCUGUGACGCCUUUGUCUGGUCUUUGAACACAAACGAAGUACACGAAGUUGCAGCUAUGGUGAACUUUUAAUCUAAACAAAACCCAAAGUCUAAACGACGCCCUAAGGGUUGUAUAUAUGGAGGAAGAGGGGGGAAUUUUGUGGCCCUUGGGGAAGGGGUCCGAAACCAACCCUAUCUCUUGUUUCCCCACACAUACGGACUCUAAAAACAGCCUAUACUCAAGUAUUUCGAAAUUACAUGGGCCUGGCCAUUUAAUAAGGCGACGCAGCACCUAGAAUAGCCUCUGGACGAAAGUUAUGGAGUAGCAUCUUGUAUAUUUCGUCCAAGGCUUCAUGCACGCAUUAUGGUGGCUUCAACGUCCUGAAAUCAUCACUUGUAACUCUGUUCUUAUUCCCCAUGCGCAUGCCAUCAUCUCCAUGCUUGUUCUUGCUCCAAUGUUCAUCCUUCUCAAAGCUAGGCCCUUCAUUUGUAAGCAAAACAAAUGUAUCCAAUUUAGGCAGCAUCAUAUUCUCAUGAACAUUAGAAUCAUUACCAAGAAAUGAAAGUACCUGGUAAUUUAAUUGGCAUGCGCGAGCUCUAGUAAUUGGUCCAGUAUGUAUAGCAGCAGGGGCUGUGGGUGUAACAAUGGUAUUGAUGUCCUCAUCACGUCCGGCUCCUGGGGGAGGCGCCUGGACGCCCUUUUGGCAAUGUCGUCAGCUUCCUUGUUCGUGCCGCGAGGCACGUGCUGCAGCUCCAGGCCCAAGAAUUGUUUCUCCAUUUUGUGUACCUCCGCCAGGUAUGCCUCCAUGUGUUCAUCCUUCGACUCGUACACUUUGUUGGAGAAGUUGACGAGGAGCUGAGAGUCGCCCUUGAUGGUGAGGCACUUCACGCCCAAAGCGGCCACGGCCUUGACGACGGCGAUCAAGCCUUCGUACUCCGCGAUCUUGUUGAUCUUCUCGCCGUGUUGGAAACAGAGCUGCACGGUGUAGUAGAGCUUGUCUUGGGUGGGCGAGAUGAGCACGGCUCCAGCCCCCGCGCACUGACGUGCAAAAGCACGGUCAAAGUACAUGACCCAGUCGUCUAGUCCUUCGCUCCCUGGCAAGAGGGACCGGUCUUGUGGUGAGAGAUAGCUUCUCCACCAUCUCCAUGCUAGCCAAGUUGUUGCAGCUCCCUCCAUCUAUGAUGAUGCGAAUAGAACGUUCCUUCACAACUCCCUUUGUAUGGAACAAAUUAUGCAUCUGAUUUUGCUCAGCUUGUGUAACCUGCACACUCAAAACAUGUUGAGCAACUAAACAUUCAUACCUGUCAGCAUCUUCAGCAGCCAUGUAUUGUGUCUCAUGAUCAGAAUCAUCUCCACCGUGUUCUUGAUGUGUAAUAAGAGCCAAAGUCUCCUCAUCAUAGUCACUAGCGGACUCAUACCCACCAUCCUCAGUAGCAAUCAUCACACGCUGAGAUUUGCAUUCUCUCGCAAAAUGUCCUCUUCCCUUACAACGACGACAAAUAAUAUCACUUGUGUGCCCUGUUGAUAGAGGCGAGGGUGUCCCGAUCUUUCGAUGAGAUGAUAACUAUUGAUUUGGUGGAGUCGACUUUGACGAUCCGACUACAAACGUGCACGACAUUGCGCCUUAGCAAUCGCUAAACCAAUCUCCUGAGUUUACUGACGAUGCCGGAAGCACGAUCAGCCUGACCACGAAGGUCUAUUCCUGCAAGCAAUCAAAGAACGAGCAAGAAUAUGAUAAAGCAAUCUGAAUAUUGCGAAUAUAUAUGAAGUAUUGAUAAUGGUGGGGAUCCGUAAGCGGUCUUGGUCUGGUCGUUGGACACAAACGAAGUACACGAAGUUGUAAUGGCUAACUAAACAAAUCCCAAGGAAAAAGCUACUAGAUGGAUCUACUUAUAUAGGAGCAAGGGGUGGCGACCAAGGAGGUGGGAGGAUGUCCCAAGGCAGCCUAAAACCAACCCUAGGUCGUACAAGGCUCAUGGGCCCAAGUGGAGGUGAUGCAACACCUUUGGACUUGUAGUUUGACUCGGAUUCUAGUGCAACGUCAGAUUGUUUCGACCAUAACUCAAUGCUCCGGACGAAUUUAAAGGUGAAUCCAAUUGGGUUGGAAAGACCACGAAAUCUAGUUUCCAACAAAAAAAGAAUCACCCAAUUCGGAGUCCGUAUGAAAAAGUUGUUGGCGUUUUGAGUCAGGUAUGUCUGUGCAGUCCGAAUCUGAAUCCAGAACGUGAGAGACUUGGACUCUAUCUUCUCUUGGCCCAAAAGUGACGUGAGAGGACUUUUUGAACAUAACCUAAACUUCUCCUUUUGCCUUAUCUUCAUAUGUGGAUUGUACAAAUGUCUCAUACACCUGCAAUUAGACAAAACACAAAAGUGUGUGAAGUAUUUUUGUUCUGGAUAACAUAAAUAGAUUAUUGAAUAGUUUGCACUAGAAAUCACCUGACAAAUAUGCAUGUAUGCAAUAUUUUUGGUCGUAUCCAAGGUAGUCAUGUCCUCAUCAUCCUCCCCUUCUUGAAAACAAAGCCGUCCUCGGCGUUGCUUAAUCUGAAAUGUGGCUAACAAAAGAGACAAGGUGUACAUGUUGUAUAUGUAUAUGUCAUCCAUUUUUACUUCCCGUGGAUUUUGCACAUAUGACAAAUGUAUACAUGAGUAACUUUCAUAGUUAAUAAAAUUUAAAGCCAAAAUAUUAUCACAAGAAGUAGAAGGCAUGAAAGUAUUGCAACUCAGUUUGCACAUAUAAGUGAAGCUCUUAUUCAUACGAAAAGAUUGACAAUAUUCAUCAUUAAACCAUCCCAACAUUGAUGAACCAUCACCAAGAUUAGAGGUCAUAUCAAAAUGAUUAAACAUUGGCACAAUUAUUUUCAAACAUAUUUGAUCCAAAUCUGAUUUAUUCCCUGAUUCAGUUGAUUCUUUUGCAUCGAUAGUUAAUUCAAUGGGCUCACUCAAAAUUGUUUGAUCACAUGGCAAAGUCAAAUCAUCAACAUAGUCCUCUAAGGUAGCUGGUGUGAUCAAAGUAGUGGGUAGCUCACCGCAUGGUGCACUUAAAUUGACAAGACAUUCAUCAUACUCAUGUGGAAGUGGAAGAUUAGUACCUUUGUCAUUACCUCUUAUGAUCAACUCAGAUGAUGUAGGCACUCUCGGUGAUGAUGUGUCACAUGGUGGAGGUGAUGUAGUCCUCACAACAACGGAUGUGGUUGUCAUAGUAUGCUUAGUAGUUGAAGGGACAACCGUAUCAACUCUUGGAAUGUGCAUCUCGCGCUUGUUCUCCUUGUGCGCAACACGUCGUUUUAUUUCCUGUUCAGCUUUGCAAGCAAGAUGAAACAAAUGGUCCAUAGGAUAACACUCUUCAUGAAUUAGUAUCUCCUGAAUGUCACGAUUUAAUCCUCCCCAAAAUCUAUCCAUAAAAUCUUCUUCACUUUCUUCUAAAGAGGAAUGCAGCAAGGUAGUUUGUAAAGUAUCAUAAUAUUUCGUUACGGUGUCACUACCUUGUUUUAAAUGUUGCAACUUUGUAAUCAUGUCACGAGUAUAAUAAGCGGGAACGAAUGUAUGUCGCAUGGCAAGUUUCAAAUCAUCCCAAGUAGUAGGUAUAUCAUUAGGGUGUAACCGACAAUAUUCAUUCCACCAAACUACAGCAUAACCAGUGAAAGAACCAACCGCAACCUUAACUUUUUUACGUACAUCAAAAUUAUUGGAAGAAAAUUUAUUAUUUAGGUCAAACUCCCAUUCAAUAUAUAAAGCAGGUCUAAAACGGCCAUUAAAUGGUGGUAUAGAAACAUUAACCUGAUCAUGUGCAUUUGGAUGUUUGUGCACCUCUCGUGACGGUUGUGGUAUUUGCAUAGGUGAUGGCACAUCUCCCACGAUCGACAAACCCCAUGAAUUGACUCUAGAUCCUGUCAUGAUUAGUAGAAACAAGAAACAAAAUUGAAGAAUAAUGUUCCUAUGAACUACUAGGAUGUGGUGGUAAAGCGCUCACAGUAAAGCAAAUAUCAAUAUCUUACAAGUUCUUACCAAGCAGCAGGUGGUGACAGGCAACCAGCGGUGCCAAAUAACUCAAAAGAUUGAGUAAAGCGAUUGCCAGGGGAACGUACGUAUACACGGUGUAGAAAUAUGUGGAGUUGGGUUGGCUAUAUAUGGUAGCAAAAUAUUAGCAAUAAUCAAUUCAGAGAUGCAAUGUUGAAUAAACGCUCAACGACGGUACUGUGCUGGUCCUAGGCUAGACCGGACUAGAGACGCGAGCCUAGAACACUAAUGAGGUCACGGCGUAGCACAACUAGCAUCAAUGAAGGAUACUAAGUAGCUCUGGACAGCAAGAUAUAAGUGAAGAUCACAACGGCAGUAAAGAUAAUGAUGAAAAACAACUGCCAAGUAGGAUAUACAACAACUCUCUCCAACUUUCCUCUUGAAAAGUUUGUGCCAAUUUUCUGAUUUUUUUUUCAAAGAAUGCUACUAACUCAAGCUUUCCAAUGCAAAAAGAAUCACUCAAUUCCGAGUUGAUAUGAGGAGUCAAAGAAUUCUAAAACUGGCUUGAAAAACUGGAAUAAGCUGUGUCCGCGAACUUCGGAGGGCAAAAAGACCUAUUUAGAAGACGAUUUUGAGGUGUCAAAUAUUGAACAUGUCUCUGCAACUAUUUAGAUGCGGCUCGUCGCUAGCUCUCAUUUGAGUACUCGCGGAGUCAAAACGGACUUCAUAUGAGGAAGUUAUGCCUGUUUUACUAAACAGUGCACAAAACAGAUUCCAAUCCGAAUUCAACUACGAGAUCGAGUCUAGAUAGAUCCGAAUUUUGUUUUUUUUCUUCUCUUUUUUUUUCCUCACACUUUUUUUCUUUCUCUUUUUUUCUGACUUCUUUUUCUUUCUUUUUUCUCUCUUUUUUUUCUCUAUCUUUUUUUCUCUCCCUCUUUCCAAGACAAACUAGAUAAGAUGCAGAUUGGAUCAAGCGAAGAUGUGAACGACCUCAACUAUGAUUGUGACAAUGAACUAUGGGUAGCACGUGGUGGAAUUUGAUGGAUGGUGUGGUGGACAGCGGAAGGGAUAACGAUGCAGCGGCGACGUGACUAAUGUGAACAGAACUCGAAACUCUAACGAACUAGACCCUAAGACCAGCAACUCGACACGACGAUGCAACCGAUAAUUCAAUAAUGCAAACAAUGAAUAGAAAAUUGCAAAGGCUCAGACUGGCUUGGACAAAAGGAUGAAUAGAUCUAACUUUUUUGUGGCUUUUUCUUGGACAAUAGGUAAGAAAAUAAAUCUAAUCUAGGGGAAGCUGGAAAUUCUCACCGAG